UAUCCAUUUCCAAUUUUCUCUUUUAUUUUUGGUUGAUUUGUUUGAUUAUGUAAUUUGAAUUGAUUGUUUUAAUUUAGUUUUGAUAAAUUGAAAAAGGCUACUGCAAUUUAGGGAGACGAUCUCGACCCCAAUUUAGGAAGACGAUCGGAGGAAGGAGGAGGGUUAGGGUUUUAAAAUGAAAUAACGAUUUUGCCCUCAUUUAAACAUGUCACAUGUUUAGCCCAUAUAUCUUCCGUUCAUUAUAGCUAACGUUGUUGCACGACAAAUGCACAUUGCAUGCAAUUAUAAAGCAUAGAGGGUACAUUGCUCGAUUUUAAACUUGAGAGGGUAAUGUGCAAAACAUGAUAUAGGUUAGGGAGGUAAAGUGUAAUAAAGCCUAAUUUUUAUUUAUGGAAAUCUUUAAGGUGAAAUUAAUUCCCUCCUUUAAAGUAAUGAAAUCAAUACGAAGAUUUUUUUUUUGUCCCAUAGUUGUAGCAAAUGAUUGUCCUUCACUUUUCAGCAAUAUAAAUAAAGAUUUAUUGUGUAUUAAUUUGAAGCUCCUCUGCAAUAUAUUUUUAGCUUUACCAUGCCCUUGGGCAUUUAACGGUUCAAAAUUAUGAAUUUUGAUUAAGGAAAUUUUUUUAUUUUCAACAGUGUAUGAAAAUUUACAAUAGUUGGGAAUCAAGAAGGAUGAUUUGAAACUUAUAUAGAAGCUUUUUUUGCAUAUGGGAUUGUUUGUUGGGUUCACACUCAUGCUACCAUUUUUAGUUCUUUGAUCCCUAAUAUUAAAAGAUCUAUUCUUCUCAGUGACUGUCAACCAAUUAACCUUGUAGGAAGUUCAUGCAUAGCGAUCACCAGAGCUUUGUUAACAAUAAAUAAAUAAACGAGCUCUUUGAAGUUUGUUGUGAUAUGACAUGUUAUUCACUGAGGGGGCCUUUGUGAAGGUGGACAAUCAUAUAUUCAAAUUUAUGAGGACAGUGUUGGACAUUGUGGGAAGCUGGAUAAUGGGGAUUGGUUGUGAAAUUGGAGUUUCUUAGAUUAUGUGAGACAGAUUUUGGGGUUCUGUGAUGGAAGUUAAUAAGGGGUUGAAUGCUCUUUUGGGGCUUCAAUAGGUUUGGUUGGUUCAAUUUUAUGAGCUAACAAAUGUCUUAAGUAGAUCUACAUCCAUAGUGGAAUAGAAAAUCUCUUUCUAGGUUCCCAUUUAAAAGAAAUUGGCAGUCUCCUAUAUAGCAUCUAUGGUUUGCUAAUGAUGUGAUCAUUUUCAUCUCAAUGUGGAAAGCGUAAAAAUUUUGAAUUUUACUGCCUUUUGUUUUGAGAUAGUUUCUGGCUUUAAAAUUUAAGAGCAUUACUUUGUCACCAUCUGAAGAACUAUGUUAUGUGGACACUUCAAAAUACACAGGUCUGAUGACACAUAAUUAGGAUUUAAGGGUGUGGAUAUGGUUUGUUCUCUCUCUUCCACAUCCAUAUUCCCAAUGUGAGUGAAUGUCUAACAAGAGGAACAGAGGAUUGAUGGAGACAAGUGGCAGCCACCUUUAAAAUUUUAUCAGAGAAGUAAAGGAGUGGGCUCCAAGGCUCAAACUUUAAUUUGGCACUCUCUUGAUGAUAAUGGGCUUAGUUGGGAUCUUAUAUAAGUCAAUAUAGGUUUAGCCUAGAAAGUACUUUCAGAAAUUAAGUUAUGGGCCUAGUCAAUGGUUAUAAGUUACCAUUUUCAGUCAUUAUUAUUGUCAUUUUCCAAUAGUCUUUAAUGUGGUUAGUAGUCAGUCCAAGUUUGUCAUUUUCAAGUUGCAUUAUUAUUGUGUCUAGUUCCAAGGAGUUAUAAGUCUCUAGAAAAGUCUUAUAUAGUAGUUGAUUAGUUUUUUGAGAGGAAUGAAUGAAUGAAUGAAUGAAUUUUUAACCACUUUUUUCCUUUGUGUGAUGCAAAGAGUACUUGGGUGUGAAGCCUAAGGUUUCUAGGAGUGAUUCCUAAGGUCCUUUCAAUUGUACUCUCCUUGCAUUUUACUUUCUGUACUGCAUCACCAAAAAUCUAGUUUUCUAGAAGUUCCUUUAUGUCCUUGAUUCGUUCCUUUCAAUUAUGGUACUUCAAAUGAAUCAAGUACUAGGGUGCAAUAGGCCAUUGUACAAGUACUAGUUUUCAGCUGAAGAUAGGCAUGUAGAAAAUUACAUUGAUAAUGCAACUAUGUUUCCAAGUCCUAAGGUUUGGAUGUUAGAGAAGACACUAUUUUACACCUAAUCCACAUACUUGCAUGCAAAAAUUGCAAGGUAUUGGAGCAAAAUUGACAGUGUGGAAUAAGAUCACUUUUAGAGAUAUAAGAGAGAGGAAGGAUUCCAUCAUUAAGGAUAUUGCCAUGGUAUAGAUUCUCUUGAGCCAUCCUUAAGGGCUACGAAGAAAGUAGAGUUGGAGGAAAUGUUGUUAAGGACAAAGAGGCAUUGGAGGCAAAAAAUCUAGAGUAAAGAGGGCCAAGGAGGAGGAUUUAAUUCCAUAUAUUUUCAUAGAAUUAUUAAUGGAAGAAGGAAAAAGAAGUUUAUUAAAUCUUUAUUGAGUGAGGAUGGAACCAUGUUAGAUGACCAAGUUAGCAUUUUAAAGGAAAUCUUGAUAUUCUUUGAUGAAAUAUAUAGCAAGUCUAAUGAAGUUUUGUGGAGAGUAGAAGGAUUAGAGUGGGCCCCUAUCCACUUUUUUCAUUUCUUUUUUACUAUUUUAGCAUAUCUUUUGAGUAGAUUGAUGUUCAAAUAGGAGUUUGGUAUUUUUUAGGGCUUCUUAGUGGUAGAAGUACGGCAAUGGUGCUUCAUUAAUGGUUUGUUGAUGACACCAUACUCUUUUUUUUUUGAUAGGAAACGACAAAGAAAUAUAUUGAUAGAAUUAAGGAGUACAAAAGAAGGAUGAGGAAUCCUCCCACAAAAGCAAACUAAACAACAAGAAUACAAAAACAAGAUGCUAAAAGGUAACAACAAUGAACAAACUCUCUUAGCUAGACCACCCCAUUGGAGCUGCACAUUGCUAGCCAAUCUAGUUGCAGCACACUAAGGGGAAUACCCUUAAAAACCAUGGAGCAAAAAGCCCAGAAAAAAGCAAGGAAGUGAAUGGAAUCCCAUAGAUUCUCUAAAUUCCUAGCUUUAUCCUCAAAAAUCCUAGCAUUUCUUUCCCGCCACACAACCCAAAUUAUAGCAAUACACUCAGUUUGCCACAAAACUAUGCCUCUCUUGGAUUUUCCAAAACCUUUAUAAUCGAUGGUCAUCAUGUCAGAAAUGCUCCUCGGAGGGACCCAAUCCAUCUUAGCUAUCUGAAAUAAUCUGUGCCACAACCCCAUCAUCAAAGAACAAUGUAAGAAAAGAUGAUCUGUUGAUUCUUCAUGCUUCAUACACAAUUACAGAUGUCAGGAUUAAGAGCUUUGUAGGGUCUUCUCAAUUGUAGCAAGUCAUUAGUAUUUACCUUCUUGUGUGCCACUAACCAGACAAAGGACUUGACCUUAAAAGAGACUUGAGAAUUCCAAACAAAAUUAGUAGGGAAAACUGGAGAUAAAUUAGAAAGGUGGGACAAGGGUAGAAAAAAAGACUUGACUGUAAAUAACCCUGAAGAAGAUAAAUACCAGGAUCUCGCAUCUAAAACUGAUGGGGAUAAGUGCAACCAAUCAAAUGACCACAUAAGGCUUUCUAAAUCUUCUAUCUCAAAAUCAGAAAGGUUACUACGGAAAUUAAAGUUCCAAGAGAAGGGACGAGCAGAACCGAGAAUUGAAGAUAUGGGAAUAUUUUUAGCUGUAACUACUCUAAAUAGUCUUGGAUAUUGGAAUCCCAAAGGUUGGUCCCCUUAUCAUAAGUCUUUCCAAAAGCGAAUUAUUUCCCCGUCUCCUACCACAAACCGAGUAUACUUGGAAAAAUCCUGAAAGACAUGUGCAAUAGCCUUCUGUUGAAAUUUGGCAUUCAAAGUUAGGGUUUUAAUUUAGGAAAGUAUUUUAGGAAUAAAAAAGGAGAGAUCAUUUAGGAUAUUUCCUUAGGAUUCAGUUUCCUAAUGUUAGGAGAGAAUCAAGCUAGAUUGAUAUUUUCUUAUUCAGUCAUUUUGUGUAUAUAUAUGUGUAUGGUGUGUACCGAAUAAAAAAAAAAAAAAGGAAUUCAUAAAUUCUUCAUGGUAUCAGAGCCAGUUUUCUGAAACCCUAAUCCCUUCUGGCCGCCUCUUAUUCAGGCCAUCAUUCAUUCCGGCCAAGUCUCUCUAGCCAUCUCUCAAUCCGACCAUCUCUCUCUCUGGCCAUCUCUCAUUCCGGCCAUCAGUCCCUGUUCUCAGAGCCAAGGGAGAAAACGCUUUUUGGUCGGUCGAAUCGUCGUCAGAAAACAUUCACCGCCGGCGACAUCUUUUUCCCACACCACAAGGAGCGCCUGGAGGAGAUCUCCAAUUUUUCCCAAAGCACCGAAGCCAGAAAACCACCCACGCGCCGGCCACGCGCGUUUUUCUGGUCGGCGACUACAUCUCACGCACCGGCGCGUGAGCCACUUUUCGGCGACGCGCUUCCUCCUCCAGCCUCGCCUGACGCCGACUAGCCACCCUUCAUACCCGUUCUGCCAUCCGAGCCCUGCACGUGCCUCUUUUGGGGUUCUUUUGCCUCCGUGGGCCCUCUGAACAGUUUUCCGACGUCCUCCGACUAUUUUUUUCUCAACCCCAAUCCCUGCACGUGCCUAGGGAAGUGUUCUUCUACCUUUCCGGUGGUGCCACGGUUGUUUUUCUUUUCCAUUAGGCCGGUAUCUCUGAUUUUCUCCUUUUCCCAAUUUCCAGCAACCAUAUUCGGCUGUCUUCCUCAUCUCCAUGACAAAAUACGGAAUGGCAUCAUCACAAGUAUCCAGCGCCACGACACUAGAAUCAGGGGGUAGUUAUGAAAUUCCAAACCUUGGUGGCAGUGAUUCCUCUCCUAUUCUCAUCACAAGACACAAAUUAAAUGGCCAUAACUAUUUACAGUGGUCACAAUUUGUGUUGUUGUUCAUUUGCGGUAAAGGAAAGGAUGAGUAUCUCACUGGAGAAGCAGCCAUGCCAGAAACUACAGAACCGAGUUUCAGGAAGUGGAAGAUUGAAAACAGCAUGAUCAUGUCAUGGCUUAUCAAUUCCAUGAACAAUGACAUAGGUGAAAUUUUUUUGCUGUUUGGGACUGCAAAGGACAUCUGGGAUGCAGCCAAAGAAACUUACUCAAGUUUUGAAAAUACUUCAGAACUUUUUCAGGUUGAAUCAGCCCUACAUGACUUCCGCCAAGGAGAGCAGUCAGUUACUCAGUAUUACAACACACUCACAAGGUAUUGGCAGCAACUUGACUUAUUCGAGACUCAGUCAUGGAAAUGUUCGGAUGAUGCAGCAACAUACAGGCAAAUUGUGGAACAAAAGAGACUGUUUAAGUUUUUCCUAGGACUAAACAGGGAAUUGGAUGAUGUUAGAGGCCGAAUCAUGGGCAUUAAACCCCUGCCAAGUCUCAAGGAGGCUUUUUCAGAGGUUAGGCGUGAAGAAAGUAGAAAGAAAGUGAUGAUGGGAUCCAAAGAGCAACUUGCCCCAACAUUGGAUGCCUCUGCCCUUGCUGCUCGGUCAUUUAAUAGUAGUGGUGGAGAUCGUCAGAAACGGGAUAGGCCUUGGUGUGAUUAUUGUAAGAAACCAGGCCAUUAUAAGGAGGCUUGCUGGAAGCUUCAUGGAAAACCGGUUGAUUGGAAACCAAAGCCACGGUUUGACAGAGAUGGCAGAGCACACGUGGCUGCCAACUCUGAGAGCACAUCUGUUCCCGAGCCGAGUCCAUUCAACAAAGAGCAGAUGGAGAUGCUACAGAAACUAUUAAGCCAAGUUGGCAGUGGCAGUACUACUGGGAUAGCCUUCACUGCUAAUUGAGGAGGAAUGAAGCCGUGGAUAGUGGACACAGGUGCUUCUGAUCACAUGACAGGAGAUGCUUCCAUUCUUCAAAAUUACAAGCCAAGUAAUGGUCAUUCAUCCGUCCAUAUUGCUGAUGGUUCAAAGUAAAAAAUUGUCGGGACAGGUUCCAUAAAACUUACUAAAGACUUGUAUCUUGACUCUGUCCUCCAUGUUCCAAAUUUGGAUUGUAAUCUUUUGUCCAUUAGCAAAUUGGCCCGUGAUCUCCAAUGUGUUACUAAAUUUUAUCCAAACUCGUGUGUUUUUCAGGACUUGAAAUCGGGGAAGAUGAUUGGCAGUGCUGAACUGUGUUCCGGGCUCUACCUCCUCCCAUGUGGCCAAUUCUCAAACCAAGUCUCUCAAGCAAGUUGCGUACAGUCUCAGAGUAUGUUAGAGUCUUUCAAUUCUGUGUCAAAUUAUAAGGUCAAUAAAGAUAGUGAGAUUAUAAUGUUACACUAUCGCCUUGGUCAUCCUAGCUUUGUUUACCUUGCAAAAUUGUUUCCCAAAUUAUUUAUCAAUAAAAAUCCAGCAUCUUAGCACUGUGAAAUUUGUCAGUUUGCAAAGCAUACUCGAACAGUAUAUCCUCAAAUCCCAUACAAACCUUCGACUAUUUUCUCUUUAGUACAUAGUGAUGUGUGGGGUCCCUCACGAUGGUUUGUGACAUUCGUUGAUGAUCAUACACAGGUAACAUGGGUUUUCCUUAUGAAAGAAAAGUCAGAGGUCGGGCACAUUUUUCAAACCUUCAAUCUUAUGGUUCAAAAUCAAUUCAAUUCCAAAAUUCAAGUCCUCAAGUCAGAUAAUGCAAAGGAAUACUUUACUAGUAGUCUCAGUACUUAUCUUCAAAAUCAUGGCAUUAUCCACAUAAGUUCUUGCGUUGACACCCCACAACAAAAUGGGGUGGCUGAAUGCAAGAAUAGACAUCUCUUGGAGGUUGCCCAGUGCCUUAUGUUUUCCUCUAAUAUUCCAAACUAUUUUUGGGGGGAAGCCAUUCUCACAGUUACCUAUUUGAUUAAUCGUAUGCCAUCCAGAGUGCUUACCUUUCAAUCCCCACGUCAACUUCUCUUAAAAAAAUUCCCUCACACCCGUGUAGCCUCUUCUGAUUUACCACUCAAAGUAUUUGGUUGCAGGGCAUUCGUUCAUGUGUAUCCUCAAAAUCGUAGCAAAUUUGCUCCUCGAGCCAAUAAGUGCAUUUUCCUAGGGUCUUCUCCAACCCAAAAAGGUUACAAAUGCUAUUCUCCAACCAACAAAAGAUUUUACACCACCAUGGACGUCUUUUUCUUUGAACAUGUCUUCUUUUAUCCCAAAUCUCAUGUUCAGGGGGAGAGCAUGAAUGAGCAUCAAGUUUGGGAGUCUCUUCUUGAGGUUGUAUCUUUUUCUCACUCAGAGUCACCAAAUCCUUCCCAAUUCGCGCCCACUGAGUUGUCCACACCCAUGCCGUCAUCAGUCCAGCCAGCCCAGCCCACAAAUGUUCCUUCUCCCGUGACCAUCCAGUCUCCCAUGCCUAUUCAACCUAUAGCCCCACAACUUGCUAAUGAGAACUUACAAGUUUACAUCAGGAGGAGGAAAAGACAGGAAUUAGAGCACGAAUCACAGCCAACAUGUGGCCAAUAUAUUGACUCUAUUUCAAGUCUACCUGAAGAGAACAUAGGUGAGGAUAGGGCUGGAGAGGUGUUAAUUCCCAGCAUUGAUGAUUCUACUCUGCUGAUUGCAUUGAGGAAGGGUGUUAGGAGAUGUACAGAUCAUCCAAUUGGGAAUUAUGUUACGUAUGAAGGGCUAUCACCAUCUUACAGAGCAUUUGCUGCUUCUCUUGAUGAUACUCAGGUUCCCAACACAAUACAAGAGGCAUUCAAAAUUUCAGAAUGGAAGAAGGCAGUACAAGAUGAGAUUGAUGCACUUGAGAAGAAUGGGACAUGGACUAUCACAGAUUUGCCGGUUGGGAAGAGGCCCGUGGGGUGCAAGUGGAUUUUCACCAUAAAAUACAAAGCAGAUGGAUCAGUCGAGAGAUUCAAGGCUCGUUUGGUAGCAUGAGGGUUUACACAAUCCUAUGGGAUAGACUAUCAGGAGACUUUUGCUCCUGUUGCAAAACUGAACACUAUCAGGAUUCUUCUCUCAUUGGUUGUCAAUCAAGAUUGGUGCUUGCAACAACUGGACAUAAAAAAUGCGUUUCUAAAUGGUGACCUAGAAGAGGAAGUCUACAUGGAAAUACCACCUGGUUUCGAAGGAAGUAUGGCAAAGAAUCAGGUUUGCAAACUCCAAAAAUCCUUGUACGGCCUUAAACAAUCUCCCCGAGCCUGGUUUGAUAGAUUCACAAAGGCAGUCUUGAAGCUGGGCUACAAACAAGGUCAGACUAAUCAUACUCUAUUUGUCAAGAAGUCUCAUGCCGGGAAAAUGGCCAUAUUGAUAGUCUAUGUCGAUGAUAUUAUUCUAUCUGGGAAUGAUAUGGAGGAAUUACAGAAUUUGAAGAAGUAUUUGUCAGAAGAGUUUGAAGUUAAAGACCUUGGAAAUUUGAAAUAUUUCCUUGGUAUGGAAGUGGCUAGAUUAAGGAAGGGAAUUGUAGUCUCUCAAAGAAAAUACAUACUCGAUCUUCUUAAGGAGACCGGUAUGCUUGGAUGCAAACCAAUUGAUACUCUUAUGGAUAGUCAGAAGAAACUUGGUAUCGAGAAAGAGAGUACACCGGUAGACAGGGGGAGAUAUCAGCGACUCAUCGGGCGCUUGAUUUAUCUCUCACACACUCGGCCAGAUAUUGGCUUUGCAGUGAGUGCUAUAAGUCAAUUCAUGCAUAGCCCCACUGAGGAACACAUGGAAGUAGUUUACAGGAUUCUUAGAUAUUUAAAAAUGACACCAGGGAAAGGUCUAUUCUUCAGAAAGACAGAGUAUCGUGACACUAAAGUAUACUCAGAUGCGGAUUGGGCAGGAAACAUCAUUGACAGGCGGUCCACUUCUGGAUACUGUUCUUUUGUCUAGGGAAAUCUUGUUACCUGGAGGAGUAAGAAGCAAUCAGUUGUAGCCAGAAGUAGUGCAGAAGCUGAGUACAGUGCACUAGCACAGGGAAUCUGUGAAGGGAUUUGGAUAAAAAGGGUUCUUAGUGAACUGGGACAAACGAGUUCAUCUCCGAUUCUGAUGAUGUGUGAUAAUCAGGCAACUAUAAGCAUAGCAAAGAACCCCGUGCAUCAUGACAGAACCAAGCACGUUGAGAUUGACAGACACUUCAUCACAGAGAAGGUGACUAGUGAGACGGUUAAAUUGAACUACGUUCCUACCAAGCACCAAACUGCAGACAUCCUCACCAAAGCUUUACCUAGGCCUAACUUCGAAGACUUAACUUGCAAGUUGGGAUUAUAUUAUAUAUAUUCUCCAGCUUGAGGGGGAGUGUUGAAAUUUGGCAUUCAAAGUUAGGGUUUUAAUUUAGGAAAGUAUUUUAAGAAUAAAAAAGGAGAGAUUAUCUAGGAUAUUUCCUUAGGAUUCAGUUUCCUAAUUUUAGGAGAGAAUCAAGCUAGAUUGAUAUUUUCUUAUUCAGUCAUUUUGUGUAUAUAUAUGUGUAUGGUGUGUACCGAAUAAAAAAAAAAAAAGGAAUUCAGAAAUUCUUCACCUUCCAAGGGCAACGAUGUGACCAUCUGACUAUAGUGUUGACAUCCCAACCAUUAGAAUGUGUCCCAUAAAUGAUUAGAAUGACCUGAUGCCACAAAGUUGAACUCUCCCUAAGAUACCUCCACAACCAUUUCCCUAAAAGAGAAAUCUUCCCAAACCCCAAUCCCCUUUUUGUCUUCGGUUUACACACUACAUCCCAACUAAUAAGAUGAUCUCUUUUACAUUCCCCAACUCUUGACCAAGGAAAACCCUUUACAAUCUCUCAAUUUUUGUAGCCAUUGAAGCAGGAAUCUUGAAGAAGGAUAGAAAGUAACUAGAAAUGUGGGAUAGGCAUGAGUGGAUAAGAGUUAUCCUACCUCCAAAAGAUAAAUAAGCCUUUUUCCACCCAUCUAAUCUCCACGAAAUUCUCUCAAUCACUAGAUCUCAAAAGCCACAAGCCUUUGGAUUCCCUCCCAAAGGAAGACCCAAGUAGAGUAUAGGCCAAUCAGAAACCUUGCAAUCAAGCAACAAGGCUAAUUUAGAGAGAUGAUCUUGAUCAAGGUUGAUGCCAUAAAGGUUACUUUUGUCAAGAUUGACCUUAAGCCCAUAAAUUUGCCCAAAUACUAACAAAAUAAACUUAAGAGUUUGUUGUUCUUCCACACAUGUGCUAGAAAAGAAGAUGGUAUCAUCUGCGAAUUGCAGAUGAGACACCCUUAUUCUAUUCUUACAGUGAAACCCUCCAACAUACUUCUUUCCUCUACUCUUAACAACAUCCUACUCAACACAUCAAUGACAAUAAUAAACAGAAAAGGGGAUAGAGGAUCACCUUGUCUUAAUCAUCUAGUUGCCUUGACCCACCCUUUAGCAUUUCCAUUCACUAAAAUUGCAUAAGAGAUCGAUGACAAACAACCUCUCAUCCAGGACCUCCAUCUAGUACUAAACCCCUUCCUAUCCAACACAUGAUCCAAAAAAUCCCAAUCUACAUGGUCAUAAGCCUUUUCAAAGUCAAUUUUGAAGACAACUCCUUCCUCCCCUGAUCGUCUUUUCUCAUCCACUAACUCAUUGGCUAUUGGAACUGCAUCUAAAAUUUGUCUCUCUUGAACAAAAGCACCUUGAGUAGAAUGGACUUUUGUUAUUAUCUUGUAGAGACAAGUGAUCAAGCUAAUAGGUCUAAAGUCUGAAAUUUUUUUGUCUGGAUUUUUUUAGGCAAAAGAGCUAUGAAGGUGGCAUUGGUGCUUUGAUUAAUUAUCCCGCAUCUGUGAAACUCUGCGAACACCCUCACUAAGUCCUCCUUGAUCACAUCCCAACAAUCUUGAAACACUGCAAUGGUAAAUCCAUCAUGCCCCGGCUUCUUAUCCCUACCUAACUGAAAAAUGGCUUUAGAAAUCCCUUCUUCAGUAAAAUGGGAGUCCAACCUAGAAGCACUCUUUUCUGAGAUAGGAGACUAAUCUAAGCCUUCUACUCUCCAAGACUCUCCAGGAGGACUCGAGUAGAGCUUUUCAUAAAAAAGUAAGAUCUCUUCUGUGAUGCUAUCAAUAUUAUUCAACACUAAGCCUCUUUCAUUCUCCAGAAACUUGAUGAAUUUCCUAUUUCGUUUGCCAUUAGCCACUUUGUGAAAAAACUUUGAAUUGCAAUCCCCUUCUUUUAUCCAUUUCACCUUAGCUUUUUGUCUCCAAUGAACCUCUUCCCUCAAAAUUAAUUCCUCUAACUCCCCUUUCUCAAAGCUCUUUGUGUGAAAGUUCAGAAGAAAGAACCCCUUCUUGCUCAACAGCAUCAAUGUUAGCAAUAUCACAAAGUAUGUUUUUUUUCCUUUCCUUUAGCACUCCAAAAGAUUCCUUAUUCCACUCUUUCAAUUUGGCCUUAACAAAUUGUAACUUCCUCAUAAACUUAUGACCUUCCCAACCAGCUCCCUGAAAGCCUCUCCACCAACUUCUAAAGCAAUCUUUGAAACUAGGAUGUUGCAACCACGUAUUCUCAAACCUAAAAGGAGUUGGCCCCUACUUGAAUGAAAUGGUGUCUAAAACAAUCAGCCAAUGAUCCGAUGUCCAUCUAGGAAGAACUUCUUGAAGGCUUUGAGGAAAGAAAUGCUCCCACUCAUUUGUGUAAAGAAACCGAUCUAAUCUCUUACACACAAAUGAAUCUUGCAAGUUUGACCAAGUGAAUGGGGCGUUCCUUAAAGGGAGGUCAAUUAAUUCACAAUCUCUUAUAAAUCCAUCAAAGUCUCUCAUGCUAGAAGUUAAAAUAGAGCCUCCCAAUUUUUUUGAAAUUCUCCUUAUAACAUUAAAAUCACUGCCCACACACCAGAAAGGAAAGGAAAUGCCAUAAAUGUCUAAGAACUCCACCCAAAAUACCUUCCUAAGUAAGGAAUUGUUUGGACCAUAAACUGAGGACAACCAUAGGGGUCCACAUCCAUCCAACAAAAACUUAACUGAGACAGAAAAGGAGCCUAUUACCACCUCCUCACUGCAUAGUUUCUUUGAGUCCCAAAUAAUCAAAAUCCCUCCUGAAGCCCCACAAGUCGGAAGAGAAGCCUACUCCUUAUUCCUAACCGACCAGACACUACCAACAAACCUUCUGUCAUACUCCUCUUUUUUGUUUCCUGAAACAUUACAACAUUCGGAUUCUCAAGAUGCAAAAAAUCUUUAACCACCCUUCGUGUUUUCGUAGAACCCAAACCCCUAGUAUUCCAACUGAUGAUCUUCAUGAUAAAAACCUCUCUAACCCUAAACCUCCAAGCCAUAUGCUACAGGUCUCAAAUACUUGUGGAGAAUCUGCUCUUCCGCUUGGAAUACACUUAAUAUCCAAAGAACUUAAGACCUCACGAACUUUAGCCAUUUUCCUAGGAGAAAGACCAUCUAUUUGGAACCCACCCAAAGAGGAAAACUCAGCUUUAAUCGGGCAAUCUGUAACAAGGUUAGGGGCCUCAAUAGGCAUGUUAAGCAAGGUCUUAAGGGAGUUAAAACCCUCAUACAAUUGGUUCAGACAAACUAAUUGGGAUUCCACAUCAACUAGGUUAGGAUUGCCAACAAAAUCUUAACAUAAAUCACCAUCAUCAUUUUUUUUGGAAAACAUUUUAGGUGCAACUCGACAAUUCGUAGGAGACUGAGACGGAAUUACUGAACUAGGAAGACUGGGAUCAGAAGAAGUCAGAGGUGGAUGAGCCAAGCCAUAGGAGGGGGGAAAAAUGACAAAGAUGAUUGAGAAAGUGGAGCAAAAACUACCUCAUUGUUUUCCACUACCAUCAAUCCACAAGUCCCCACAGAGGUUAGCCCUUUUUCACUGGUUACUGGAUUAGAAGGAAAAACCAAGACUGAAGAGUCGUGAUGAGCAAAACCCCCGAAACCCUCAGAGUUUUCUCUAUCUACAACGUUAGAAAAUUUGCACCAUUUUGCCUUCCCCUUUGAAUGAAUAAAAUAAGAGAAGACCUUUGAUGAUUAUCCGCAUCACCUCUUGACGACGAAGCCCCUUCCCCAGAACAACUGCUUCGGAACCCCAACGGACGACUAAGAAUGAGAGGACUCGAGCUAAACCUUUGCACCAUCUGUGUUCCCGCUUCGAAAGCAACGUCCUUUAGAGGGGCUACAAAAUCUGAAGAUGGAAUCUCUUGCGUUAGAGGCUCGCUUCGUCUUCGCCCCUUGUCGGCAUUUAGAAAUUGGAGAAAUAUGACUAGUCCACAACUUCUUUGAACCAAACUUUGUCAUGGAACCCCUCAAUUGAGAAGAAGAGACCACUAAGACCGACUUCCCCUUUCCCAUUGCAGAUGAGUCUUCACUGCGUAAAAAGCCCUUCCUAGAGUUGGGCUGCUUUCCAUCCAUUUCUUGGCCCAAAGUUGUCACCGGGCCUUUUAAAUUAACACCCCUCUCCCAACCCAUAUUUGCUUCCACCACUGGCCUAGGUUUUUGAGGAGAAUGGGCCCUUCUCUCUUGCAGUGCAUUAGAGGCCCGGUGCCAUUCCUCAACACUUGAGUGGACCUUAACCCUUCUGACCCUAACUUCACCUAACAGCUUUGGCCCAAAGGACCCUAUUCUCUCUUUAUUUGAAUUCAAAUUUAACGGAGAUGAAGGUUGGACACAAUUGUUCCCUUCAUCCGCCCUUCUCUUGCCAUGUGUCCUCUCAGCCUUUUGAUUUCCUACACCAUCUUUCAAUUUGUCAGCUGCCCCAUUAGAAGACCAUCCUUUAGCCGUUGAUUUAUUCUUCUCAACCAGCCUUCUACCACUUGUCCACGAGUGAGACUCACAAUCCCCUCAAGUUGACUCACUCAUUUCUCUAACUCGCCUUUCUUCUCCAGCUCCAACCACUGCAAUUGAUAUUGUAAAAACCCAACCCCCAUCUAACACCUCAAUCAAUGCAGGAAGGACUGAAUGUUCCUUCAUUAAAAUUCUCACCCUUGUCUUACAGAGAUCAUACAAUUUCAUCGUUCGCCAAUCGAUCUUUGUCACUGUCCCCCACUGCUCUACAAUUUUAUUUAGAUGUUCCAUUAACCAUAAAUGAAAGGGCAAACCCCGUAAUUGAAUCCAUCCUUCUUUGAACUUCCCCUCUACUUUUGAGUUUUCCCUUGGCGACCACCUUCUCAAAUGGGUUGUAUACCCUCCCUUAACCUUGAGAAACCUUAACUCUUGGAGAGAGAAGGCUUCCUCAAUAGUUUCUACAAAAAAUAAACCUUUUCCGCCAGAGAAAGGGACGAUAGUCACCACACCUUUUUGCCCUAAGAAUUUCGCCAGAGCACGGCCAACCCUAGCCUAGUUGACAAAAGCAGCGGGACAUUCACAAACCACGGCUCUCGCCCAUCUCCCAACUGGAACAAGGCCUCCUCUCCUCGGUCCUUCCUUUUUUACUACAUUCACAAAGGACCCACUUGUUUGUAAUUUAUGUUUUCAACCCUGCACUGCCUUUCCUUUUCAACUAUAUUCGAAGAGGGGACCAUCAGCAUUGAAGAAAAAGCAUUUUUUAGUUGCUCCCAUCCCUUGCCCCGCUCGCCCUCAGGGAUUACCAGGAAAGUUGACCUUUUGUUGGAGGCAAACUUCGAAAGCCUUAUAAACCUACCGUGGUUGUUGAAGCAUACCUCCAUUAAAUGAACUUUGGACUUUCCUCUGUAUUUUCUGUUGAAACCCAUGUAAGUCUUCAGCUCGAUAGCCUUUGCCAAAUGUUUGAUCAACCAGCCAACCUCUUCCUUCUCAAAGCCUGAGGCGAAAACCGAGCCUCUGCUAUGCUCUGUAAGCGAGCACCAAAUACCUCCGGACUCACCUUCAAACCUAACCAGGAAGGUCUUCCUCUCCACAGAGACUUUCAGCGUCCUCACCAUUUUUUACUUUUACCAUGCUCUUUUCAAUAGCUAGUUUAAAUGAUUACAAGGCCUUAACUAAUUUUGUUGGUAUUUGAGCACAUUUCAAGUUUGAAGAUAAAUUAAGACAAUGAGGAAAUAGGGUUGCUUUUGAAAAUGAGGAUCUAUCGGUCCAAAGGAUGGAAUAUUCUCUUGUUAGCUAUUUGUGGUCUUGGUUCAAAUGUUGCAUAGUUGAAGGGCCUAAUUCUUUAAUCAACUUUUUUGAGUGGGUGGGCUAUAGGUGAGAGAGGAGGGGUUAGUUUUUUGUUUCCCUCUUCCUUUUUUUUAGUCUAUAGGUGCUCGUUUCUAUACCUCCUGUAUGCUUUGAGUUUCCCGUUGGGCGCCCUGUUCUUUAAUAUACUCUACUGUGACUUUGCCUAUAAAAGAAAAAAAAAAAGAAGAUAAAUCUAGACAAUGGUAUCUUGUUGGGUAUCAAUGUGAGUUUAGCCUAUAUCUUUUUUGGGUCUUCCUUUAGGGAACCUUAGAGCCAUAUCUUUUUGGGAUUUAGUUUUGGAUAGGAGUUGCCGAUGGUUAGAUGGUUGGAAAAAGGCCUACUUGUCUCUAUGUGGAAGAAUAACAAUAGUGUAGUCUUGCUUUUCCCAUGUCCCCCUCAUUAUUAUUAUUAUUAUUAUUAUUUUAUUCUUAAACCUCCAAUUAAAGUGGGUUAUACAAUUGAGAGAUUACAAAGGAACUUUCUAUAUUUAGGUGUUGGGGAAUGGAAGAGAGAUCAUUUUAGGGAUCAAUGUCUAAGCUAAAGGGAGAAGGGGCCUUGGAGAUUAGAAGAAUGACUUUGAGGAAUAGAGUCUUUUCAGGGAAGUGGUUGUGGAGGUUUCUUAAGGAAAACACUACUUUAUGGUACAACAUUUUUUGAAAUUUACGAGCCACAUUCUUACUGAUGUGAUGCUAAUGUUGUUGUUACGUGAUCUCAUCAAUGUCCUUGGAAGGUCAUUGCACAAGUGUUCUUUGGUUUCUGUCAUUUUACUCGGUGUUUAGUGGAUAAUGGUACAAAAUUCACUUUUUGGAGGAUAUUUGGUGGAGUGCCCUUUUGUGUUUGGCUCCCAAACCUCUAUAGAGUAGUAAGGGCGAGAAAUUCAUGUAGUUCUUCAAUUUCCAUUCCAUUCUCCUCUUCAUUAUGGAAUUUUAAUUGUUUGCACAAUGUUACCGAUGAUUAAAUGAAGGAACUCUAUAAUGUUGACUUUAGUCCAUGUGUAUUUAUUGCUCACAUUCUUUGAUAUGAGAGUUUGAUCUUUGACAUCCUAUGGUUUAUUUAGUCUUAGUCAGUUUAUUCUUUAGAACCCUCUUUGUUUCCACCAAUUUAAGAUCCUUUCUCUUGGAAAAUUUCUUCUAGAAAUCUAAAUCUCUAUCAGAAGUCAAGGCCUUUGCAUGGCUUGUGGCAAGUAGGAAGAUUAGUAUCCUUGAUUUGUUGCAGAUAAGGGAAUCUUUCAAAGCCUUUACCCUGGAAUGGUGUGCCCUUUUUUUCAUUUUUUUUUUGUAUUUUCCAUUAGCAUUAACAUUAUUACGUAAGUUGUUUGGACUAUAAGAUUGAUUGGGUUCCACCUAGGAGUGUGGUGGAGAUGCCAACAAUUUCCUAAAGGUUUUGGAUGUCUUCUAAAGGAAACUCAUGGUAUAUUGUUAGUUUCACAUUAAUUUGGAAUAUAUAGCUGGAGAGGAAUGCAAAGAUUUGAAGGAUAGAUGAAGAAUUUUAGAGGCAUUGUAGAAUUCAAUCUAUUUCUUCUCUUCCAUUCGACAUCAAGUAGUACAUCAUUUUUGGGCACUCUUUUGAGUGUUAUAUUGAUACAUUGGACAUAAUAUGUAGUUUAACUAGGUUGGCUAAGAAGAUACUCUCUAAAUGGACUCCCCCAGUAAGUUGUGUCAACUUGAAUUUUGAUGGUUGCUCAUUAGGAAAUUCAUAACAAUUAGGAGUUGGAGGAAUGUCUAUUGAUCAUCAUGUAACACUAAUGAGAAUAUUUUCUAAAUAUAUUAGAAUUGGUCUAGAAAUUGUGGUGGAGAUUCUAACCUUGCUGAGAAGUUGGUCAAAGUGGAGGGUCUUUCCAACCUAAUGCUGGAGUGAGAUUUUGCAGUAGUCCUUGGUUGAGUAAGAAAGAAAGAAGCUAAUGGAAAUUUGACGGGUGGCUUCAUUAAACUUUUUAUUUUGCUUGAAGGAUGGGAUGCUUCUAUUAUUGGAUUCCUCAUUCAUCUAUAUAUUAACAAAGCAGGGAGCCAAACUUCUGUUCUCUUCUGUAGGGGGUAUUUUGGAAUAUGUUAGCAAAACAUCGAGCCAAACAUUUGAUCUCCUUUGUAGGGGUUUCUCUACCUCUCUGAAUAUCGAUUUUGUAAUUGUAUCCACUUUUCAAUGUGCAAUGACCUAUGGUUUCUAAAGUAGAUAGUUUUUUUCCCCUACUUUUGAUUAGAGUAGUGGUUGUUUUUAUAGAGGAAGGAUUUACCAUACUUUUUUGUACUUAUUUCAUAGUAAUGAAGUGUUUUCUUCUGAUUAGAAAAAAAAAAAAAAUAGACAAAUACUUGAGCCAUGCUAGAUAUCCUACAGUACAUGAAACAAUAUAAUGAUCUAUUAGGACUCUAAUUCUUUUCCUAGAGCUUCUAAGUCUUUCAAAAAGUGGAAUGAAAAUAUAGAAUGGAAACUUUCCAAAAUAGAAAGUUUAAAUAUGUUGGAACUCUAUAUUUUUGCUCCGUGGUUUUUAAGGGUAUUCCCCUUAAUGUGCUGCAACUAGAUUGGCUAGCAGUGCGUAACUUCAAUGGGGUGGUCUAGCUAAGAGAGUUUGUUUGUUGUUGUUACCUUUUAGCUUCUUGUUUUUGUAUUCUUGUUGUUUAGUUUGCUUUUGUGGGAGGAUUCCUCAUCCUUCUUUUUUACUUCUUAAUUCUAUCAAUAUAUUUCUUUGUCGUUUCCUAUUAAAAAAAAAAUAAAAAAAACUCCAUAUGAUAAGAGACUUCCACAAAAGUAUAACUUUUCAAUUCUAAAUAAGACUCAAAUAGGAAAAAGGAGUAAGUUCAGAAAGUAGGAAGUUCAAAGUGUAUAAGUUUCUUAAAACAAAAAUAACAAGACUUGCCAAGCUCUAAAUAAGACUAAAAAAACCAACUACUACUAAUUAUGACAUCAAAGAAUUAAAAUGUGUGAAAUUAUACAAAUGCCCUUGGACAAAUCAAUUUAGGAUUUCUUUGCUUCUUUUCUUCCUUUGCUUGGAGACCUUGAAAGUUUAGUCUCAUCACCAAGGCUAUAUGUUUUUGUUUUGUAUUUUUUUGGAUCUUCCUUUUUGUUUUUUUCUUCUGAGGUGACUAUAUUACAUCAAUUAUCUUAUCUUGAUGUUGGUAGAUGAUUGUCAUUUCCUGUAUUUACCUACUUUUAAUUUGUUCCAAUAGUGAGGAAGUAGUGGAAAGAAUCUUUUCAAUUUUCUGAUAUAGGUUUAUUUUUCUGAUUCCUUUCCAUGAUCUUGUUACUUGUUGAUCUCCCAACCAACAGCCCUGUAGAGUUUAUCUGCAAAAUGGAAGUCCCUCAUAAAGCUUAAGCUUUUUCAUGGGCUAUAGCUUUAUAAAGUUUGAUCAUAUUGUAUAUCUAUUGUUACAUCUCAUGAAGUAACAAAUUUGUGGGGUGAGCUUUAGGUCCCAUACUGUUCUCAUGUCAUAGUUGUUGCUCUCUGUCACUGUAUGGGAGGUUAAUAACUGAUCCUCAACCAUUUGACGGUCUGUUUGUAGGAAUCAGUAGUUGAAUGACACUUUUUUCUGAUAUUAUCUAAUGCUGAAAUAGAUAUCUCAUUUUGUUUUUGAAAAAUAAGCUUUCAUGUGAAAGGGUCAUAAAGAUGGAAAGUGCAUCAUUUUAUUGGCAUUGUAUCAUGAUAUAUGAUAGUCAGAUUCUUAUCCUUAAAAAUAUAGCUGUCCUUAAGAUGACAUGGCAGUUAGAGCCUGUUAGUAUGUCCAGAACUUUAAACUCCUAUCCAAUAUUUUAGCUGGAAUGCAUGUAAUAUUUUGUUCAUGCCCAUCUCUAGAACACCCAGUAUUUGGAAGUCAAUAAAAUUAAAAUGGUUAGUAGUACUAUUAUUUUGUUCAAUUUAAGAACUGUAUUACAUGUAGUACUUUUAUUAGUGUGUGAAAUAUAUGAUAUGUCAAUGGUGAUUCAUACCUGAUAUGCCACUUUCUCCAAUAUAUUUUAGACACAUUGCAGUUAGUGCCUUUACUAGAGUCCAUGACUCCAUGUCAUAUGACUUUCCACCCCAAAAAAAUCAAGCCAUAGUAAGGAAGAGCCUCUUAGUCACUUGAACAAGGUUACUAUUGGAUUCUAACACCUUCAAAUUUUUGUGAUUAGCUAAAACCUAUGAUUUCUUUUAUAUGUGUGCACUUUUUCAUGUCAUUAACUUUUCAUGUCGUGAGUAGGUGGGAUUGCAGUUUCCAAUAUGGCAGCUUAGUGGAGGAGGUAGAUGGACAUACAGCUAUUCUCUAUCAUAGGCUUCAGCUGGGCUGGUUCCCUAUGUAAUAUUCUCUCAAGUUAAAUCUCUUUAUUUAUGCUUCAUAAUGUUACAGAAUCUAGUAAUCGUAUGAAUGCAUACAAAAUUUCGUUGUUUUUUCUGUAUCAACAUUGUUAAAACAUGGCACUUUUGUGCAAAUUCAGAUUAAAGCUUUUACUUUACCUCUCUCUAGUUUGCAUGUAAUUGCGCUUUAGAUUCAUAAUCGAGUCUUUUGAUUUAUCUUAUAACCCUCAUAUGGGAGAAACUUCAAUUAUCAUUGAUUGCCACAGUUGGGCAUCACAGCUUGUAGUCGUGUAUGGAGACCAUAUAUACACUAAAUUUGGACUCGGACUAUUACAGUAGUUGGGCCCUACAGGUCCAACAAUGCAGUUCAAAAAGCCAAGUCUUGAAUUUCUCAUGGCCAGGUAUGAUGCAACUUAGCAUGGAUGCUUAUCCCUCUGGUGGAUUCUGAACACUACCCCUGAUCCCAACUACAUUGAAGUCUAUUAUUGUGGUUGCCUGGGGAGAUCUCCUGAUAAAUCCUCCUCAAAGUUUCUGAGGCAUGGAGGUCUGAGGAUUCAACUCCUUCCUGGUAUGGUAAUAAGGCCUGGGGUUUUACACAAACCUGUUGUACCUUAGUGGUGGACAUAGCCACUUUGGUGGAGGGAUAAUUUGGAUGGAUAGUAGGUUUUUAAAUCAUGGUUAGAGGUUAAUUGAGGAAGUUGCAACACAUGGCUGGAACCUUGGGAGCUGUUAACCUCACUACUUCACUCAUUUUCAUACCCUAUUACUUGAUAUGUUGCUUGCCAAGUUUGCAUCAUGUGCUCCUCUAUCACAAGAUCUGCACAUGGCAUUGCUCACCAUUCACUGGCUUUCAGUACUGUAGACUGACCCCUUGAAAGUAGUUUUCAGUUAUAGGAGCUCCUGGGGGGUGGGGACUAGAUAUGUAUGCAACGGAUGUGUACAACAAAGGGGGAAAAAGAACAAAUUCCUCAUUCAUUGUAAGCAACCUUGGGCUCAUGUUAGAUAUUCUUAGUUACAUACCAUUUUAGCAAAAGGGACAAAGUAGGAAGAAAAUGAAAAUUAGUUAUCUUGCCCAAUUUCUGGGGAUUAAAAGAAUCUGAUAUAGACACAAGUCAACACCCAACACUCGUACUCAAGUUCAUGUUGAAACAGAUUGACACCUGUUGACUGGGAGUAUCUCUGGGACAGAUUGGCACCUGUGGACCAGGAGUAUCUCCACAUGUCCAAGCCUCCUGAUUAGUUUGUUCAUGAAGGUUUUAAACCAAAUCUCAGCAGAGAUGAGGAAAAUUUAGAAGAUUCUGGACAGGGCUACUUUUUUCCUUCUAGUUAAGAUGCUUAAAUGACUUAUACAAGGUGACCCACAAAGUAGAAAAAGAGAUGAUUACUGACUAGAAGCUGUUCUUGAAUCACAAAAUUCAAACUAGAAAAAGAACAAAAUCUUAAUGUAUUCUUUGUUUGAAUGGGCUGGAUGAUCCUUACUAGGUGGAAGUGUUUUUCGAUAUAUCUAAUUGAUGUUUUUAAUAGUACCUCAGCCGUAAAGAGUCUCUUCUCCCCUCUUUGUUUGGCCUUUUGGUCUUUGUAUACAUCUCUUAUACAUGGGUUGCACCCUACCUUUUGGCACUUGUUGUAUAAAACUUUACUUGUUAAGGGGGAAAAUAGAAUCUCAACCAGGGCUUGCAUGUAAUGCAUUUUCUAACUAGAAAACACUAGAUACCUUGAGAGUCUUGACCAGAUAGUAUUUGAGGGAACAACUGCACAUAUGGACAAUAGAUCUUAACCAGACUUGGUUGCACUUUGUUUGAGGUAUGGCCUGAUCAGAUUGGUGAAAAAAAGCAAGUUGGGGUCUUGUAAGCUGGUUAACUGUACUGUGUUGGGGUUUGGUUUUGGAUGAGAAUUGGGCUGGUUUGGGAAAUGAUCAGGCCAAAUAUUGAUCCUGUGGCAUAGUGGUAGUGAUGGUGGCCGCAAUGGUAGAUCAAAGGUGGUGGUAGUAGUAGUGAGAUAGCUGUCCCCUCUCAUACUCAACUCUGAGGUUUUGAGAAUAACACCAUUCACAUGUUUUGAAACCUAAGAUAGUAGGAUUUUAAACCCCACCACCUGCAAAAUGUUCCAAACAAGGCAAUUUUGUUUUUCCUAAGAAAAAGGACUUCUCAAAUUCCAUAUUAACAUGAGAUCUUUCUUCAACUUUAAUAUUCCAAGUGGACUUGAAGGGUCAAAAUCACUUAUUUAUUUUCACCUUACUAGAAGAACAUUUCUAAUCUUUAGAAGGGAUCUUUCUUUUGUUACUGUUUGGAACAUUAUGGUAGAUAACAUGAGAAAGAAGCCUCAGAAAGGUGUUCUGCAUGUUGGUUUUGGUGUAUUUGGGAGAAGGGAAAACCCAAAAUUUGAAGAAUGUGGAGCUACCCAUUUUUAACUUGAAAAGUUAACCAUCCAAAUAGUCUUUCCUUUGGAGGUUCUGCAAGGGAGUAUAGCCUUCUCAAUAAUUCUUUUGAGUUCUUAAAUGAGAUAAGAUGUUGGACUUUUCCCCCUUAUUUUUCUUGUUUGCUCAUGUAUAUGCUACAUUAUUUUGUCUUCUAUAUUUUUUAUUAAUAAAAUUCUCUUGUUUACAAAUUGGAAAAGAAAGAAAUGAUGGCCUUCACUAAAGAAUAAUAUGCUGUUUUUUUUUCUACUAAUGCUUACUGUUGCAGGUUUGUGUGGCCUCGUGACCUUUGCUAUGUGCGUUAUUGGUGUCGAAAUGAUGAUGGAAGUUAUGGUAAAUGGUUUGCUUGUCCAGUUGUUUAUUUUUCCUGGUUCUUGUCCUUCUCUUUUUCAUUUGGAAACAUCCAAGUUAUUUUUGUUAUUGUGCAGUUGUGUUAUUUCGUUCUAGGGAGCACGAGAACUGUGGUCCGCAACCAGGAUGUGUGCGUGCCCAUCUUGAAAGUAAAGGCUAAAUCUUUUUUUUUUACACUGAGAAUUCAAGGGAUUAACACUGAUUUAGAUCGGUAGUUUGUUUAAUUCAUGCUAGGCCAUCUCAUCGACACUAUGUGAUCUGUUUUCUCAGGUGGGGGAUUCAUCAUUUCCCCUCUAAAACCUCGAAAUGGGAGGCCCAGAACACAGGUUCAGCAUCUUAUGCAAAUUGAUCUGAAAGGAUGGGGCACUGGUUAUAUUUCAUCAUUUCAGCAACAUUGUGUCCUUCAGAUGUUAAAUAGUGUUGCUGGUAAAUUUUUUUCUACUUUCUUUUUCUCUCAAACUUCUAAUUUUACACUUGUUAGAAUUUGGAGGGCAAUGUUGCAGAUUUGUAUUAAUUUGAGAAUCUGAAGACCUUUGUGCUUCGAAACCACUCUUUUGCCUAAAUUUCUUUGAACAAGAUAAUUUGAUAAGGGUAUUAUUGGAACAAUAUAAGUAUACAAAGAAGUGCUUUUGGCUUCAUAUAAUAGUAUAUAUACUUUUAGCAGGAUAUUUUACAGAAAGAAUUCUUCAUGCUUAGGUUAAAAUAACUCAAAAUAUUUGAACAACUUCAAAUGGUAAUGUUAUGUCCUUUUUCUUUAUCCAAUAAAAUUUGGAAAGGUUAUUAUUAGAAGAUACAUGAGCAUAUCUAGAGGUUCUCUUGGCUCUAUAUAACAAAUAUAUAUUUCCAUGAAGAGCUAGAGAACAAAUGGAGAUCCAUGGGGGUUAUUUAGGAUUUGGUUCACUUUUCCUCCCUCUAUUUUUAUUAUUGAUUGUUUUCCGGGUACUCUUUAGAACCUUUUACUGCUGGAUUGGAAAUAUAUUUGGUACUCUAAAAUAUCACAUGUAAGGACAAUACUUAAUUGGUCACAUCCUCCAGUAGGUUUGAUAAAGUUAAAUUUUGAUGGGUAUUCCUUGGGUAAUCUUGGUAUAUUAGGUAUAGGAGGUGUGAUAAGAGAUCAUUUGGGUACCGUACUUUGGACUUACUCUAAACCUAUUGGGAUGGAUUCAGCUAUUGAGGCAAAGAUAUUAGCAUUAUUAGAGGGCUGGUUGCAAGUUAAAGCUUGUGGGUUUAUCUAACCUAAAUGUGCAGGGAGAUUCUUCUGUUGAGGCUCUUGGAAGUUUGAAACUUAGCCCAUGAAAUUUAAAUAUUUCUAGUGAUGUGGCAUACUUGUUCUUUUAGGUUCUUCGUUGAGCUAUUCAAACCAUACUCUAGUUAGGUAAGCAGGGAGUAAAACAUUUAGUUUCGUGUUAGAGACAUUUUUUCUCCUUGAGUAUAUAGAGCAUUUUGUAGAGUGUACAUUACUUUUCAUGUCUGUAAUUUGUGUUUUUUUGCUCAGCUAGUUUUUCUACUUUCUGUUCAGCAAUUGUACAUCUUGGAGGGGAUUAUCAUCCUUCUUUGUAUAUAUCGUUCAAUGUAACGAGUGUUUUUUGUUUGUUUCUCUGUGUGUGUGUGUGUGUGUGCACAUUACAUCUUGAAUGGAUCCUUCUGUGCAUUUAUCAUUCAAUGCAAUGAAUAUUGCUUUUGUGUGUGGAAGGACACUCCUAAUGUUUUCCAACUAUACUUGGUUGGCUGCGGAGAAUGUCAUCUUAUCAUUUUAUGUCUAAGGGGUGUGACACCAAAUUCCUUACUCUUUCGCCUUUUCCAUGCCUUAAUAUCUUUCAACAUGCGAUUUUAACGUCUUGGUGAGAAAUGCUAAAAAAAUAGCCUCUGCUAAGAAAAAUGGAAAGGACGUUGAAGGUCUCUGUGGAGAGGAAGACCGUCUUGGUUAGGUGGGAAGGCGAGCACGGAGGAAAUUGGUGCUCGAUUACAGAGCACAGUAGAGGCUAUGUUUAUGCCUUAGGAUUCGAAAAAGAAGAAGUUGGGUGGUUGAUCGAACUUUUGACGAAAGCCAUUGAAUUGAAGAGUCACUUGGGGUUCAAUAGAAAGUAUAGGGGAAAAUCCUGUGUCCAUUUGAUGGAAGUAUACUUCAACAAUCACGAAAGGUUCAUAAGGAUUUCAGAGUUCGCUACCAACAGAAAACCAACUUUUCUGGUUAUUCCUGAGGAUGAGAAGGGCAGAGGUUAGGAGAAUCUAAAAAGCGCUCUGUCUUCUUUGUUGGUGGUCCCCCCAUUGAAUGCAUAUGAAAAAGGAAGACAAUACAGAGUGGAAAGGUUUAACCACAUUCACGUGGGUCCUCUAUAUAGGUCUUUUGCGAACGUGGUUAGAGAUGAAGGACCAAGGAGAGGUGGACUUGUUCCGAUUGGAAGGUAGGCGCGAGCCAUGGUGUGUGAAUGCAGUGCAGAUUGUGGUAAAUGGGCUGAGAUUGGCCGAGCUGUAGCGAGAAGCUUAGGGAAGAAGGGAGUGGCUACGAUUGUGCCCUUCUCAGGCAGAAAAGGUGUUUUUUUUGUUGAAACGAAAGAGGAAGCUCUCUUUCUCCACGAUUUAAGGUUUAUUAAGAUUGAGGGAGGGAAUUCACUUCAGUUGAGAAGGUGGUCACCAAAGGAAAAUUCGAUAGUUGAGGGGAAGUUCAGAGGAGGUGGGAUUGAGCUACAGGGUGUGCCAUUUCAUCUCUGGUCUGAGGUACAUUUGAAGAAAUUAGUGGAACAAUGGGGGACGGUGAUUGAAAUUGAUUGGUGAACGUUGAAAUUGUUUGAUCUUAGCAAGGCGAGGGUAAGAAUCGUAAUAAAGGAGCGGACAAUUCUUCUAGCUUUGAUUUAGGUGAUUGACGGGGAUUGGGUGUUUACUAUUUCUGUCGCAGUGGUCGGAGGUGAAGAGAUCAGGAGAGGCAGAGUAAUGGGUGAGUCGACUCGGGAGGGAUUUGAAUCUCACUCGGGGACAGGUGGUGGAAGGCGGGAGGAGAAAGACAGAUCUACGGCUGGAGGUAGUUUUCGUGUUGGGGAAGUUGGCAGAAAGAAGAAGGAAGAAGAAAGGUGUUCGGCUGAAGUUCUUCCUGCGGGGACACGUGGUAAGAAUGGUCAAUGCAUGGGGAACAAUUGGCUCAGUUUGAAUUCAAAAAAACUGAACUAUGGGCCUGUUGGGACAGAGAUGGCGGGCGAAGCUUCGGCCGGUGGGGACGAGACCUUCUCAGGCGAGAAUGGUCGGGCCUUUGAGAGAGAGGCCUAGUCUCUCUCCAAUUUCAGCUCAAUAGCAAAAACGGGCUGUUUAUUAAAAGGCUCGAUGAGGAUGGACCUAGGAACUGAAGAAAAGAAGCCCGUUGGAAAGUUGGGAUCGUUACGAAAUGAAGGUGGUUCUGCAAGGGGAAAGGGGAAAGGAGUUGCAGCUGAGUCUGAUGUUCAGACGAGAGGAUCUACGAAGAAGGAAGUGAAGUUCGGUUCAAAGAAGCUGUGGAAUACCCUAUUUCCCCUAAGUUCCGCUCGUCGACAUGGUUCUCGAAGUCGCAGUGAGCCUCUUCUGCUCGGGAAGCCUUCGUCGAGUAGCGUAGAGCUUCCUAUGGAGGUGGCUUUCGGGGCGGGAGCUCAGUGGGAACGAGGACUCAGCGCGAGCCCUCUCUUCAUGUGUCGAUCGUUUAGAAAGUGGUGCUCGUGGGGAGGGGCAUCGUCAUCUAAAGGCAGAGACGCUGCGCGCAAACCAUUUCAUGAAGAAGAAAGGGAAGGAUUUUUGGGCUAAGUGGGGUUUGAUCUUUGUGGUGCUUCAGUCAUGUUUUUGCCUUCUAAUCCUGAAAUCAGAGGUAAAGGGCUCAACUUUUGGGGGAAUCGUGGAAUUUUGGUAGCGGAAAACUUGGAGGUAAUCUCAUCCUCACCUUCUCAGUCUCCCGUGUCUUCUUUUCCCUCUUCUUUUGGGUUGGCACUUCCAUUUCCGAGCCCUUCUGCUCCCGUUUUUCCUAGUUCAGUCAUUCAGCCCCCAGUUCACAUGGAAAAUCGAGGAAUUUUCGAUUGUUUUUCCAAAAAUGACGAUGGUGGUACUUUCUGUCAGAAUGGUGUUGGCAUUCCAAACCUGGUUAUGGUGGAGUCCCAGUCUGCUUAUUCAAACCAGUUGCCCGAGAGUCUGAACCUCAUUAAGUCUAAACCCAAUGUGCCUAGUGAGGUUUCCAACCUGGUUAUGGUUAGCCAGGGUAAUGCUGCGGUCUCCCCAUCGGGCGAGUUCUAAAUUGAAGGCCUAUCUCCCAGGAAAAUGGCUAAAGUGCGUGAGAUUUUAAGCUCUCUAGAUAUUAAGGUUUAUUCCAGGAGGAAGAGCAGAUGCUCUACAGGAUUGUGAGACCUGGUGGUACCGGAUUGGGGGUUUAGGGUCUAUGUUGUUUUUCCAUGAAAAUAAUAAGUUGGAAUACCAGAGGUUUGGGAUCAAGGAAAAAACGAAGGGUGGUCAAAGAUUUUCUGAGGUUAGGGAAUCCGGAUGUAGUGAUGAUACAGGAAACAAAAAAGAUGGAGUGUGAUAGAAGGUUUGUGGGUAGUAUUUGGACGGUAAAAAAUAAGGAUUAGGCUGUUUUGCCGGUGUGCGGGGCUUCAGGUGGGAUUUUGAUAAUUUGGGAUUCUAAUAAACUGCGCAGUGAGGAGGUGGUAAUAGGAUCCUUUUCGGUCUCGAUCAAGGUUGCUUUGGAUGGAUGCAGACCUCUUUGGUUGUCCGUAGUUUAUGGCCCAAAUAGUCCCUUACUUAGGAAGGAUUUUUGGGUGGAGUUGUAAGACAUUUUUGGUCUAUCUUUUCCAUUAUGGUGCAUGGGCAGUGAUUUUAAUGUCUUAAGGAGAAGUUCUGAAAAAUUGGGAGAAUCUAGUCUAACUUCAAGCAUGAAGGACUUUGAUGAUUUUAUAAGAGAAUGUGAAUUGCUUGAUCCACCUUUACGGAAUGCACCAUUCACUUGGUCAAACAUGCAAGAGACUCCUGUGUGUAAAAGAUUGGACCGUUUUCUUUACUCAAAUGAGUGGGAGCAAUCCUUUCCUCAAAGCCUUCAAGAAGUUCUUCCUAGAAGGACUUCGGAUCAUUGGCCGAUUGUUUUGGAAACCAACCCGUUCAAGUGGGGCCCAAUACCUUUUAAGCUUGAGAAUAUGUGGUUGCAACAUCCUAAUUUCAAAGAGUGCUUUAAAAGUUGGUGGAGAGGUUUUCAAGGAACUGGGUGGGAAGGUCACAGGUUCAUGAGGAAAUUACAAUUUGUGAAGGCCAAUUUGAAAGAGUGGAAUAAGGUUUCUUUUGGAGUGCUAGAUGAAAGGAAGAAAAACAUCCUGAAUGAAAUAGCUAACCUUGAUGCCAUUGAGCAAGGAGGGGGUCUCACUUCUGAACUUUUAGUUCAAAGAGCUUUAAGAAAAGGGGAAUUAGGGGAAUCAAUUUUGAGGGAAGAAAUUCAUUGGAGAUAAAAAGAUAGGGUGAAAUGGGUAAAGGAAGGGGAUUGUAACUCAAGGUUUUUUCAUAAAGUGGCUAAUGGUAGGCAAAAUAGGAAAUUUAUCAAGGUGUUGGAGAAUGAAAGAGGAUUAGUGUUGAAUAAUUCAAAGAGCAUCAUAGAGGAGAUUUUACUUUACUUUGAAAAGCUCUACUCGGGUCCUACUGGAGAGUCUUGGAGAGUUGAAGGCUUAGAUUGAUCCCCUAUAUCUGUAGAGAGUGCAUCUAGGUUGGACUCCCUUUUUACUGAAGAAGAGAUUUAUAAGGCUAUUUUUCAGUUGGAUAGGGAUAAGGCGCCGUGUCCUGAUGGCUUUACUAUUGUAGUGUUUCAAGAUUGUUGGGAUGUGAUCAAGGAGGAUUUAGUGAGAGUGUUUGCAGAGUUCCACAGUAGCGGAUUUAUCAAUCAAAGCACUAAUGCUUCCUUCAUAGUUCUGUUGCCCAAAAAAAGCAUGACAAAGAAAAUAUCAGACUAUAAACCUAUUAGCUUGAUCACUAGUCUUUACAAGAUAAUAGCUAAAGUGUUAUCAAGGCGUCUAAGAAGGGUACUACACGAAACUAUUCAUUCUACUCAAGGCGCUUUUGUUCAGGGGAGACAAAUAUUGGAUGCAGUUCUCAUAGCCAAUAAGAUGGUGGAUGAGAAAAGACGAUCAAGGGAGGAAGGAGUCGUAUUCAAAAUCGACUUUGAAAAGGCUUACGACCAUGUGUGUUGGGAUUUUUUGGAUCAUGUGUUGGAGAAGAAGGGGUUUAGUCCUAGAUGGAGGAAAUGGAUGAGAGGUUGUUUGUCCACGGUAUCUUUUGCAGUCUUAGUGAAUGGAAACGCUAAAGGGUGGGUCAAGGCAUCCAAAGGCUUAAGACAAGGCGACCCUUUAUCCCUCUUUUUGUUUACUUUAGUCGCAAAUGUACUGAGCAGGAUGUUAUUGAGAGCAGAAGAAAGAAAUUUGUUGGUGGGUUUCAGGGUGGGUAGGAAUAGAACAAGGGUGUCCCAUUUGGAAUUUGUAGAUGAUACCAUUUUCUUCUUUAACACUAGGGAGGAAGAUUUGCAUUCUCUCAAGAGUUUAUUGCUAGUGUUUGGGCAAAUUUUUGGGCUUAAGGUUAACCUCGACAAGAGUAAUAUUUAUGGCAUCAAUCUUAAACAAAAUCAUCUUUCUAGGUUGGCCAAAUUGCUUGAUUGCAAGGUUUCUGGGUGGCCUAUACCCUACUUGGGUCUCCCUUUGGGAGGAAAUCCCAAGACUUGUGGCUUUUGGGAUCCUGUGAUUGAGAGGAUCUCGAGAAGAUUAGAUGGGUGGCAAAAGGCCUUUUUAUCUUUUGGAGGUAGGAUAACUCUUAUCCAAUCUUGCCUCACCCACAUGCCUUGCUACUACUUCCUUUCCUUGUUUAAGAUACCCGCUUCAGUGGCUGCAAAAAUUGAGAGAUUGCAAAGAGAUUUUUUAUGGUCAGGGGUUGGGGAAGGUAAAAGAGAUCAUCUUGUUAGUUGGGAUGUAGUGUGUAAGCCGAAGGCAAAAGGAGGUAUGGGAUUUGGGAAGAUAGUUCUAAGGAAUGUCGCACUCUCAGGGAAAUGGUUGUGGAGGUACCCUAGGGAAGGUUCAGCUCUAUGGCAUAAGGCUAUUCUAAGCAUUUACGGAUCACACUCCAAUGGAUGGGAUGCCAACACAAUAGUCAGAUGGUUACAUCGUUGUCCUUGGAAGGCUAUUGCUCAAGUCUUUCAGGAGUUUUCCAAGUUUACUCGAUUUGUGGUAAGAGAUGGGGAAAGAAUUUGGUUAUGGGAAGACUUGUGGUGGGGGGAUCAACCUUUGGGUUCUCAAUAUCCAAGACUAUUUAGAGUAGUCACGGAUAAAAAUAGUCUUAUUUCUUCAAUUCUCGGAUCUACUCAUCCUUUUUCAUGGAACUUUAACUUUCGACGCAACCUAUCCGAUCCUGAGAUAGAUGAUUUAGAAGGCCUCAUGCGGUCACUUGAUUGUCUACAUGUGUCAUUUUCGGUUCCAGAUGCGAGAUCCUGAUCCUUAUCUUCUUCAGGGCUUUUUACAGUCAAAUAUUUCCUUCUUGCCUUAUCCCAAUGUUCUAGUUCUCCACCAGUUUUCCCUACUAAGUGUGUUUGGAAAUCUCAAGUCUCUUUCAAAGUCAAGUCCUUUGUCUGGUUGGUGGCACACAGGAAGGUAAAUACUAAUGACUUGCUGCAUCUGAGAAGACCCUACAAAGCUCUUAGUCCUGAUAUUUGUAAGUUGUGCAUGAGGCAUGGAGAAUCAGCUGAUCAUCUUUUCUUACAUUGUUCUUUGACGAUGGGGUUAUGGCACAGAUUAUUUCAGUUAGCCAAGAUGGAUUGGGUUCCCCCAAGGAGCAUUUCUGACAUGCUGUCCAUCAAUUACAAUGGCUUUGGUUUAUCGAAGAGAGGGAUAGUUUUGUGGCAAGAUGCUUGUAUAGCUAUAAUUUGGGUUGUGUGGAGGGAAAGAAAUGCGAGGAUUUUUUAGGAUAAAGCAAGGAAUUCAGAGAAUCUUUGGGAUUUCAUUUCCUUGCUUCUCUUUGGGCUUUUUGUUCCAAGGUUUUUAAGGGGACUCCCCUUACUGUGUUACAACUUGAUUGGCUAGCGGCGUGUAAUUCCUUUGGGUUUGUCUAGUCUAGAGAGUUUGUUCGUUUUUUACUUUGUAUUUUCUUGUUUUCGUAUUCUUGUUGUUUAGUUUUCUUUGGUGGAAGGAUUUCUCAUCCUUCUCUUGUACUUCUUUUUUCUUUUAAUAUAUUCCUUUGUCGCUUCCUAUCAAAAAAAAAUAUUGCUUUUGUGUGUGUGUUUGUGUGUUUUCAUGAAGAUAUUCUACUACAAAGGGAAAAGAGUGCUUGUGCUUGGUGCAAAGAUGCUAAAAUCUUGCAAACAACUUUGGAAGGCAAUAUCUGUAUCCAUUUUUCUGUCAUGUUAUUUGAUAUUUUCUGUUGAAAUUUUAUAAUUUUUUUCUAGGAUUUUUUUAUCCAGUCUGCUUUAUAGAUUUAGACACUGAUAAUACAGAAUUUAUGUCAAUAGAGUUAACAGCAGGAGAAAGAAAUAUAAGAGCUUGUAACUUUCUUCUUUAUUUUCAUAAAGAAUUUCAUUCCUGCUUUAUUUUUUGUUUUAUUCUGAAGGAACUUUUUUAAUUUGUCUACUUAAUUGAAUCCUUGUUUAUAUUUUAUGAUAGGACUGCGUGAGUGGUUUUCUCAGACGGAUAAAAGGAAUGCUCUGCCAAGAAUUCCUGUUAUGGUCAAUAUGGCCUCAACUUCUUUUACUUCAGAGAAGAAUCAGAAGCCACAGGAGUCUUCUGAUCAAUUGAAUGCUACAAGUAGGAACUCAAUGAUGAUGGAUGAAUACUCUGAUGAAGAUGAAGAAUUUCAAGCACCCGAGACAGAACAAGAGGUUUGUACUACACACCUGCUCUUAUGUUUUAUGCACAUACCUUCUCUAAACAUGAAUUUUGCACAUUAUUCAGGCAUACUCAAUGAGUCUUCCGAAUGAAGUCAAAGGAACAGGUACUGCCUUGUAUCUAUGUUUUUCUUAUGACAUUUGGUGCUGGAUCCUUAUGUCUGAUAUAUCAAAUGGAACUUUACAAUCAUUAUGUUCAUCAUGAAUUGAAGCCAUGGAAGAAGAACCCCAAGAUAAAAUUGAUGUCUCAUGUUUUUCGGGCAAUCUACGACGUGAUGACCGUGAUAAGGGUCGUGACUGCUGGACGAUAUCUGAUGGGAACAACUUCAGAGUUCGUAGCAAGCAUUUUUGUUAUGACAAAACGAAGGUUCUCUGGUCCUCUGCUUGUUUCCUUUAGUUAGUAUUUCUUGAAUUUUCUUGAUCAACAUCUUAUGACCUUAUUAGGCCUGCUUUAAUGACGAUCUUCCAACAUGUAUUUGAAGAUUCCUGCAGGGAAACAUCUUAUGGAUCUUGUUGCUGUUGAUUGGUUCAAAGACUCAAAACGGAUCGACCAUGUUGCUAGGCGACAAGGCUGUGCAGCACAAGUACUAUAUUCUAUUCUUUUCUGACUUAUAUGUACUUAUUUUAUUGAUAGUGAAUCAAAGUCAAUUACUUAUUUCUAUAAUACUUUUCUCUCUAAACCACUAAAACCCUUUGUUAAGAAUGCAGCAUCUGUGGUAUUAGAAAAAUAUGAAAAUCCUCUUCCUCCUUGCCAAUGCUACCUUUUCCAUCUACUAGGUGAUACCUUUUAUCCUAAAGCUCAGUUUGUUGGUACUGCUCUGGUUUGUCAGAUUGCUGCUUAGUAUUUGAUUAUUAAUUCAUAUACCAUCAUUUAGAAAAGCAAGCAUAAUACCAUUUUAGAACUUCUCUUUCCUGUCCUAAUGAUUAGCAUGCACACUGUCCACAAUAUAAUCAUUAACUCCUCAGUCUUCUUCAGCAUCAUCGUGACUGUCAUCAUCACCCUUAUAGUAUCUAGAGGUACUUAUUCCACAUGCAUUUGCUCAUUGUGUUACCGUCUGUGGUUCCAUAGUUCCUUACCUAGUUUCUUGUUUAUUGUUGGUUUUGAGUUUUGAAAUUGAGUAGACAUAGAAGAUUAUAAACAAAGAAUAGUUGCUUUAUUUGAUUCCUUGGGUUUUCUUUGCAUCUGAAAUUUUGAAAAGAUGAAGAAAAAUACAGAAUAAGUUUCUCAUGUAUACCACUUUGUGCAAAUAUUAAUCAUUAUGAACUAUGUCCAAUGUUUAAAAAAUUGGGAAAUAUCAUGGAUAUUUCCUGAAAAUUUUGUGCUUAGGUCAUCACUGACAUGACAAAUGGAAAGAAAACACUGACCAACUGUCUUUCGUUCAUUUUUCGAUAGUUUUUGCCCUUCUUUUUGGCUAAUUUCAGUAUUUUUCUAGUUUUUUUGCCAAUACUUUCAACAUUAUCCGAAUUGUUUCCAAUUUUCUGCCAAUAAUAUCCCACAUUGCGCUCCUAAUGAUUUUGCGCAUCCCUCAGUCAAUGUGUUGCUUCCUCUCCCAGGCUUAGUCAAUGGGGGCUCCUUCUCUCCCCUUAAUUCUUGCCAACUCCUUAGAUUUAAAAAUUGGGUUUUGAACCUAAGAUGACAAGGAUGAAAUGAGCCUUUCCUAACCACUGGAUCAUCUAUAUUGUUUGUAAUAAAGGUUCACAAAUAUAUAUACAUUUAGAUAUCCAUGGCAAAAACAAAAUGUUAAAAUAAAAUUUUGAUAAAUUAAUUAAUUUUAAUUAAUUUCUAAUUGAUUGUUAAAACAUAGAAAUUAUCAUGAUAAUUUUCUUAACAAGUAUUUAUGUAUAUCUUUUAUGUAUUAAUUAAAUAUAAGAGAAAUCUAAAUAUUCUAAAAUAAAUCAUAUAUGUAUCGUUAUUUCUUUUAUAUCCUUGAAUACAUUUAAAUUAAAUAGAUCAUUAUUUUAGCAUUAAAUAUGUUUUCAAUUUCGAUAUGUUAUUAUCAAAUAUUAAAAACUUUAUUGUACAAAUAUUACUUUCUUCACUAAAACAACUUUAAUGUGCAUAUUAUUACUUAUUUUAUCAUUUCUUAAAAACACUUUUAACAUUUUUAUGGGUUUUGAUCAAUUUCCAUCGCACCAGAAGUUUUUGUGAAAAUUUCCUUAGAUAUUUCUUGAUAUAUUUCGAUAUAUCCAUAAAAUCCACCUAUUGAUAUUUCCAUAAAAACUGAUAUUUUUAUCCUUCACUAUGUCUAUAGAGAAGAUUGUUAUAGAGAAAAUUGUGAAGGGCAUAUAUUUGCUCCUAUUGAUGAUAGGUUUAAUAUGCAGUUCUUUGUUUUGAAAAUUGAUUGCUUUUAUAAUGGCAGUAGUUCUGCUAAUAUUUUUUUUCCUUCUUAACAUGUGACUCUGUAUAAAAUUAUCCUUAAUAUACAAAACUUUCUUAUAUGUUUAGAGGCUUGUUGAACAUGAAUUCUACAAACAAGAUAGUUCUAUGUACUUUCUAUUGUUGACAUCCAAUUUCAUACUAGCAAUGGACCUAUGACGAUAAGCACUUUGACUAUCGUGAUAUGCAUAAUUAAAUGAUAUGCAGAACUUGUUUCAUUAUUAUCUCCACCCUUGUGGUUGUGUCAUCGAUUAUUGAUGCUGCAAGGAGGUAAUUACCACCGACCUAUUGCUGGAAAUAUUCCUCACUACCCUGUCAAGGGCCAACACCACUCCUACUGCUCUGACAAUGCAGAGAGGACACCUACUAUCUAGUACCCAUAUUAGGAUAGAAGCCUUUACAUCAUGAGGUCAAUGGGGGAGCUAUCUUGAGUACCCUCACAUGCUAAGGUGGGCCACUUCCCUUUGUCCCCUGGUUGGCUUUCAACCCUUUGCACUCUAUCAAGACGAUAUGUCAUGCCCCAAAACCCACUCCAAGGGCAUGACAGUCAUUUCACACCUCAAACUCGAAGGUUCAAAGUCAAAACGACACAAGUUUUCAUCUUGUAAAUAGAAAUUACCAAUUACCAAAUUGUUGUUCAAAGUAGUAAAAUAAAUAAAUUCUAAAAUCUCCAGAUAUCAAUUUAUAAAAACCAACACAUCAACUCAAGUGUUAUUGUCCAAAUAACUUCAAACUCAAAUAAUUCAAAUUGAAAAUAAAUUUUAACAUUUAAAUAAUGUUCAAAAUAAAAAGAGUUUUAACAAAUGUCCUAACAAGCCAAUUUCUCCUCCAAUUUCUCCUCCUAACCGUCACUCCUCGCCUGAAUUGAGGGUACCUGGAAAAUUAUCAACAAAGGGGGAUGAGCUCAAAGCCCAAUAAGGAACAUUAACAUAGUUUCAUAGAUCAAUUAUUUUCAAUUAUACUUAUAAACAGGAGAUAUAACAUAUAUUGUUUUGAAUGAUCUAUUUUCAGUUAUACAAAUAAUGAUCUAUUUGAUUGUUUUGAAUGAGUUCAAACCAGACAUGAUCCUUUUAUCUAUCUUCUCAUGCAUGUAUUGCUAUCCUUUGGAAUUGUCAAUUCCAUGCUGUCUGUUGUGAUAAAAUCUUAGGUCCAAGGUUUAGCCAAGAAGGAGAUGGGAUAGGGAAAUACUAAAGAGGAGAGAACAUGGAACUUUUAUUUUUUUAUUUUUUUGGCUGGUGAUGCGUGUGAUAUGUGAUGGUAUGAUAAAGUCUUGUCCAGGAAAUUUUUUUUUUUUUGACAAAUUCUUUAUAUUUUAACCUUUCUUAUACUACACAUACUUUAUCGGUGUGUAUUUCAGACUUUGCAUGGACAUAAAGCAGGAGAAAAAUUUUCAGGUCACUAAAGCGUAUGGAUUCAUAGUCAGGGGAGAGCUAGAAAUUUAAUUUAGAGGCACCCUUUUGAGAAUAUACGAAUAGAAAAAUGAAAGAAUUAAUUAUAAUACAAAAGGUUGAUUAUGCUUAUAUUCAAUAAUUUAUCAUUAAUGGGAUUUAAUGAUUUAUCUAUUUAUCUUCAUUCAGGUAUCUAAUUAAUUUUAAAUAUAUGUUUUUUUUUUUAAAUCUUAUAUAAAAAAUUUAAAGAAUAUAAAUUAUUUCUUUUAUUAAAAAAGAGAUAAAUAGCAUCCACAUUAAGUUAAUAUAGAAUUGCUUUGGAAACUAUUCUUAUUUUUUAAUUUUUUUUUUCCUUUUUUGUAAUCUUUUUUCAAAUAUUGGAAUAGAAAGCAUUAAUGUGAGAUUCAUCUAAGUAUUAUAAUUACUUAUAUUAAUCAAAUAGCAUAUGUCCCAGCUUAGUGGUAGAGCAUUUUAUAUGGAUACACAAUAAAACCCUAGUUUGUAUCAAAUUUUUUCAGCUUGUCCUAGCUUAGUGCAUUUUUGCUUCCAGGUGGUGUAGGAAAGGAUGAAAAACUUCUGCCAUUUAUUGGGCUAGUACUAGAUGAAUUGAAGGUUCCUGUGCAAAUUGACUAGUAAUAUGUUUAAAUGCUUUAGAAUUGUGUGAAGAAGUAUUAUAGGUAUUUGUAAUCACUACAAUCCAGUUUAUAUGACCAUUGGACCUUUUAUGGAUUAAGUUCUGCUGACUCAAGCACGUUAAACUUUAAUAUUAGUUUUCCUUCUAAAUUCCACACCAUCUAUAUGAGUCACUUGUGCAUGGACCUAGUAAGCUCUGCUACUAUUUAUUACUCAUUUUGGUGUUAUUAUUUUCUUUUCCUUUCAGUAGCCUUCUGGGCUGUCUUAGGGCUGAUGACCUCCUGUUUAUUCUAGUAUUUUGGAGUUCUUGUAUGUCAGUAGCUACAACUUCUCAAUAUCACUAUUGGAUUUAUUGUUUUUAUCAAUUCCUUCCUUCCAAACAGAAUGAUUCCUUCCUUCAUGCCCUAUUCUUUGUGCCUGCAAGUUAAGCAAAUUGCUAUGCUGUUGCUCCUAAAGGCCCUUGAUCGGUAACAAAGCAUGAUAUAGAACUACCCGUGAAACUUGGUCCAAAUUAUGACUGAAAAGAAAAUGUGUAGGAAGAGUAAGAAGAAACUGAUUUUUUUUCCCUUUCGCCGCCACCCCACUCCCCUCCCCCCCACCCCCCCUCUUUUUUUCCUUUUUUUUUAUAAAGAUAGCCAAGAGUAAGAUGAAACUGAUAUUGAAACACAAUAUUCUUUCAAUCAAUUAAAUAACAAAAUCUAUAAGCACAUUUAUUUUGUAGGAUCUCAGUGAAUGAGUUCAGGUUUUAAUCCUACUGAUCACAAUGCUAAGUUGCAAGGUUUUUUUCUUUUUCUUUUUUAAUAUUCUGUUGCAUUAAUAUAUUAAGCACAAGGAAGGAUGAGAAAUUCUUCAUUACACAAUCCUCUAUACAAAGUUUGAUCAAGAAGGUGGAUUUGUGUAUACCGGUUCAAUAAGUCAAAUCUAGCUAUAAUUCAUGAGGUAUAAAAUCUCCUACAAAAGAAAGCAUAUGUCUAGCUCCAUGUUUUGCUAACUUAUUUGCAGCAUGAUUGCCUAAGCGAGGAACCUGAGGGGUACAUCUUAACUCUGAAGAAAUAUCAAUAAUUUGGCAUAACCACCCACGAAACUUCCAGAAUCCUCUUCUUUACCAUAUUAUGACAAUAGUAGAAUCGCCUUUUGAAAGGGCUAGAAUUUUUGCCUUAAUGGCUAAAUCUCGACCUGCAUGUUUAGAGGUACUCUUAACACUCUGCGAAAGUGAUCCCUAAGUAACCUUUUUGUUCCUAACUACCUUGGGUUGCCCAAAGAACAUCUAUCAAAAUGAAACGGAGCAAAACCCAUUGAAGAUGGUAGUCAUUCAAAAAGUGUCUCCUUGGUCAACCUCGUGGUUCUGCAAACUAGGUUCCAAUCUAGUAGAAUAAAGCUUAAAAAUCCUUCAUUGGUGGAAGCCAACAAGGAAGAAGACAAGUAAAAUAAGUUCUUAAUUGUUUCUUGAGACCUCUACCUAUCCUUAAAAAUUCUUGCACUCCUUUCCUGCCAAGUAGUCCAAAUCAAAGUGAGGUUAGCAACGCGCCAAAGAUUCCUGCCUCGAGGAAGUCCUCCAAAACCUCUGAAGAACAUAAUCAGCAUUGCCUCCUCCUGUCCAGGUGGUGCCCAAUCAAUUCCUACAAGUCGAAACAUUCUACAUCAUGAUGUCAAUGCUACGGGGCAAUGUAAUAGAAAAAUGAUCUAGAGACUCCCUGCUCAUACACACCAUUCCAAGCUAAGUGCUUUGUAUGGUCUUCUUUUUGCCACAAGUCAUGCAAAGUGAAGACUUUUGGUGAGACUUUGAAUUUCCAAUUGAAAGUUGCAGGAAUAAAGGAGACUACAUUGAUAAAAAUAGAGAUAACCUUAAAGAGCGAACUAACUGAGAACUAUCCUAAAGAUGUCAAAGACCAAACUUUCCAAUUAAGAAAAGUGGGUGACAAAUAGACAUGGGCAAAAGAAAACAUUAGAUGAGCUAGUUCCUCAAUUUCCUGCAAAUUUCUUGUUUUCCACUACUUUUAGCCAAGGAUAUUUUGACCAGAUGGAUUUCUAGGUUAUCCACUAAAUAGAACCUACAAAUUUAAUCCUAGUGCUUCUUAUGAGAAUUAUGUUAUAGGGAAGUUCCUGUAAAGUAUUUUGGUUGCACUUUUUACUGCAAAGUAGAAUCCUUGAAAAGAAAUUCUCAUUAGCCGAAGUUCAGUUGUCCAAGCCUGUCAUGUUUGUUGUAAGCCUGAGCUAUCAUUUCAAUGUUUCAAUUGAUUACAAUAUAAAAAUUUCCUGGAAAGCUUUACUAGUCCAAUAGUCUUUUCAUGUUUAAUGGUGUAACCUCACUUAUCUCAGGAAUGUUCAUUUUUAAGAUAAUUUAUUGCUAUGUGUAUUUGAGUUCAUAAUAAUGGAUAUGCACCCAAUGCAUGGUAAGUGAUAACCAGUUGCAUCCAUGGAUAAAUAUUAGUGCAUCUGUAGUAAUGAUGACAAUCAAGAACCUAGUUGUGGGGUUGUCUCUAUGAUGAGGAUAUAUCUCCAAAAUAUACAUCAAGAAAAGGAAUUAGUGUCAGUUGCAAUAAAAGUAGGAUUAAUAUUACUUGGACUUAAAUUAGGAUUAGCAUUUGUUGGAGUUAAAUUAGGAGUAGCUAAUUAGGUUAUUGGAGAAUUAGAAUUAAAGUCAUAAUGGGUUAUUAGAAUCCUAGUAGACUUAGAUUUCUUAGGAAGCUAGGCUCAUAUUGGCCUAAUCAUAAAAAUUUUUACUUGACCAAACUGAAUAAGUUGGUUCUCCAUUGAAUCAUACACAACUUGUUUAAAGGAUCAGAGUCUCAUCAUCUGUACAUUUUCUUAGAAUCUAUACCACUUAAUCUAAUAUAAAUACUGAAAAAUAUUUAUUCUAGGUAUUUUUUAUUUCUUUGUGUGCUAGAAUAUAACUAUGUUCUUGUUUAUAAAUGUCUGUGUAGGUUGCAUCAGAGAAAGGACUUUUCUCUAUUGUCAUAAACCUGCAAGUAAGUUGCUUCUCUCCAUAACAUUUUAGUUUUUAACUAGGUGCUUCUGCAUGCUGGAAGAGGAGUAAAAGUUGUAAUCUUACAGGUACCCGGUUCAACACACUACAGUAUGAUAUUUUAUUUUGUAACUAAGGAAUUGCUAACUGGAUCCCUGUUGCAACGAUUUGUUGAUGGUUAUGAUGAGUUCCGAAAUAGCAGGCUGAAGCUCAUCCCAUCAGUUCCCAAGGUACUUUCUACAUUUUCCAGUUUUUGAAGGAUGCUCAAAUAGAAUGUCAGGACUGUUGCAGGCAGUCCUCACUCCUGCUUGCGGUGCUUAAUAAUUCGUGUCACAGAAGUCUGUCUAUUACCUGUGAAGCGAUCACCCCUGUUGUGUCCACCUGUAUGGCUCAAUAAUUUAUAUUUGGAUGAUCAUGCUGAUUACUUCUUAGCAGAUCUUUUAUGCCUCAGAAGUAUAGGAUUAAGAUAAGAUGCCACACAUGUGCAUUUGCACUUCUUUCAUAAUGUGGUUUGGGUGGAUAAUAAAUUGGUUAGCAAGCAUGUAAAGUCAUGAUUGAAGUUGCAGUGGUAAUCAGGUUUUAUCAUAUUAAUUUACUUCUUUAUUAUUACUAUUAUUUUUGUUCAACUGGAUCCAUGCAUACUUCAAUAGAUUAAAUGCUUAAUUGCUUCUACAAAUUGCUUCCAUAAAUUAUUCAAAUAACUAAACACAGGUUGUUAAGUCUAAUUUACUCUCUCCUUGUGGACCCAUGCAUAUGUGCCAUAUGUUCUGAUUUGAUACAUUGGAUUCUCAUUGAACUGCCCCAAGUGUCCUACAUUACAUCACCAUAUCCAAAUUUUGUAUUAGCAUGUGACAAUUUGCUUCAUGUGCUAAGAUGCAACGAGUGCUGAUCCAUUGGUUAGAUGCUAUUAUUGAUUACUUGAAAUUGGUUCAAGGAUCUUGAUUUGGUUAUAGAGUUGGACGCUCCUCGAGAGUUAUGGACUAUGCAUAAAUUAUACCCAUUCCAACUAAAUUGAGAGAGGGAGCAUCGCGUCCAAGGGGCAUGUCACCAUUUAUGUUUGAUGCACUAUAUGAGAGGUUGACCUGUUUCUGUGACAAACCUAGCUGUGGCCCUUGAUUCAAUAUACCCAGGAGAUCUUUGAUUGGUUGUGCAUGUUCUUGUGGUUAGCAUGGGCCUCCCAAGUCAAUAACUAUCAAAGACCUCUCAUUGGUUAAGUCUAUGAAUAUGGGCUCUUAAAUAAGGUGUAGACUACAUGAUAUACAUCAUGUGCUCAAAUCUUUCAAGUUUAAACUUUUAGGAUAAUUGGUUCACCAACAUUGUAUCAGAGCCUCAUUUGGUGGGAGGUCAUGUCUUCGAACCUCAUGACAUAUUUAUUUCCUUGAUUUAUUAAGCCCAAAUGAGGCUACUUUAUUUCCCUAGUUUAUUAAGCUCACAUGUAAGCCCGAAGUGUAAGCCUAAUGGAGGCCCCACUUAAAGGAGGGUGUUAAGAGUGCAUGAUAUACAUUGUGGGCCUAUUACAAACUUAUGCUUUUAGGAUAAUUGGUUGUUCAACAUAAAGGAUUGUAGAGGGCUCAUUGAAGAAGGAUUUUUGUCUAUCUAAAGAGUGCUCUUCAGCCAUCUUGAGUCCUUGAGAUUUCCUGUACAAGCUUAAGCCGUCCUUGGGGCACUAUCAUCUUUCUCCAUCUGCUCUCUUUUUAGCCCUUUUUGCUCUCCUCUCAAACGUUUUAUAACUCACCAUUCCCAUGGUUACUUCAGACCUAUCAUAAUAAUGCAAUAUAUUUAUUUUAGUUAAACUGACUUUGCUUCCUCAAGCAUUUCUUGGUUGUGCUUGGGUGGGUUAGUAAAUAUUUGAACACAGCCCAAAUUCAUCAUCCGGACCUUAAACAUUCCCAAGUUUCAAUACAAACUAUUAAGUCAUUGAACUGAACCUGUCCUAUCUAUGGAUUUUCAUGUUGACUAAACAUAGUUCACAGCCUUAGGAUACAUUAGUGGCUGGUAUCCAAUGGGUUUCUUGAUGGCCCUUAAAAACAGGCCAUCUCAUUUUCAUGAAACCUUAUAUUGAUGUGGGCAGUUUUUUCUCUUCAUCCUCGCUAGAAUAUUAUUCCAUUUCUGUUUUCUGCUUCUUUGUGCUCUUUGACAUCUCUAUAUUCUGGGCUUGUUCUUUCAAUACUGUUUCAUUCAGGCUCCAUGGAUGGUGCGCCGGAUUGUUGGAAGCACCCCUCAUUUCCUAGGAAAAGUAGUUGAUUGCAAUUAUAUCCGUGGUCCAAAGUACUUGGAGGUAAAGGCCCUUCUAAAUUCUAUAGUAUAUGAUUUUACCUUCAGAAAAAUUCUGAAAUUCAUUCAGGAAUACUGUAGUUUAACAUCACUCAAUUUUCUGUAGAUUGAUGUUGAUUUUGGUUCUUCAACUGUUGUUGAUGGAGCUUUGGCCUUUGUAAAUGGUGCAAUUCCUAACUUGGUUGUUGACAUGGCUUUCCUUGUACAGGUAUGUUCUCUUUAUUAAUCCUGACCAUCUUAACUGAGUGUUGAUCAGGACUUCCUACCUAAGUUGUUGAUUAUAUUCAAUGACAUAAGCAAGGAUUCACUUACAGGAGAGCUAAUCAUGUACUGACUUUCUAAUUAGAGAUGACAAAGUCUAAACCUGCCAAGUUGUUGCACAAGCCCUGGAACCUGCUUAUAUUAUUUUAAACCAAUAACUAUACAUAUUUUAUCUGAUUCAAGAAACUUUUUAAUUUGGAUAACUUACAGGAAUGUCAGUUUUUUUAUAGUACUAAAAUCAUCACCAUGUACCAACUUGGUGAGUUACAGAGAAACUUUUAUGGGAAGGGAUGGGGAGGCAAGAAAGACCCACUUGGUUAAAUAUGAGGUGGUCUGUUUGUUGAAAGUGGAGGGAUGAGCAGAACAUUGUUAGGAAAUAGCUUUGAAGAUUUGCGGAAGAAAAGGUUAGUGGAUGAAAUUAGUGUUAAGGAAAUUCAAGGGAAGGAGUUUUGGUGUUCACGAGAGGUAGGAGAUUUGUUGGGAUAGGGUUGUGGAAGGUGUGAGAAAGGGGUUUGUGUUGUUUUGCUCAGUUGUUGUUAUGGCAUGAUGAUGCUUCAGGGAAGACACUGUUGAAAGAGUGAUCUCCUAAUCUGUUCAGAGUUACAGUUAAGUAGAGAAGUGGAAAAAUACUGGAUUGUUAGGUUGGAGAGAAGAGUGGGAGAAACUGCAGUCCAAGCUUUAUCAGGGUUCUUCCCAACUGGGAAAUAUUGAAGUGAUCUGUAGUAUGGUGGGGUGGAAAACUGGGGCUGAGGUGAUGCAAUUGAGUGGAAUCUUACUGCAGAUAAAAGUAGAAUAUCUGCUGAAUCACUUUUAUCAAAGGUAAGGAUGAAUUGGGGUACGGUUGAUGCAAUUGAGUGGAACCUGACUUCAAAUAAAAUAAUUUUUUGGUAAAUCACUUUUUGUGGUGAUAGGGAAUAGGCAAUGUUGACUAUCCAGGAGAUUUGGGGUUUUUUGGCACAUGCGACAGUGGCACUCUUCAUGAGUACAGCAGUUUGGAAAAUGAUGUUUACCAUGCCCGCUGGUGAGCAGGGGAAGAAUCAUUGCUAAUCAGUGUUGUAUGUUAAGAAGGAUGGCGAGUGUAUUCAUCUCUUUCUCUGGCACAGAGGCUUGAGACUUAUGAUCUGCAAUCUUGAUCCUUUUUGGAAGUUUCAGGUGCCCCCCACAACUUAUGAGCAAGGAGCAGUCCAAUCGACAUUAUGAGUUUGUAGUGAGGAUAGGAGGAAAGGUGGAAGACUUCACAUUAUAGUUGGUUUAGUGCUUAUGGAAAGAGCAUUGUGAAAGGACUUGUAAAGGCAUUGAAACUCUAGUCUAGAAGUUGUUGGAGAUUAUCCUUGGAUGUUUAUUUCUUGGAGAAAAUACUUUUGAUUUCCUUAGCUUUUUACUUGAAUAAGGUGGAAGAAACCCUUUGGUGCUUUAAUGUAGCUUGUGCUGCACAUAUAUUUCUGGUUAGACACAAUCUUGAAACCCACUCGACUUCUUUCCAGCACUACAUCUAAUAAUCUCCUUUUAAAAACCUAUAACCCUCUCAAGCUUUGUGAUGCCCUGGAGCAUUUGCUAAUUGCUACCAGCCAUAGAGAAGACCCCCAAGGAAAAUACUCAAAAGUUUGGGCCGCCAGGAGAUUCUAUUCUAUCCCAAAAAAAUUGCAGAAGGCAAGCACACUGGUCCUCUCUUUGGUGGAUUAUGGAUUCUUCCAAUACUUUCAAACAACACUACGCAUAAAACCGGCACCUAACCCCCCCACCCCCCAACAAAAUUCUUACGCCUUCUAAUUUUUCAACCCAUUCACUUUUCUUAUAGAUUCUUUGAUAAGUAAAGAUUGGGCUUUGGUUGGAUAUAUUAUUUGUUUUUUGUUUUUCAAAUUAGAAACUUCUAUAUAAAAAGUAAAAACUCUUGUACAAAAAUAAUUGUGAAGAGAGAGAAAAAGGGAGAAUCCCUAAUUAUUGUUAUUAAAAAACUGUAAAGAAUACACAUUGGACUUGGGUAUAUAUAUACAUGUUAGUGGGAUCCACAAUACAAUAAGGAAAGACUAUACACUAUCUAACACUCCCCCUCAAGCUAGAGCAUAUAUGUUAUAUGCACCAAGCUUGUUACAAAUGUAUUUAAUUCUAGGACCUCUGAGAGAUUUAGUAAAAAUAUUUGCUAGUUGAUCAUUUGAAUUGACAAAACUAGUCGCCACACAUCCUGAUGCGAUCUUCUCUCUAAUGAAGUGACAGUCAACUUCAAUGUGUUUGGUCCUUUCAUGGAAGACUGGAUUGGAUGCAAUAUGCAAAUUGGCUUGGUUGUCACAGAUGAGUUUCAUCUAUUCAUCCUUUCCAAAUCUCAACUCCCGAAGAAGAUGUUUCAGCCAUAUGAGUUCACAUGUUGCCAGAGCCAUAGCUCGAUACUCGGCUUCAGCACUAGAUCUGGCCACUACAUCUUGUUUCUUACUCUUCCAAGAUAUUAGGUUACCUCCAAUAAAAACACAAUACCCGGAAGUGGAACGUCUAUCUGUGGGUGAGCCAGCCCAACAACUUGGGUAUGACCUCUGUUCUCGUACAACACACUUGGCCUGGUGUGCUUUUGAUAUAUUGAAGAAUGCGGAUUACAACAUCCCAAUGGCUAUCACAUGGUGACUAUAGGAAUUGACUAACCACACUUACAGGAAAAGAAAUGUCUGGACGAGUAAUGGUGAGAUAGUUCAGUUUACCUACAAGUCGCCGAUAUCUCCCAAGAUCUCCUAAAGGCUCCCCCUAUCCUGGUAUAAGUUUGACAUUUGGAUCCAUAGGAGUGUCUACCGGUUUACAGUUUAACAUACCGGUUUCUUCCAAGAUGUCUAAAGCAUACUUCCUUUGGGAAAGAACCACACCGGAACUGGAUUGAGCUAUCUCAAUCCCUAAGAAAUACUUGAGUUUCCCCAAGUCUUUAGUCUGAAAGUGGGUGAAAAGGUGUUGCUUUAGUUUCUGAAUACCAUUCUGAUCACUGCCUGUAAUGACGAUGUCGUCCACAUAAACUACCAGAUAAAUACACUGCCCCGAAGAGUUAUGAUGAUAGAAAACGAAAUGGUCUGCUGUACUGCGGAACAUGUCAAACUCUUGAACAACAGAACUAAAACAGCUAAACCAUGCUUAAGGAGAUUGUUUCAAGCCAUAUAGAGAAUGGCGUAACUUGCACACUAAACCAGACUCCCCUGAGCAACAAAACCAGGUGGUUGCUCCAUAUAAACUUCCUCAGCAAGAUCCCCAUGAAGGAAAACAUUUUUAAUAUCUAACUGAUAAAGAGGCCAAAAACGCAUAGCAGCCAUGGAGAGCAAUAGACGAACAGAAGCUAUCUUGGCAACAGGAGAGAAAGUGUCACCAUAAUCAGAACCAUAAACCUGAGUAUAGCCUUUAGCAACCAAGCGGGCCUUAAGGCGAUCAACCUGACCAUCAGGGCCAACCUUAACUGUGUAGACCCAACGACAACCAACUGUAGAUUUACCAGAGGGUAAAACAACAAGAUCCCAAGUGCCAUUGGAGUGUAAAGCAGCCAUUUCAUCUACCAUUGCCUGUCGCCAGCCUGGAUGGGAAAGAGCCUCAGGGGUGCUCUUGGGAAGAGAAACAGAAUAUAUAGCAGAAACAAAUGCAGAAUAGGAUGAAUAUAAUCGAUGGUAACUCAAAAAAUUGUAAAUGGGAUGAGGAUUACGAGUAGAUCAAUUACCUUUCCGAAGAGCAAUGGGUAAGUCAGCAGAAGGAGGCAGAGCCAGGGCAGGAGAAGCCGAAGGGAUAGGAAGUGAGUCAGCAGGUACCUCGGCCAAAGAAGGAGGAACAGCGACACGAUGACGGCGAUGAUAAACCUGAAGUGGGCGAGAAGGCACUGCAUCAGGUGGGGAGAUAAUGGGAAGGGGUAAGACUUCAGAAACAGGAAAAGACUCAGAAGUGGAGAAGAACGGUGAGUCCUCAAAAAAAGUGACAUCAACGGAGAGAAAGUAGCGAUGAGUCUCAGAGGAAUAACAACGAUAACCCUUUUGAAGUCUGGAAUAUCCAAAGAAGAUGCAUUUUGUGGCUCUGGCAGAAAGUUUGUCCUGUCCAGGAGUGAGAAUAUGAACAAAGCAAGUACAACAAAAAACACGAGGAGGAAGAAAAUAAAGUGGUUGGUCAGGGAAAAGAAGGGAAUGAGGAAUCUGAUCGUGUAAUACAGAUGAUGGCAUACGAUUAAUCAAAUAACAUGCUGUAAGAACAGCGUCCCCCCAAAAACGAAAAGGAACAUGACUAUGGAGAAGAAGAGUACAAGCUGUCUCAACAAGAUGUCGAUUCUUACGUUCAACUACCCCAUUUUGUUGAGGAGUAUGAGCACAAGAAGACUGAUGAAUGAUCCCAUGUUGGGACAUAAAUGAAGUAAAUGGUGUAGAAAAAUAUUCCCUGGCAUUGUCACUGCGCAACACACGAAUAUAAAUAUUGAACUGGGUUUGGAUUUCAGCAUAAAAUUUCUGAAAAAUAGAGAAUAAAUCAGCUCGAUUUUUCAUUAAAAAUAACCAAGUAUAUCGAGAAUAGUUAUCAAUGAAAGUGACAAAAUACUGAAAUCCUAAAGUAGACGCGAUCCGACAAGGACCCCAAACAUCAGUCUGGACAAGUUCAAAAGGAGACUUUGUCCGAUUAUUCAAACGCUUUGGGAACGAGACACGAGUAUGUUUCCCAAGCUGACAGGACUCACACGCAAGCAACGACAAAGAUGAAAAACUAAGGACCAUUUUCUGGAACUUGGAUAGACUAGGGUGACUCAGGCGACUGUGGAUGAGAAGGGGAGCAUCAGUGGAAAUGCAAACUGUAGGAGUUGAAGGCGCAGUGAGGUGAUAGAGGCCUUAAGAUUCACGUCCUAUGCCAAUCGUCUUCCCCGUACUCCGGUCCUGCAAGGUCACAAAUUUAUCAGAGAAAGUGAUAGAACAGUUAAGAGUGCGAGUUAUUUUGCUGAUGGAAAUAAGAUUAAAAGGACACUCAGGGGCAUAAAGGACAGAAUGAAGAGAUAAGGAAGGGAGAGGAUGAGCAAAACCAAAACCUUUAGCCCUAGUUUGGGAACCAUUAGUUAAAGUAACAUUAGGUAAGGCAGAGGUAGUAGUAAUAGAAGAGAAAAGAUCCUUAUUACCAGAUAUGUGAUCAGAAGCGCCAGAAUCUAGAAUCUAAGGUCCAAGAGAAGAUGUGUGGGUAAGACAAGUAGAAGCAUUACCAGUCUGGGCAACAGAAGCUGACUUGGUGGCCUGAUAGCGAAGAUAGUCAUCAUACUCACUGUCAGUGAGGGAAAUACCCUGAGAUGUGGAGGAACUGGGAGGCUGAGGCGACUGAGGAUCAGAUGACUGGGCCACGUGGGCAGUGCGGGGAGGCCGCCCAUGUAACUGAUAACAUCGAUCACGAGUGUGGUCAAGCUUAUUGCAAUAGGUGCAAUGAGGACGUUAGCCUCUACCUCGGUUACCACUGCGUCCUCCUCGAGAGCUAGUUUGAGAAACUAACACAGAAGAAUCUGAAGUCUUAUCAGAUGGCAAAGUUUGAGUGGAGGAGAUACAGAGGAGGCGAGCAAACACAUCAUCUAAGGAUGGAACGGAGGAACUGCCAAGAAUCUGAUAACGGACGGUCUGGAGAUCUGGACGGAGGCCAAUAAGCGUAAGAACCAUGAAGAAUUUGUCAAUUUGUGUUUGUUGAUCCCCAACAUCAGUAGUAAGAGGCAUCACGGUCAAGAAUUCCUUCUUAAGACAGGCAAUCUGGCCAAUAUAAGUAAAUAAAUCCAUGUCUUGUUGUCUGACAUUGACAAUAGAAGAAGCCACCUUAUAAAGACGUUGGAUAUCAUUCGUGUAUAGCCCUUUCGCCUGAUUCCAAAAUUUAAAGCGUGUUUUGUAGGCCCGAAGAUGAAGCAGAAUCUUAGGAUCAACUGAUUGCCAUAACACACUACAUAACUGUGCAUCUAUCUUCCUCCAUUGUACUCUGUCAACCUCAGGGAUAUCCGCCUCCUGUGUAACAAGGUGAUCCUCAUAACCUUGAUCCAUAAACCAAAGCUCCACAGAGGCAGACCAGGACAAAUAAUUUUCACUCCCAAUCAAUUUCUCCGAAGUAAUCAUAGGAGAUCCAAAUAUGACAGAGGAAAAAGUGAAACUUUUAGUAGCCAUAUCUACUUAUCUGGUGAACGAAAUACGUUUGGAUCGAAGAGAGCCCUAAUACGGCUUAUCGCGGACUUCCUAAGACACGUGCAGGGCUCGGGGUGGAGAGGAAGUCAUUGGAGGUCGUCGGAAAGGUGGUUUAGAGGGCCGGCGGAGACAAAAAAAACCCAAAAAAAUGCACUUUUAGGGCUCAGAUGACACAAGCGCAGAUGGAGGGUGGCUAGACGGCAUCAGGCGAGGCUGGAGGUGGAAGCGCGUGGCCGAAAAGUGCCCCACGCGCCGGCGCGUGAGAUUUAGGCCGCCGGAGAAGAGACGCUCGUGGACGGCACGUGGCUGGGAUUCUUCCUCCGGUGCUUUGAGAAAAGUUGAAGAUCUCCUCCUUGCGCACCUGAUGGUAUGGUCGGUGUCGGAAAAGGAUUUCGCUGGAAAAGGUCGCCGAAAAAGUCGCCGGCGGUGAGGGUUUUUUGAUGGCAACACGGUUGAUCAGAAGCUUUAGGAGAUGGGAAGGGUGACUGGAAUGAAACACGGUCACUGAAAGAUUUCCCAGAAUGGAUUCACGGAUAAACCGGAAAUAAUUAGGAUUUUUUUUUUUCCCUAGACUCUGAUACCAUGUGAAGAGAGAGAGAAAAGGGAGAAUCCCUAAUUAUUGUUAUUGAAAAACUGUAAAGAAUACACAUUGGACUUGGGUAUAUAUAUACAUGUUAGUGGGACCCACAAUACAAUAAGGAAAGACUAUACACUAUCUAACAAUAAUAGACUCAUCAUAUGUCCUUAAAAAUUACUUCAAAAACUUUUUAAAUUUGAGAUAGUAAAAAAAUUUUAAUUUUCUAUUCUGAGAAACAAAAAACAAAAAGUGUAUCCAAACCAACACUUAGUGAUUUAGUGAGCAAGUAUAAAGAUCAGUUGAUUUUUGUGUGUGGAUCAAGUCAGUUCUCUGAAGCAUAUUUCUUUUUUUUUAAGGGCUGGUUGUUUUGUUGUCACAUUCGUAUCACAUUUUCACUGCCAUGUCCAUCCAUGUCCAUGCUACGUAUCCCCCUGACAUGUUUAGUAUCACACUAGAACAUCAUUACAAUAUGCACCCUGCAUGUAAAUUUUUGUGACCAUAUAUCACAAAAUAUUUUCCAGUCACCAGUUUAAGGACUAUAAAAUAUGAAUAAAAGAUCAGCUUACCUUACAUUAAGAAGCCAUCUCUUUAUAAAUUCUCACUUUCCAGUAUCAGCUUUAAAGGCAAACAUUGUGUUGAAAUAGCAGGAACAAUGAUAAUAAGAUGAUUCUUUUGAGACUAUGGUUUCUUGAAGCUUUGUUCAUACCAGAGUUGUUAUGCUAAGGUUCAUCAUGUGCCCAAGAAGUCAGUCUCUUAUAUGAAAAUUUUUCUGAUGUUGUUGUCUUUGUUCUCAGGGAAACACUGAGGAUGAGUUGCCGGAGAGGUUGAUCGGCGCAGUCCGGGUUUCCCGUGUAGAUUUUUCAUCAGCUAUAGUCCCAAAAUUGGACCCAUAUACAUAUGCUUGAGUUGAAACAUUGAAUUUUAUACAAAAUCUUUUGUUUGUUUCAGGUAUGCAGACAUAUAUGUAUAUUAAUAUUGCUAGUUCGACUUUAUCAAAAGAUUUGUUAGAAAUAAACAAUGUUUUUAGAAUGGGAUUGAAUAUUGAAUUAGAAAAAUUAUCAGUUCGACGUUUAUUGAUUGAAAUAGUGGUUGAAUCAAAGUCAAAUCGGUAACAUUAUAAACAUAUAAUUUAUAUUUUAUUAAAUUAAAAAUAUAUAUUAUUACAAUUUGUAAUAAUAUUUUAUUUUUUAUAUUUGAUAUGUUAAAUUAAAUAAUAAAGAUAAAUAAAACGUAUUAAUAUAUUAAAUUUUAUUAAAUAAAAUAUAUAUAAUAUUUAAAUAUAAGAAUAUAUUUUAAAUGAAAAAAAAUUAUAAUAUUUAUUUUAAUUACAUAUCCAUGCAUUUUUUAUUUAAAAAUCAUUAUAUUAAUUAAUUUAUAUUAUUUUUAUAUUUAUCAUAAAUAAUUAUCAUAAAAACAUUCUAAGAUAAAAAUAUUUAUAUAUGUUUAAAUGUUUUAUAUGAUAAAAAUUAAUAUAUAUAGAUAUAUUUACCAUAUUAUUAAUGAAAUGGCUAUGUAACUUAUGUUUCUCUACCUGUUGUGUUAACCAGCGUAUCUUAGUAGCGGACAAAUGAGCAUGGGAGGCAGGAACAGGCAAAUGAGUUUAGAAAGAAGGAACUUGGACCAGAUGAAUGGGGAGCAACAAGUUUUUGGUCAACUGAUGGUUGACCAAUUUGUGUGAAACCAGAUGGUCUAACCGUUCGAUUAACCAAGUUUAAAUUCAGACUGGAUUGAUAGGAGAGCGGUGGAUGGUCGAGUGCAGUUCAUCAGAUCGAAUGGGAGAGGCGGGAGGACACUAGUGGACGAACGAUUGACUAUUGGUGACAAGGAAAUGAAAGAAAAAGUGACGAGAAUCAAGAUAAUUCUAUUUUUAAAUAAAAAAUAUUAUUUUGGUCCAAAACUCGGUCAAAGGCGUUUCGAAGGACAAAUAAAUGAACCGACUCCAAACUCCAAGGAGAUUGUCCUCGAUCCUAAACUUCUAGUCGACUCGGCAUUACACGACUCCCACCCUAUGCAUUAUGAAAUGUCGGGAGAAAAAAUUAUGCUACGCGGUGCAUUGUAACUUGUAAGAAAAGAAAGGAGAUGCCUCACCUCCUCUUUCUCACAUCACACCUACCAGUCAAAGUCCCUCCUACCAGUAAACCUCGCAUGCUUCUCCCCUAAGUCAUCCUCCUCCUUUCCCUCUAUAAAACCCACUACGUCUCAAUCUCAUUCCAAAAAUCCACCUAUCCAUCACUGCAACGAUGUCUGCCCAUAUCAUAGUGUUCCCUUUUUUUGGGCAAGGCCAUCUCCUCCCUUGCAUUGAGCUCUGCAGACACCUCGCCUCCCGCACCUUCAACACCACCCUCAUCAUCUCCUCCAAUCUCUCCUCCUCCAUCCCCUCCGAUCUCCGCCGUAUUCCUCUCUUCCACAUCUUUGAGAUCUCAUCCUCAUUACCUCCUCCUCCUCCGCCAUCGUCGCCCUCCCCGGAUUCCGAUCCCAUGAGCCACCACCAUCCCCACCACCAGCAGAUGGGUACGGCCAUCGAAUCCCUCCUCUCUUCCAGAUCCACAUCCCCAGACUACGUCCCACCCCUCUGUGCCAUAAUCGAUGUGAUGAUGAGCUGGAGCAAAGAUAUUUUUCAUAAGUUUAACAUCCCAGUCGUUUCUUUCUUCACCUCCGGUGCCUGCUCCGCUGCCAUGGAGUACGCCUCCUGGAAAGCCGGCGCCUUUAACAUCAAGCCCGGCGAAGUCCUACCCCUUCCCGGCCUACCCGAAGACAUGGCCUUGACUUACUCCGACCUUCAACGCGGCCCUCACGGUCCUCCUGGCGGCCCACCUGGACCCCCCGGUUCAGGAGGCCCACCUGGACCACCCGGUGCAAGAGGACCACCACGGUCGGGUCCCAAGUUCGGGGGGCCACCCAAACCGGGGCACCAGCCACCGUGGGUCGACGAGACAGCGGGCUCGAUCGCGCUUAUGAUCAACACGUGUGACGACCUGGAGCGUCCGUUCAUCGAGUACGUGGCCCACCAAACCGGAAUCCCGGUCUGGGGUGUGGGCCCGCUUUUGCCAGAUCAGUACUGGAAGUCAUCCGGUUCGCUCCUCCACGAUCGGGACAUCCGACCCAACAAGAAAUCCAGCUGCACUGAGGAGGAGGUGAUCCAGUGGCUAGACUCCAAGCCCCGUGGAUCCGUCCUGUACGUGUCAUUCGGAAGCGAGGUAGGUCCUACCAUGGAGGGCUACGCCCAACUGGCGCUUGCAUUAGAAGCCUCGAACCGGCCAUUCAUCUGGGUGAUCCAACCCGGUUCAGGCCGGCCAGGUCCACCUCGACGACCGGGUUCAGACUCAAACGAAGACAGCGGAUACUACCCAGAUGGAUUGGAGGAGAAAGUAGGAAAAAGAGGUCUGAUAAUACGUGGGUGGGCACCACAACUGUUGAUACUGAGUCACCCAUCGACAGGUGGAUUUCUAUCACACUGUGGAUGGAACUCCACUGUGGAGGCAAUAGGGCGUGGAGUGCCCUUUUUGGCUUGGCCAAUCCGUGGAGACCAGUACUCCGAUGCGAUGCUAGUGGUGAAACAUCUCAAAAUUGGGUACAUGGUGUUUGCUAAAGAUGCUUCUGAAAAUAUCGUAAAAGAGGCCAUAGUUGACGGAAUAGAGAAGGUGAUGAGUGAUAAAGACAUGAAGAAAAGGGCGGAGACGAUAAGUGGUAAGUUUGGGAAUGGGUUUCCGGCGACUUCGGCUGCUGCUUUGGAUGCUUUUAGGGAUUUUAUCAACCAAAGGGCUCCAUAAGCACUUAUAAUUAAUGUGUCAUCCAUCCAUACACCUUUUUUUUUUUUUUUUUUUAAUGUAUUUACAUAUCAUGUAUCAUGGAGGCCUAACAUAUUAACAUUACGAUCUUAUAAGCUUUAGUCUCAAUUUUUGCACUUUGAUGAUAUUACUAAAAGGAGGCCCGGUAUAAUAAUAAUUUAUCUUUUAGUUUUUUAUUUAGGUGUUUGAUAAAAUUUAAUAAAGUGAUUUCAAGUUAAUUUAUUAACUUAAAAUUUAUUAUUUAAUUUUUAUUUUGAGUACUAAAGUUAUUUGAUAAAAUCAACUUAAAAUUUAUUCUAAAUUAUUAAAUUGAUAUAUUAAUUUUUCAUAAAUUAUAAUUAAGAUAAAUAAGAUCAAAAUAACAAUAAAUGUCGUGGAAUAGUAAAGAAAAUCAUGAAAAUAAUAAGGAAUGUUUUGAAUCCAACUCACCUACCACUUUAAUGGAUAAACAUCCCAACCCUUGCAACAUACUAUAACCCCAAGUGGUAAAGAGCUGACAUCAGUAUGCCAAACCUUCUCAUUGAUGUGAGCUCUUGGAGAAAGAUUAGUAUGUUAUCCUUAAAAUAACUUUUAUUUAUUAAGCAAUGACCCUUCCAUUUGACAUAAUCGAAAUCACUAAGGCUAACUUUUGUCCCUACUUGAUGAGUGAGUCUCGUAAUUAAGCUCCUUUCUACCUUUGUACUUGAGGGUCAAUCUCCAUUCAAUUAGAGGAAACCUUUGCACGCCUUUGUUAUCUUUUAGAAAGUAUAGGAUAAAAAUAUAAAAUGAAGAUAUAGAUUUAAAAAUAAAUUAAUUAUUUUUACUUAUUAUUUAAAUUUAUUUUUUAUCUUAAAUCAUACCAUUCAAUUAUUUUAUCAUAAAUACUUGACAAUAGCAUGCAACCCCAGAUGAAACAAAGAGUCCAUGCCUGAAGGGCCUAAAUUCUAUUUUUAUUUCCAAGCGGGACCCACUAAAAUAAAAGUAUAUACGACAUCUUAUCAUUAAGACAAAUUAUUAAAGAUUAAUUAAAAUUCAACAAAAAGAUUCAAUACAACUUUUUAUUAUCAUAAUUCUGAUGCUAAAAAAAUGAAAUGUUAUAAAAAACAAUCAUCCAAAAAUUUUAAAUAUACUGCUCAUUUUGGGAUUAGGAUUGUUGUUUUCAAGUAAAGAAGAUGAGGGCAAUGUUAUAAUUUCACAUGUUAUAUUUGUAUUUUAUUUUUUCAUAGUUUUUAUGAUAAAAGUAAAUAUAAAAAAAUAAUUUUUUUUAAUAUACUUAUGGAAGUUAUUGAAAAUAUGUGAAAUUAAAAUCAUUAAAUGAAAGUAAAAACUUAGAAAAUUAAAAUAAAAAAUGAAAUCAAAUUAUAAAGCAAUGGGAUUAAAGUUGAAAAAAAAAUAUAAUAAUAAUAAUAAUAACAUGUACAAAACAAUAAAAAUCAGAUGCAUCGCCUAAUCAGGAGUAGAGAUUAGGUGUAGAGAAAACGUAACUAAUGGUGUUGGGAGUUAUAUGGAUUGUUAAGUUAUUAAUGAAGAAUAUUUGGAAGUUAUCGGUAUAUAUUUAUAAUUAUAGUUAUAUUUAUAAGAAAAGAAAUAAAAUAACUGAUUUAAUUAAGAUAUAUCUUAAGUUGUUUUUUUUAAUCUUAAAUUGUACUAUUAAAUUAUUUUAUUAAACAUAUUUAAUUUAUUUAAUAAUUUAAAUUAAAUUAUUAAAUUACUUUAAGUUAUUAAAUUGGUUUACCGACAUUAGAUAACUUAAUGAUUAACCUUCAAAUAAUUUAUGACAAUAGCAUGCAACCGGGGAUGAAACAAAGAGUCCAUGCUUGAAGGGGCUAAAUUCUAUUUUUAUUUUCAAGCUGGACCCACUAAAAUAAAAGUAUAGAUGACAUCUUAUCAUUAAGAUAAAAUAUUAAAGAUUAAUUAAAAUUCAACAAAAAGAUUCAAUACAACUUUAUAUUAUUAUAAUUCUGACGCUAAAAAAAUGAAAUGUUAUAAAAAAUAAUCAUUGAAAAUUUUAAAUAUACUGUCGGUUACAAAUAUUAUUAAAAGUAACAUGUAAUUAUCAAAAUGGAUAUGAAUUUUUUUUAAAAUUUAAACAAUUUCUUUAUUCCACUAUAUAAACCAAGCUUUAAUUAAAUAAAUUACUAUCUUAUUUAAAACCCAAUUCAUAGUAGUUUCCUUUCUAUUUUUUUUAAAUAUAAUAUUUAUAUUUUUAUACUUUAACUAAAUUCAAGUAAACUUGAUAUUAAUAAUUUUUUUGUAAUUUAUAUUUUCCCGAUGAGCAUAUAUAAAGGAAAAUUAUAAAUACAUUCACCUAAACUCUUUUCACAUCUACCCUAUUGGCACACUCGCUUAAAAACUUCUAAAUAUGUCCACCCUACAAUUUUUAAAAACCCAAAAGACCCUUCCCAUUAUUCUCUCUAAACCCAUCUUUUUCCUUUAUCCCUCAACUACAAACCCUUAUUACAAAUCAUCAUGUUUGAAGUUUAUUUAAUAUUAGAAGCCUAUUGUAACCAUGGUCAUAACUAAUUUUUGAUAAAAAAUAAAAAAAUAAAAACAAAAAAAACAUGUUAAAAUGGUUGAAAAACAAUUUGGAAGGAUGUAUGUGUAAUUUAAAAGUGAGAAAUCAUGAAUGGCUGAUGUAAAUGAAGGAUAAAAAAAUAAAUAAAAAAAUUGACCCCGUGAUAUCCAAGAAGGUCUAACAUAAUUGAGAUAUUCAAUCCUUUAAUUCCAAACAUCUCAACUAUGUUUGGUUGGUGAGUGUUAGACAUUUAAGCUAGGACCUAACAUCAUGGUUCCAUUUUUUUUUUUUUUUUGGUUGUUGAAUGGUACCUUGAGGGAUUUCAUCAUGGGGCAUUUAUAAACUCACUAAAAUAAAAGAUAAUGAAAAAGUAUAUGUAAAAAAAAUCGUAAAAGAAAAAAGAUUACUACACAACAUAAUAAACAAAUAAAUCAUGAUGACCUUUGAAAAAUGGCCUUUCACCUGUUUCAAAAUUGAUUUCAAAAUCCAUUAGAUUAUUUGGAAUCAUUUUUCAUUUACUUUUACUAAACAGUAGCCAAAAGUAAAUUACAAACGAACUCUCAAUAUGGAGUGACAUUUAACAAAGACACCAGCUGUAGACCCCCAUUUAGGCAUGGGUCACUCUUUCUCUAUUUGUUUUGCAGAUCACAUUUUUAGCCAGGUGUCGCUAUCCCAGCGGGCCACGUGUCGCAUCCUUAGUGGCCAUAAGGAUUUUGAAGCUGCAGAAGGAGUGAGACAGAAAAGGUGGUGACCGAAAAGAUGGCAGAAAAGGCAGUUGCAGGGAGGCGAGACAGAAAAAAGGUGGCAGAAAAGGCGGCUGCAGCAGAGAUCGUUGGGAAGGCAAAUCCGAGAUAGAGAGAAAGGAAGAAAAAUGAGAGGACUAGGAAAGGAGAAGGAGAAGACAACAUUGUGGGGAACGGAGGAGUUUUUUUAGUUUUUUUGAGAAUUUUGAGGGAAAGAGAUGGGGGUUUGAAUUGGAGCAGGAAGCUAAGAACAGAGGAGCGCAGAGUUGCUGGGAAGAGUCCAGGACACGGAGCUGAGAAGGGAGAUUUCCAGGUAUGACCAUUUGUUUUUUUAUGCAUAUUUUCCAUUUUUUUCAUAUUGUCCAAGCCUGAUCAUCAGUGAUUUUUCAUGUCUGCUUGUUGGGUUGUUCUGUUUUGGUGAUUACUGAUUAAAUGUUGGAAGAGUUUGUUGUGUUUUAUGCCCUAUUCUGACAAGUAUUUUCAAUCGUAACUCACUGGAUGUUGGACCCAUGGAUGAAACGAUGAAAUGGGUCUGAUAUGCUGGUUAAAGUCUUCAUUUUCUUCUUCUUGUUGCUAUCCUGUUAUCUCCUAGUUUUCCUUUCCUCCCUGAGUGCACUCAUGCAAGCGUGUCGUCAUCUCAUCCCCAUGUUUUUUUUUCCUUUAUCCGCCAUACCCAUCAUUCGUCUAUACACCUCUCUCUCUAGGUCGUCAUACCCAUUUCCUCACUCAAGCUUGCAGGAAUCAGGCAUCCUCCACUGCACCCAUUUUCCUCUCAUUCAUUCUCCAUCCCACUCCCCCACUUACAUGGAAUCUCAAGAGUGCAUGCUAUCCUUCACUCUUUCGCAUACCCGUUAAAACCACUCACCCAAGCCUCCAUAUCCAUACGAUCCACCAAACCCGUUUCUCUCUCUAAACUUUCACCUACCUGUGGGAUCCUCCCUAAAAAAAUGACACGUGGCUCUCUCUCCCUUGCACGUGGUCGGCCCCCUCGCGAUGCGUGACAUAGCUCAUUCCAUCCGGGUGUCCCACACCCGGAAUUCCUCUCCACUGCCAUUCCAUUCGGGUGUCUCACACCCGGAAUCCUUCUCCGCCGCCAUUCCAUCCGGGUGUCUCACACCCGGAAUUCCUCUCCGUCGCCAUUCCAUCCGGGUGUCUCACACCCGGAAUCCUUCUCCGCCACCAUUCCAUCCGGGUGUCUCACACCCGGAAUUCUUUUCCGCCGCCAUUCCAUCCGGGUGUCUCACACUCAGAAUUCUUCUCCGUCGCCAUUCCAUCCAGGUGCCUCACACCCGGAAUUCAUCUCCACCGCCAUUCUACCCGGAUGUCUCACAUCCGGAAUUCUACCCCGUCGACGUUCCACCUUCCUCGGAUAUCUCGCAUCCGGAAUCCUGUCCGUCGACGUUCCACCUUUUUCUCCAUCCUUUGAGCAUUUUCUUGAGGUUCCCAAGAUCCCAUCUUCAAUAAACUUGGCCACCAUUUUCUUCUUGGCGAGCAACUUUCGAUUUUUUUUCGUGUUUUUAAAAUGAUUUAAAAUAAGCGUGAAUUUAAAUCCUGUAAUUCCAAACGAUAAAGUUUAUAGAAUUAAUUCAUGCAAAAUAAACGGGCUUCGAUGGGGGCCCUGCAUAUGAGAUUUCAUGAUUGAUUGACUGAUUGAUUGAUUCAUUAGUUAUAUGUGAUUGAUUCACUAUGUUCCUUGAUAUACAUAUAAUCAUUCUGUGUUUAUUCACUAACCCCAUUCCAUGACAGCGCGUUGCUGUUUGCUGCCCAGGUACGCAUUCACUCAUUCUGAUCAUUCACUAUACACAUUUUGAUUCCCAUAUGUGCAUAAUCAAUUCGGGUAUUCAUUGAUUUCCUUAGUUAUAUGCAUAUGAGAUUUCAUGAUUGAUUGACUGAUUGAUUGAUUCAUUAGUUAUAUGUGAUUGAUUCACUAUGUUCCUUGAUAUACAUAUAAUCAUUCUGUGUUUAUUCACUAACCCCAUUCCAUGAUAGCGCGUUGCUGUUUGCUGCCCAGGUACGCAUUCACUCAUUCUGAUCAUUCACUAUACACAUUUUGAUUCCCAUAUGUGCAUAAUCAAUUCGGGUAUUCAUUGAUUUCCUUAUCAGAUGCCAUGAUUGCUUCAUUUUAUUAGUAGAGACCCAUUUUAAGGACUUAGAGGGGGUGCUACGGUCUUUAUCGUACCUUCCCGAUAAGUAACCUGACCCCCGAACCCAACCCGAUUUUUCACAGAUCACCUUUUCCAAAUAAGGAGUCACACUUAGGGUUUUCUUUCUUAUUUUGUUUACCCUUUAAAAAAUAAAACAAAAAUAAGUAGCGACUCCAAGUCAUUUUUUUUAACCAAUUAAAUCUUUUUUUCGAAAUAAAAAUCGAGCUUCACCAUCGAGUGGAAAACGCAUUGAGCCGAAAUGCAGGGCCCACACCAGCACAAAGAAAAACAACUUGGGAGUUUGAAAAAGCAUUUGACGAUGGAAUUCUACAAAGCCAGACUAAGAAGCAGCUUAUGAUGUAAUGCAUUCAACUUGGAUUUUACUGUGAGAUUGGUGAGGGCAUAAAAAUUAAACACUCACCUGCUCAUGAGCCACAGCUUGUUAGACCUCCAUUCUCAUCCGGUUAUUGAUCCAUGUAUGCUGAUUAUGUUGGGAAAUUCAUCUAUAGAACUCAGCUUCUCCAGGAUCAACCUCUCUUGCUUGGCAUCUAUGUUAUAAUGUAGUUAAGAUUUCACACGCUAUCUCAUUGAAAUAAAAUUAAAGUAGGCCAUGUAUAUGAGCAUCAUAUCUCCAUUAACAAUCUAGCUUAACUAUGGACACAGAUUGUGAGGAUACAUUCCUGAUCAGGAUUCUCAGUGAAAUUGGAGUGUAGGGCAUUCUCGACAUUGUCCACAAUGGUUGAGGUGGUCAUGGAUGAUUCAAUGCAGAGAAUGGCUGUGAUGGCAUCUAGUCUGGUGACCUCAUUUCUGAACAUCAGUCCUGCAUGUGCUGCAACAUUACCAGAGUUACUAGAGCAUCAUAUAAGUAGGAAGGUUGCGUUGGAAAGUCCAUGGAGGGCGAGAUACCUUGGGCUAACCGUAUCAAGCUUUCUAGCAUGCGCACAGUUGUUCGUUCUGCAUUACUUGAAUUAGUGUUCAUCACAUUAACCAUAAUUGGGGAAAUAAACAAGAGAAGAGAUUCAAAUUGGAAACCUCUCAUUAACCAUAAUUCCAAUACCAAGGUAAUCCAAAGCUAGAGGAGCAUCAAAUCAAGUAUCCAAGCAUUUGUCCAUAUAAACUACAGUGAUAGAUGUUAAGAUAGCACCCACUGUUCAUCUCCUCCUAAAACUAUGUUUAUGGAUGUCGAUGCCACUAUAGGUCUUUUAUUGUUUGUUUGUUGUUCUUUCAUAGUUAUUCUCAGCGUGCAAAUUGAUUCUUUUGGUACUAUGUCAUUAUACUACACUGUCAAAGGAUGUUAGGGUUUACAGAAUAAGGAACACAAAGGGAGAAGAUAAAACAGAAGUAAAUGGAAGCUCACUGCUGACAAAUGCAGUGCCCUUAAAAAUUCCAAAACUGAAAGCUAAUCCAUUGGUACAUCAGGAUGAGACAAGAGCACUGCUCACAAGUGAGAUAGGAGCACAAAACAAAGGCAAAUUCCAAAAGGACUAGCAUAAGGACCCAUCAAAUGGAUAGGUGAUAUAUGAUAGCACUAUGGAAAUAUCUUCAUCAAAGAAAACUGGUGAUCAUAAUCUUCCAAACCACAACAAAACAUGCCACUAUAUUAACUUAUACCAUUAAUAUAAUACAUGCCUAUAUUUAGUCCGACAUAGUAUUGAUAUGAGCGUAAGUGGGCAAAGACAUAAUUCCAGAUUAUAGUGCAGUCCAUACAGAUAUGUUAGCAGGCCUCUCAAAGUGGUGUUAAGGAGAUGUGUUUAUACAAAAACCAAACAUGCCAAGCUAGAUUUUAGUUAUGCUACAGUGCAAAACACUUAUAAAAGAUUUUACCUCCUAAGUAAAGGAAGUGGCCAGAUAUUUGCUAGAUUUUCAUCACGCCUGUCUUUCUCUGAUUCUUUAGGCUAAUCAAUUUCACAAAAUAAAUAAAUCAAUAAAAUUCAAAAUUUAAAAAUUUAAAUUUUUUUUUUUAAAAAAAACUAUUUUUCAAAUGCCUCGUGAAGAUUAGGGAGCUAAUGUAUCAAUUUUAAUGAUAUAUUACCACAGAAAGAAUGUGAGAAGAGACAACUGCAUCCCAUUCUGGGUUCUUUGUAGAGGUGUCCAUUGGGUCGGGUCGCCCAUUUUGGCCCGUGGCACGACCUGACAUUGUAGCAGCUAGGCCAGCACGACCCAAAAGGAGCGAGCCAUGCUGGGCCUAAAGAAACAGCCUGCGCUACCCGCCGUGCCCACUGUGCCGCCCACUUGGCCCUUUUAAAUUUAAUUUAUUUCAUUUCCUUUUAUAUUGAAUAAAAAAUUAUUUUUUUAUAUUUCAUUUCCUUUUAUAUUCCAUUAUUUUAAAUUUAUUUUUAUUUUGAUAAAAAAAUAAACAAAUUCAAAUGUAAUUUUUUUUUUUACUAUUUUUAAAAACAAAAAACUAACAUUUCUAUAAAUUUUACAACUACAAACUCGAUAAAUAUAAAUGUAAAAACUAAAAAGUAUAAUUAUUAGAGGUGUAUAAAAAAUAAAAAAUAUAAUUAUUAGAGGUAUUUAAAGUAACAAAAAGAAAUUUUAUUUAAUAAUGAAAAAAACUUAAGAAAAAAUGACUUAAAAAAUUAAAUUAAAAUUUUUAACAAAGUGGAUGGCCCAUGGGCCAUGGCCCACCAGCAUGACUCAUCGUCACGACCCGCCGGCCCGACACGAUUUGCCCACGGACUUAUGGGCUAUGCCAUGCCACCUCUUUUCCUUACAUGGGUUGGCCUGGCCCAGCACACUUUAUAAGUGAGACGUGCUAGCCCGGCACGUUGGCCCGUAAUGGCCCGGUCAAUAUCGGGCUGUGCCGACCCAGCACGGCCCAUUGGACACCUUUAGUUCUUUGUAUCCAAGAGGACAAGAACUAUAUCAAAUCUGCUCAAUAAGGGUCCAAACAGUGUUGUAUUAACACAGAGAGCUAAAUUGGGUUAAGAAAUAUUUCAAUAUCACCAAGGAUUGAAAAAUCGGAAAAUGUCGCCGAUAUUUCGGAGAAAUAUCAGAUAUCGGGCGGCACCGAAACGAUAAUCGGCACCGAUUAUCAAUCGACGGAAAAAUCGGCCAGAAAUCGCGAUAAAUCGGCGAUUUUUUGAAGCUCCCAUGCUUUUGAUUUGAUGGCCAAUUUUGAAUUUUUGAGGAUCUGAUGGCCCAGAUUUCACCCGUGUAUUUGUAAAGGCCUCCAACGGUCAGAUUUGUGAUCCAAUGGUGGAAAAUCAAUCUUCACUUUAUCCAAGGGCUAUGGAGUGUUUCCAAUGGUUAUAUGAAGAUCUAAUGGUGAAAUUUGAACCAAAUUUUGAUCCAACGGUUAAAAUUAAUUUAUAACGGCUAUUUGACCAUCCAACGGCUAGUUUGACCAAAAAAAUUCCUAUAAAUACCCACAUUCCAUUUCAUUUCAUACAUCAAAAUUCUUAUAUGAUCUAGCAAAAAUUUUUUAUUUUGAAAAUUUGGUGGUGAAGGGGAUUAACUCCAAGUCAAGGCUAAUUAAGGUAUGUCUUACCUUUCAUAAAAUUUAUUUUAUUAUGCAUAAUUCAAUUUUAUUUGUUAUAUAUAGUUUAAUUGAUAUUAUCUAAUUCAUAUGGAAAUGUAAUUGUAAUGUUUAUCUAUUUCAUAUAUGCAUAAUUCAAUUUUAAUUUUUAUUAGUAAUGAUUCUUAUCAAUUUCAUGAAUAUGCAAAUUUAAUUUGUUUUAAUUUAAUUUAAGUCUUAUCAAAAUUUUAUUGUAAUGUUUAUCUAUUUCAUAUAUGCAUAAUUCAAUUUUAAUUUUAAUUUUUAUUAGUAGUGAUUCUUAUCAAUUUCAUGAAUAUGCAAAUUUAAUUUAUUUUAAUUUAAUUUAAUUCUUAUCAAAAUUUUAUUGUAAUGUUUAUCUAUUUCAUAUAUGCAUAAUUCAAUUUUAAUUUUAGUUUUUAUUAGUAGUGAUUCUUAUCAAUUUCAUGAAUAUGCAAAUUUAAUUUAAUUUAAUUUAAUUCUUAUCAAAAUUUUAUUGUAAUGUUUAUCUAUUUCAUAUAUGCAUAAUUCAAUUUUAAUUUUAAUUUUUAUUAGUAAUGAUUCUUAUCAAUUUCAUGAAUAUGCAAAUUUAAUUUAAUUUAAUUUUAAUUUAAUUCAUAUUGAAAUUUUAUUGUAAUGUUUAUCUAUUUCAUAUAUGCAUAAUUCAAUUUUAAUUUCAAUUUUUAUUAGUUCUUAUCAAUUUCAUGCAUAUUAAAUUUCUUACAUGUUUUAUCUUUAAUAAUUUUAAAUUUGAUAUUAGUUUCAUAAUUCAAUUUUAGAAAAUGGCUAGUGAAAACGGUAUCAUGGGUCGAGAUCCUUGUUGGAAAUAUUGUACACCUAUGGAAGGGAACAAAAAUGGAACAAUAUGCAAUUAUUGUGGGUUGGCAAUAAAGAGUGGUGGGAUUACUCAUUUUAAUUUCACCUAUCACAUACAGACCCUAAUUCAAAUACAAAAAAGUGUCCUAACGUGCCUCCAGAAGUGAAACAAGAAAUAAGACGACUUAUAGAGCAAAGAAAUAAGGCAAAAGUGAAGAAAGUUGUAGAUAUAGAAGAGAUUCGAGCAGAAUUGCGAGACACAAUGGGAAGAAGACAUAGACAUGUAAUUGGUGAGGACGAUGAGGAGAACCUUGGUGGUGAUGGUGGUGGUGAUGAUGAUGAUGAUGGAGAUGAUGAUGUGUAUAUGUAUCCGGCUGACAUGCACCCUGAUGAGCGACAUGCUUAUAGAGAGGCGGUUCGAGCAUCAAAAGCUACUGAAUGGAAUUGACAACAAGAAGAACAUUUUAUAAAAGGCAAAAGAAAAAACAGGUAUAAUAUUAAUUUGAAUUAUUACUGUUUCUUAUCAACUUUAUCAAUAAUAUUAAAUUAGCAUAUAUGUUUAAUUUUAAUAAUUAUAAUAGGCGAGUCUUCACAUCCAACCAAUCCAACAACAAGGCAAAUGCGAAAAUCGCAAAGUGUUCGAUAUUCAGAUCCAUCACUGCCUGAUGCACCCUCAUUGUACAAAUCUUCAGCAGCAAGACAGAAAACUGUGAAAAAUCUUUUCAAAGGUGGUGCCAUCAAGGAAAUCAUGGGACGUUUGAUCAGUAAGUUCUUCAUAUAUGAGAGUGUUCCGCCCAGUAAAGCAGACUCUCACCACUUCAAGAACAUGAUUGUUGGUGCACAACAAGCAGGUAAUUACUAUAAUUUUAAAAGUUGUAUUUAUUUUAACAAUAUCAUUACUAUUUAUAUAGUAUGAUUGACACAAAUGUUCUUAUAUGUUUUAAUUAUAUAUGGAUGGUAGGUAUGGGUAUAGAACCAUCGUCUCCUUAUGAAAUCAAACACAAGUAUUUGGAUAUGGAGUACAAAGACAUGGAAGCUUAUGUCAAUAUUCAAAGAGAAAAGUAGAAGACUUAUGGAUGCACGAUUAUGUCUGACGGAUGGACUGGGCCCACGAAAUUAAGCAUAAUUAAUUUCAUGGUAUAUUCAAAAGGUAGCACAAUCUUCCUCAAAUCCGUUGAUGCAUCAAAUAAUAUAAAGGACAACAAAUACAUAUAUGGUUUGUUGAAGGAUGUGAUCAAGGAAGUUGGCAAACAAAAUGUGGUCCAAAUAGUUACAGAUAAUGGGUCGGCAUUCGUGAAGGCGGGGAAGUUGUUAAUGAAGAAAUACAAUCUUUAUUGGACUCCGUGUGCAGCACAUUGCAUUGACUUAAUGUUCGAAGACAUUGGUAAAAAGACGAGUGUUGCAGAUCUAAUUACAAAGGCUCGAAAGAUAACCAACUUCAUUUAUAACCAUGGUUGGUUGCUUGCACAGAUGCGGAAGGUGUGUGGUGGAGACAUAGUUCGUCCUGGAGCAACAAGAUUUGCAACCAAUUAUAUAGCCCUCGACAAUCUUUUGAAAAAGAAAGCAAACUUGAAGAAAGUGUUUAUCAGUGAUGAAUGGGCACAACACAACUUAAGUCGCACAUUAAUCGGCAAAGAGGUUGAAUCACUUAUGUUUGACCAUGAGUCCUGGGAAAGAGUGGGAAAGUUAGUGUCAAUAUAUGAGGCGCUAUACAUAGUUCUUCGCAUUGUCGAUUCAGAAGUUGUUCCUACAAUGCCAUUUGUGUAUGAAUUGAUUCGAGUUAUGAAAGAGAACCUCAUUCGACUUAAUGCUAAAGAAUGGGUGUUAGAAAUAAUUGCAGAUCGUUGGGAUAGAACUCUUAAACAUUUUCUUCAUGCAGCAGGUAAGUAUUAUUCAUCUUUGAAAUUUAUUGGUAUUUAAUAUGUUUCUUUCAUAACAUUCUAAUUUUACAUUUCUACUUUACUAUUGUAGCAUUCUUUCUUAAUCCAAGAUUUCAAUAUAAACGUGGAGUUGGUACUAAUCCUAAUCUACUUCAAGCUGUUCAUGAAGUCUUUGCGAAAUUAGAUCCUACAUCAGAAGGUUUUAGUCAAUUUGGAAAUGAGGUAAAUUAUUAGAGUUAUAAUAUAAAUUAAAUAAUUGAAUUUCAUUUACUCAACUUUUUCACUUUCAAUUAUUUAAUAUGUAGAUUAUACUAUUCCGAGAUGCAAAAAGAGGAUUUGGUGAUCGAGCAGCGAUUGCUUCGAGGUCAGAAAUGGUUCCCGGUGAGUAUUAUUUGUGAAUUAAUAAUUCAUUUCAUUAGCAUACUAUUGUAACUUUCCAAUAUAAGUAUUGAUAUCAUUUAUUUGGUUGUAGUUGAAUGGUGGUUCAUGUAUGGACAUCACGUUCCUACAUUGAGAAGGUUGGCCAUCAAGGUUUUAUCGCAAACUGCAUCAUCUUUAGUUUGUGAGAGAAAUUGGAGCACGUUUGCCUUAAUCCAUACAAAACAAAGAAAUCGGCUUGCUUACCCGAUGCUCCAACAAUUAGUUUUCUGUUAUUAUAACAUGAAACUAAAGAUACGUGACAUGGAAGCAGAACAUGACAAAGUUGCAGAGAAAGAUUACCUCAAUUUACUUGACAUUGCAACUGAGGUUGGUGAAGAAGAAGAUAACCAAUUGUUUCAAUGGGUUAGACCUCUUCAUUUAGAUGAUGAAGAUGGAAAUCCCGACCCACGAAUUGCCGCACAUGUCCGAGAAGCAGGUGUUGAUGUUGAUCGAGUGUUAUCCGAAGAAGUUCAUACUGAUAGUUUCAGCCAAGACACGAGAGAUUCAUUUCGACAAGGAAUUUCUCAGCCGGCAGUCACUUCUCAACCUUCUUUUGACUCCAUGAGUGUUGAACAUAGUAGUAGAACUAGUGCUACUGGUACUUCCGCUUCAGGUUAUGAUGGUUCAAGAGGAGAGGGGACCAAUGAUGGUAGCGACCCUGGAAAUGAUGAAGGGGAUAUUAGACAACAACAACAAAGUAGACAAUCAUUGGCAUUUACUUGUGAAGAUGAUUUCACACAUUGUACUCAAGAUGAAGACCACGGCUCUAGAAGAGCCGGUCCAGGUGUUGGAGCCAUUGGAAAGCCAUAUAGAGGAAGACAACGAAGGAUGAUGCCAUACAACGAGGACUCAUUGUCGGCCAGUUUUGAGUCGAUGAGUGUAGAGACUCAAUUCAGUGAUUCAUCAAAUGAAGCCAACAUUUAUGCCCCUUAUGCAAUGAGUUAUGGUCAACCUCCUCAAAAUCUUUCAAGUUCCACUGAUGAAGAGUAUGAAAGGUAUAACUAUCCUUCUUCCACACAAAUGCCAUACUACCUUCCACAUCAGCUGCAACAACAAGGAUUUCAAACGAGCACUGGGAAAACCCUGGAUUUCCUAUCCAUGGACAAGUUGUUGGUAGGACUCAAGAAACUUAUGCAUGGCAUGUUCGUACAUACAAUCAAUACUAUCGAAACUCCAUGUCCUGGUAUGAAUAUUGUCUUCAACAAGAUGGACUCCUUUCAUCUAACAAUAACAAUAUGAUGGAACCACAUCGAUCUUCAUUUUGGUAUUAAGGACCAUUGCAAUGUCAUAUACUCAUAUGUAUUAUGUUUAUGUGUAAAUUGUUUUCAUUUAAUAAAAUCAAAUAUUUCUUAACUCAAUUCUAACUUUCUAAGUGUACAAUUCCAAAUUUCAUAUUUUCUAUUCUUAAAAUCCAAGUAUCGUAAACUGUUUACCGAUAUUUUUUUCUUUGACCAUAUUUAUGUCAAUUACACUUAUAAAAUAACUUUAACAUGUAUAUUCUUGCUUAUUUUAUCAUUCUUUGGAUUUUUCUAAGCAUUCCCAUCAAUUUUGGAUAAUUUUUGUCUCACCGAUAUUUAAUGAAAAAUAUCCACCGAUAUUUCUCCGAUAUUUCCGAUAUAUCCGUAAAAUCCAAGUACCGAUAUAUCUGUAUUUACCGAUAUUUCAAUCCUUGAAUAUUACAAGGAAACAAAUAGAAGGAGAGGCUACUUUUGGUAAAGAUAGAUUUAAGAACACCUAGCUAAAGUAUAUUUCAUAUUUACCUCUUUUGUUAUGUUACAUGGAUUCAGGUGCUAGUGUGCUUGUAGGCAUCCAAUCCUUCAAAUUCCAAAAUUUUAGGAUGUGGAGACUUUAAUAAAAAGGAUCCAUUAGCAACUACUGAUACAUGGAUACAACGUAAUAAUGAUUGAAAUACUACUAAGCACACUUCCCAAUUAAGUCAAACAUAGUCUUGCAUUCAAGCAUAUUUUAUUUGACUUUCAAUCUUCUCAAUUAUGAGUUAUACCAGUAAUAAGCUUAUAUUUCCAUGUUCCCUGAAAACAAGUCUCUUCAAAAGCGGCAACAAUCCUUUUAAGGCAAGGUUGCAAUGAUCUCUAGAGAACAAAAGAAAAAACUCCCUUGUAAGCAAGAGAGUAGUAUCCAAGAAGGAUUUCAUGCCAUGUUGACACGGGAACUUAGGUGAAGUAAAAGAGGUUGAGUACCACAAUUUCUGUGAGACAAAUGCAAGAACAUAUAUUUAACAGGAAACCAAAUAAUAUAAACAAUCAAGUAACCAUAAUUUAAAGACAUAAAUUAGAAAACUAGAAAUUCUAAAUCAAAAUGAUACAUUGACCAGGAUCAUAAUGUCCUUUAGGAUUUGUUGCACCAAAGACAAUUGUCCUGGUACAAAGAGACGUCACAAGGCUAGCCUGAAAAAGGAAAAUAAUUAGUAAGAGAAUGUCAUUCAUGAAUUAUGCUUCACUAAACAUUAAAAGAACAAAGAAAAAGGCAGUCGAAUUUCUAUUUAAAAAGUUUAAACAAAUGGAACAAUAACAAAGUGAACAUACGGUAAAAAUAACAAUAAAAGGUUUUAAUUAAUCUCACCAACUUAUAAACCAUUGAAGGGGAAUUGGAACACUAGAGGAGAUAUGUAGGUGAAACAAAUACAUAUACUCUCAAUAGCAAACCCUUAAUACAUUCAUUUGUGGAUUCUUGCCUCUAACAUACCUCCUCUCUCAUCAAGAGUUCUCAACUCUACUUUCCUAGAACCUCUACUGGCUUAAAGGUCAUCCCUUAGAAGGUAUUCUAAGGGAUGCACAUUCUGAUAUCUCUAAGGAUGAAGCUUCUCUCUCACAAAAAAUUCCUAAAAAUGCCUUUAUUUCGAACCUUCAACUUAGCUUCAACAUACUUCAGUUUGCCCAUGAAUUUAUAGCCUUUCCACCAAUUAACCUAAGUCUGUCUCAACUCCCUCAAUCUUCAAACCCAUGGUAGUGAAGCUGCAUGCCUAGAAAAUGGAAGGAAACCAAACUCCAAAUAAUUUGGUUAGAAGUCACCAGAAUAGGGCAAUGCUUUGAAACAGGGCUUCACAUUGCUUCUUGUACAAUGUGGGGAAUUCUAAAUUCCAAAUGUAGGAAAUAAAAAUAUCUUUCACAAAUGGGGUUGCCCUCGGCAAUGCAAGUUUGGUGAAGUCAAAGACAUCCUUAUAAAGGGAGGAUCAACAAAACUACAAGCAAUGGCAAUGUUAUAAAAGCCCAUCAUAUGAAGUUAGUUAAGAGGAUCCAAGCUUCCCCAAAGCUCUUCCAAAGAGUAAGUUAAACCAAAUAAGUCUUCCAAUUUGAUCUAGAUGUUCAAUUCUAGAGAUAAGCUAUUUGGAUUAUAAGGUGCUUCAACCAAUAAUCCUCUAAACAAUCCAAGGAAAAUAUAACAGAAAAUGAUUAAGAGCCUAACACCAUCUCACAUGUCUUUUGCAAGUAAAAUAUCUAAAUAAUCCAAGCCUCAUAAGAGGGCAAUUCAGCUAAUUCCUUACUUCAACCCUCUAAUAGGAUUCAAAUAGUUUUCCUACCAAUAUGUUCCAGUUUGGUUUGUUAGAGAAUAACAAUAUCCAAGACUCACUUUCGAAGGAAAUAUCAAAUUGCUUCCCUAUUACUCCUAGACCUCAACCCACAAAUAUUUUUUAAUAGGCAAGAAAGAAUUUAUUAGAAAAUUUUCCAAACAAAAGACCCACCACCUAAUGCCAAAUUGUAUACCAACUACAUUGCUAGAAUGCCAUUGUGAAAUCAUCAGGCCUAGGGCCAUAUCACUUCCCAAACCAUUAAGAGCAUAAAAGAACUCUUCUUCCCAAAAAGCCUCAUCUCACUUCUCCACAACCAACCUUUCUAAAGCUCUAAAGACCUUUUAAUAUUGGGCCUCCAAUCCCCAAAAUCUGAGAACUGAUGGAAAAACUAGCAACCCAUUCUUUCAUUCAUCCUUCUCAAAUAACCAACCCUAUUUAUCAUUAAUUUUCCAAAAUCAUUCCUUCUAAACUGGUUUUGAGCCAUCCUAUGGAACAUUUGAGUGUUUCUAUCACCUCCCUUUAGCCAUGACUCCUAAGACUUCUAUCUCCAAGAGGUCACCUUUAGGUUUGCUUGAUAAUAAUAAUAUGCCAUAGCACGCUUUCUAGCCUCCAAAUCCUCAUCUUCCAAAGACCCAACUCUCUCCUUAUUGUACUAGUAACCAGUGUUGUCAAAGGUAAAAGGUGAUGCCAAGGCGAGAAGACCCUUUUUAACCUGAGGUGAAAGGCGAAAAUUAAGGCAAUCACCUAACUAUAAUAAGGUGAUAAAAUAGUAUAAAUAUAUUUACCAUUUUACCUAUUCUAUAAUCAACCAAUAUAAGUAUUCUUCAAUAAUCAAUACUACUAAAUUUUCAUCCCCUGUGAUGCCUUAUAAAAUUAAGAAAAUAGUAAUAAUCAUUCAAAGUGUUAAAUAUAAUACCCCACAUCAUAAGAAAAGUCAUACUAUUUAGAGAAAUUCAUCAUGUCCAUAUGCAUAUUCUAAUGUUCCAAACAUUCAAAAAUUAAAAUAAGAAACAAAAUAAGAUAAUGAAUGCCCUAAAGAUGCUUUAAGCAUCAUCAUUGUAGUCAUUAUUGAAAUUAAAAUUGUCAUCACUUCCAUCAAGACUAUAUUGGCAUCCCUCCAUCUCAUUAUCAUCCUCUUCAAUGUCCUCUAAAUUGCUCUCUUUCUCUUCAAAAUCAAGUUGUGAAGUAGUAGCCACUAAAUCCCCCUUUAAACUUGUCUUUGAUCUUGCUCAAAGUCUAGUGGAAAUAUUUGCAUCUCCCACUCCUGCUACACUUGCCACUACACCCCAUGUCUAGCUAUCAUCUACAAAAACCAAGCCAUCCUCCACAUGAAUGGUGGUGUCUUCUUCACUUAUUUUUCCAAUCAACCACUCAUUACUUUCGUCAAUAUCUACUAAUGAGAUGGGGUCAAUGACAUUGCAUCUAUCAUAUCGUGCUUUAAGAGCUUGGUUGUAUUUAACAAACACCAAGUCAUUUAGUCAUUUUUGCUCUAAUUUGUUUCUCUUCUUGGUAUGAAUUGGUAAACAUUUAUUAGUAAAUUUAACCACAAGCUAUAUUAGUUAUAACCAUGGAUUCAAAUAUUGUGUUUCAGCGGACCUCGACAUAAUAUAUAGAAGAGAAAUAUUGAUACUCCGAUAUUUCGUCAAUUUAUCGAGAAUUUUGCCGAUAUCUCGUAAUUAUCAUUAUUUUAUCGGUUUUUUAGCGAUUUAUCACGAUAUUUUGUUGCGGUCAAUGCAGAGAAGUGUGGUCAAAGGUAAAAACUCACUUGAUAUUUUUUGUAGCUAAGGGAGGUCGAACCCCAACCAAAAGAUUCAACUUGUAGAUGAACCAAGCUUGUUUCUUAUAAUAUAUACCACAUCAAACAUAUAUAACCUAAAACUCAUCAUAUAAACAUAAUAUUAAAAUAACAUUUUAAUGAACAAAUUAAUUAUAAUUAUUUUAUAAUUAAAUGAAAAAAUUUCAUUUAAUUGAUUAUCAAAAAUAUAAAAAUUAUCAUGAUAAUUUUCUUCAUAGUGUUUUUAAUAUCAUUAAUAUAUUAAUUAAAUAUUAAAAAUUAUACAUAUAUUAAAUGAAUUAUAAUUUUAAUAUUAAAUAUAUUUUAAAAUUAGACAAAGUAUAAUAAAAUAUCACAACAUUAUUAUCAAAUAAUAUUUGAUAUAAUUUAAUAAUAAAUAUAUAUUUAUGAAAUUUAUAUUUUUUAUGGAUGUAUAUAAUGUUAUUAUGAAACAUGAUGAAUUAUAUUAUACAUAUAUCAAUUUCUUGAACAAAAUAACUUUAAAAUAUCUAAUAUACUUCUAAUUUCAUUUUUGAGAGUUUAUUUUUUUAUUUUUUUAUUUUUUUAUUUUUACAUUUGUAUAAGUUUUGAUUAAUUUUAGGUCCAUCGAUAUUUUGUGUCAAAAUAUGCACCGAUAUAUCUCUGAAAUAUCUGUAAUUUCUGAUAUUUUUAUCCUUGGUUAUAACAACUUAAUUUACUUAACUAAUAAAAUUUCUAAUUUUAUAAAUUUAUAUAUUAUAUAAUCAACAAAGUAUUAAAUACUUACAUGCUCAAACACACUUCAAUUACGUUCACAACCCGAUGCACUACAAGUCAAGCUAAGAAUCUUUAUGGCUACUUGUUGUAAAUUUGGGGUUGUGUUGCCAUAUAGUUUCCACCAUUCAGCUAUAAUGUUUUAAAUGGAAACAAAAAAUUAGUAGAUUAGCAAGUAAUAUUUGAUCUAAUAGCUAAAAAAAUAAGUAAUUUAAUAUCUUAUUUAGAAAUAUAAACUUUCUUAAAGUACUUUAUAGUUUAUACCUGGAGUUAGCGUCUUCCUUGAUCUAAUGGCUAUUGGAAUACCGAAGAGACCCUCCGCAUUCUUAUAAGUUGACAACUCACAAAUGAUCUUAUCUUGCACAUCAAUAUUAGAAACUAAUCUAUCUAUACAAGAAUAUAUUCUUGAUGUCACUUCUUCAUCAAACUUCACAGGAGGGUUGUCAUAGAAAAAUUCCAAGUUUAAGAAGCACCUACUGCAUGCAAGGGACAAUAGAGUUGACAUUCCCAUUUCUUACCAAUAAUAGAGAAGAUCUCCUUGUACCUAUCCUCAUUCUCGUUAAAUGACUUUUUGAUAGUCUCUUUACAUCUAUCCAUAGCUUCAUAUAUGUACCCCAUGUUAAUGUUACCAUAUACAAUUUAGGAAUCAGACUGGUUGUACAUAUACGAAAAGAUUGAUAGUUAUGUUAAUGUUACCAUAUACAAUUUAUGAAUUAGAUUGGCAGUAAUGUUACCAUAUACAAUUUAAGAAUUAGAUUGGUUGUACAUAUACGUUUGUAUAUAGAUGGAUGUAGAGAAUAAUAAAAACAGAAGGGAGUUCUCGGUUUCUAGGGAUUUUUCUGAGUGUUUGACAUGGUAUCAGAGCCAGGUUUCGGCACCUUCUGAGUGAAGUUCGUGCUUCUUGGAGGUUUUGGCACUUUCUGUUGGUGCAUUUAUGUUUUUUUUUUUUGUGAUUGCUAUGGGUGUUUUUUUGGGUUUUGAUCCAUUUCAUCGCGACCUGAUUCUUGGCCAUUUUUGGUGGAAGGUGCGAGGAAACUAGAAAGAAGAGGGGAUGAAAGAAAAUUGGGUUUUGUAGAUGAUCUUAGGUCCAGUUUCUCUCAUUGGAGACAACUACAAAACUUCUAUUGUUGUGAGCGACUGGAACAUCACAUCCGUACAUUCUGAAUCAUCAUUUGCUGCACCAGAAUUUUAAGGGGAGAGUCUUUAGUCUAGACAACUACAGAUCGGGUUCCAAAGCGUGAUCCUCCAUUGCUCGUGUUGCCGCAACACUUUGUGCCAUACCCAUGCAUCUCUGGCAACACCCUACUGCCAUUAGAGAUUCGCACCAGCUUGUUAAUCCUGCCACCUAAACACCACAGUCGCAUCAAAAUUUUAAGAGAGAGGCUUCCAUCACUCUAGGGAUCUUCACAACUUUAUCUCCAAGAGCACAAGUGUGCACCCUGUCAAAGGGAAUUUCUCUCCAUUAACGUGUUGCAUUAUGUCAUCAGAUAAUUUGGAAUCAUUUCCUAUUAGAUUUACUGGAAAAAAUUAUUAUGCUUAGGAGUUUCAAUUUAAAUUAUUUGUCAAAGGAAAAGAAUUAUGGGGUCAUAUUGAUGGGAGUAAUCCUACACCUCGUGAUGUCGAGGCUUUGUCUAAGUGGGAAAUUAAGGAUACUCGGGUUAUGGCUUGGAUCCUUAGCUCGAUUCAACCUCAUCUUGUUCUCAAUCUGAGGCCUUAUAAAAUUGUUACUGAUAUGUGGAAUGAUCUCCACACAGUUUACAAUCAAGACAACUCUGCUAGGCAUUUUCAAUUGGAGUAUGAGAUGGCUAAUUUCACACAAGGAAGUCUCUCAAUUGAGGAAUAUUUUUUCUGGUUUUCAAACUCUUUGGGUUGAUUAUUCUGACAUUGUUUAUGCUAAUGUUCCCGUUGAAGCUCUCUCUGCUAUCCAAACAGUGCAUGUAACCAGCAAGUGAGAUCAAUUCUUGAUGAAGUUACGACCCGACUUUGAAAUUGCACGGUCUAAUAUGAUGAAUCAUCAUCCUGUACCAUCUCUGGAUGCCUGCUUGAGUGACCUUUUACGUGAGGAACAACGUAUCAUAACUUAAGCUACCAUGGAACAUCGGGCUAAUGUUAGUGCAUCUGUUUCUGUGGCUUAUGUAGCACAGGGGCAGAAUAAGGGUCAAGACAUGCGUGUUGUCUAGUGCUUUAGUUGUAAAGAUUUUGGUCAUAUUGCUCAGAAUUGUCCUAAGAAGUUCUGUAACUAUUGCAAGAAACAAGGUCAUAUCAUCUCUGCUUGUCCUAUUCGGCUUGAAAGGAAGCAGGGUACUGCUUAUCAUGCCUCUACUGAUACCUCUAGUUAUGCUACAUUGCCUGUUGUCUCGUCAGUUGUUCCUAUUCCUGCUCCUAUAGCCUUAGCAAACCUGAAUACACUCACUCCUAAAAUGGUACAACAAAUGAUCAUUUCUGUUUUUUCUGUCUUUGGGCUCUCAGGUAAUCAUACGGUUUCUUAUAAGCCAUGGUAUUUUGACUUUGGAGCCUCUAACCAUAUGACGAAUUCUAUUCUUUCUCUUUCCAAUGUUAGAAAUUAUGAUGGAAAUAUGAAAAUUAACACUACUGAUGGUAGUUCUGGCCUAUCAGUGCUGUUGGUGAUCUUUCCUCUUCCUUAACUGAUGUUUUUAUGUCUCCUGAUCUCUCCACAAAUGUUAUUUAUGUUGGUUAAUUGGUUGAUAAUAAUUGUAAUGUCAAUUUCUCAUGUUCUGGUUAUGUUGUGCAGGAUCAAGUGUUAGGGAAGAUGAUCGCGAAGGAGCCUAAAGUGGGACGACUCUUUCCUCUUCAUGUUUCUCCUUCUACUAUUAUUCCUAGUCUUCAUUUAUUUUCCUAUGCAUGUAAUGUUGUUGGUUCUGGACAUAAGAUGUGGCAUAGACGUCUUGGCCACCUAAACUUUGAUGUACUUCGUACUUUGUUUAAUUCUAGAUUAUUGGGAAAAAAACAUGUUCUUCUCUUGAUAUUUCUUUCAAUUGUACGUCAUGCAAACUUGGCAAAAGUAAAGUUCUACCUUUUCCUCAUCCUGUAUUUUGUGCCUCAUAAUGUUUUGAUAUUAUUCAUAGUGAUGUUUGGGGGAUUACACUUAUUGUUUCUCAUGCACAUUACAAGUAUUUUGUUACUUUCAUUGAUGACUUUAGUCGCUUUACUUAGGUUUACUUCCUCCGGGCAAAGGCUAAAGUUUUUUUUCAGUCUUUAAGCGCUUUCUUGCAUUUAUUGAGACUCAAUUCUUUGCCAACAUCAAGGUCUUGCGCUUAGAUUCUGGCAGAGAAUACACGUCUAAUGAGUUUCAGGACUUUUUUCAAAGCAAAUGGAUCAUCUCUCAGCGUUCUUGUCCUUCGACACCACAACAAAACGGUGUUGCUGAGAGAAAAAAUCACCACCUUCUUGAUGUGGUAAGAACUCUUUUACUUGACUCAUCUAUUCCUCCUCGUUUUUGGUGUGAAACACUUUCUACUGCAGUUCAUUUGAUCAAUCACUUACCCUGUCCUAUGUUAAAUCAUGUUUCUCAUUUCUCUAAGUUGUUUGGUCAUUCUCCUUUAUAUUCUGAUCUUCGUACAUUUGGUUGUGUUUGUUUUGUGCAUCUACCUACUCAUGAACAACAUAAACUUACUGCUCAAUUUGUUAAGUGUGCUUUUCUUGGUUAUACUAUCCCUCACAAGGGUUAUGUUUGUUGUGAUCCCCAUGCUCAUCGUAUACGAGUUUCCCGGAAUGUGAUUUUCUUUGAAAAUCAAUAUUUCUUUCCAUCUCAUGUUGAGUUGCCAUCUGCAUCUGUAUCUCUUCUGCCUAGUUUUUCUGAAUCCCUAACAAUUUUGGAAAGGUUCAAACCUGGUUUUGUGUAUGAAAGACAUAGUCGACAUGAGUUCGGUUCCACUUCCUCUAUGCCCUCUUUCGAUCUUGACCUGACGCCUGAUCCUGCUCCUGCUUUCACCACUCUUCGUCUGUCUACUCAUAUUUUUCGACCCCCUGAUUGGUAUGGAUUCUUCUUUUAUGUCUUUCUUGUUGCUACUUUAUCCGCUAUUUCAAUUCCCUCUUGCUACAAAGAGGCUAUGGAACAUGAGUGUUGGCAAAAUGCAAUGCAAGCAUAACUUCAAGCACUUGAGGAGAAUCAAAUUUGAGAUAUUGUUUCUUGUCCUCCUACAAUCAAACCUCUUGGGAGUAAAUGGGUUUUCUCAAUAAAACUUCGUUCUGUUGGCUCUUUGGACCGGUAUAAAGCUUGCCUUAUAGCUCUGGGUAACAAGCAAGAAUAUAGGGUUGAUUAUGAGCAGACAUUUGAUCUUGUUGCCAAAAUGACCACGGUUUGAACCAUCUUACUUUGGUAUGACUAAUUCUUCUCCUCAUGAUGUUUAUAAGCUAAAAUGUUCUUUGUAUAGGCUCAAGCAGGUGCCCCGGGCUUGGUUUGAGAAGUUUUGCAGUACAAUUCUUUCCUUUAGUUUUACCUAAAGUCAGUAUGAUUCUUCCUUCUUCUUCCACACGUCUGCGUCGGGUACAAUCCUUCUCUUGGUUUAUGUGGAUGAUAUUGUCAUUACUGGCACUGACUGUGGUUUGAUUGCUAAGCUUCAACGGCUAUUACAUACAACUUUCCAUAUGAAAGAUCUUGGACAACUCACAUACUUCUUAGGAUUGGAAGUUCAUCAUCGGGCCAAUGGUAUUUUCGUGAACUAGCAUAAGUAUAUUCAAGAUCUUAUCACUUUGGCUGGUUUGAAGGACACUGCCUUUGUUGAAACUCCUAUGGAGAUAAAUGUCAAAUAUAGGAAAGAUGAAGGGGACCUUCUGGAUGAUCCUAUUCUUUAUCGGCGCCUGGUUGGGAGUCUUAUCUACUUGACCACUACUCGACCUGAUAUCUCCUAUGUUGUUCAUCAGGUCAGUCAGUUUAUGACUUCUCCUUGGCAUCUCUAUCUUGUUGUAGUUCAACUCAUCAUCCGCUAUCUUCGAGGUUCACCUACUCGUGGGUUGUUCUUUCCUACCGGCUCCUCUCUUCAACUUGUUGCCUAUAGUGAUGCCGAUUGAGCUGGGUGUCCAGAUACAUGUCGAUCUACUAUGGGUCGGUGUAUGUUUUUAAGUGAUGCCUUAAUUUCUUGAAGAUGUAAGAAACAAGAUCGCGUUUCUAAAUCCUCUACCGAGGCCGAGUAUCAUGCCAUAUCUACUACUUGUUUUGAAAUUGUAUGGCUACACGGUCUUCUUGAGGAGCUUGUGUUUCCUCAAACUAUGUGUACACCUCUUCAUGCUGAUAACACUAGUGCUAUUCAGAUUGCCACCAAUCCCGUUUUUCAUGAACAUACCAAGCACAUUGAGGUUGAUUGUCAUUCUAUUUGAGACACCUUGGAAAGUCGGGUGAUAUCUCUUCCUCACAUCUCUUCUGAUCUCCAAGUGGUUGAUGUCUUCACCAAAGCUUUGACUCUACAACGACAUCAAUUUCUUGUUGGCAAAUUGUUGCUGGUUGACUUACCAGCAUCAAUUUGAGGGGAGAUGUUAAUGUUACCAUAUUCAAUUUAGGAAUCAGAUUGGUUGUACAUAUACGAAAAGAUUGACAGUUAUGUUAAUGUUACCAUAUACAAUUUAGGAAUCAAAUUGGCUGUAAUGUUACCAUAUACAAUUUAGGAAUCAGACUGGUUGUACAUAUACAUCUAUAUAUAGAUGGAUGCAAAGAAUAAUAAAAACAGAAGGGAGUUCUCGGUUUCUGGGGGGUUUUCUGAGUGUUUGACACCCCAUAGCUAGCUUUCUUUCAUUGUCAACAAGUCGAAGAACUUUAACAAGAGGACCCAUCACCUUAAGAAUAUAAACAACUUGAUUCCAAAAUGAAGGCAUCAAAACUAUUUUUGAGACUUGUUUUCCCUUUGCUUCCUUUGCCCAUAUACUAGUUAACCACUUGUUAGAAGUGAACAUCAAUCUCAAAUUACGCUUUUGCAUAUGGAUACUUUGUAGGGUAUGAAAACAUGUUACAAAUUGAGUUAUGCCUGGCCUAACCAAUUCUCUUUGUUUGGUGAACUCUCUCAUCAUAUUUAGCACUCCCGCAUGAUUGUAGAUGAACCCAUUCAAUGUGAUGGCUCUAGUCAAAGUCCUCUUAAUUAUAGGAAGUUUCCCAAUAUCUUCUAAAAUGAGAUCUAUGCAAUGAGCUGCACACAAGUGUCCAAUAUAAAUGUGGUCGUUUUGCCUCUAGGAACUUUCCUAUAUAAAGUCAAAAUCAUAAAAACCAUAAUAAAUAAAAAUUAUGAAUAAUAUCUUAAAUUCAUAAUAUAAUGUUUCAAUUCAAAUGGCGCAAAUAAAACCUAAAGAACUUCAUCAAAUAAAAUCUUACCUGUCAAUACAUAGUUAGAUCCAUUGUCAACUAUUACUUGAACAACAUUUUUCUCCCUAAUGCGCUCCUCAAACUUGUCUAAUAAUUCAAAUGUAUUCUCCCCAGUUUUCCUGAUUGAACUAUCAUCAAUGGACUCCAUAAACAUUGUUCCAACUGGGCAAUUUACCAAAAAAUUCAUCAAGGUUUGAUUUCUUUUAUUUGUCCACCCAUCAGACAUAAUAGAAACUCCAUACUUCAUCCAUGCAACAUUAUGAUCUUUCAAUUUUUUAUUUUUUUUUUGUACUCCACUUCUUUAUGAAGGAUUGGAACUCUUAAUUCAUGAUAACUUGGAGGUUUCAUAUUUGGAUCAUAUUGUCCAAUAACUUCAACCAUCCAUUUAAAACUAUCUAGAUUUGCACAAUUAAAUGAUAUUUCUUCUUGAUAAAAGAAUCGACCUAUGUAUUGACAUACGGUUUCUCUUUUCUUUUUAUCAAACACAUCAUUAUAGAACUUUGUUUGAUCUUUCCCUCUUUCCAAAGUUGAACUACUUUUUCUAGCUUUUGAGACACAAAAGCAUCAAUGGACCUUUUGUUGUUGAAUUCAUCUUCUUAUUACUUUCCAUGCCAUUUUUUUUUAUUAUCAAUCACUUUUUUCCCAUGCAAAUUGACUUCUUCAAGUUCCUUUUCCUCAUCAAUAUCAACAAUGUUUUCUAAGCCACCAAAUUCAGGAAAAAAAACUAUAGUUGUCUUUUUUAUUCUUUUUAUUAGUCAUAUACUGCUCAAACUCCUCUCUUACUUCAUCUAGACAUUUUAAACACCUUGCAACAUUUUCUUUUGUUUUCCUAUUUGAUGUUGUUUUACUCUAAAUAUUCCACAUUUUGUCUCCUUCCCACAAAAUAAACAUGUAUCUGAAUUUGUAUGUUUGGAUCUUUCAAAAGAUUAUAUUUCCAAUGCGGAAUUUUUUUUUCGAACCUUUUGAUGAUGUGCCAUCUUCUAAUGCCAUUUCCAAAAUCUAAAUUUAGUUUUUUUUUAAAAAAUAAUUACAAAUUUAAAAUUUAAAAUAUAAGGAAAAUAAGACAACAAUGUAAAAAAGUUAUAAAAUACAAAAAACUUUUAUAACAAAUAAUAAAAUUCUCAUGCAAGAAGCAUGGUCCGUUGAAUGAUAUAUUUUCAAUAAUAAGAACAUAUAAGUGGUGAAAAUGGUGGGACCCAUUGAAAUGAUGAGUCUAAGGAAGGUGGAGUAUGGCUUUCUGCAAUGUGCAGUGGCAGUAGAAAAUGGUUAAAUCUUUGCAGUGUGUGUACUGUGUAGUGGCAUUGUGACAGGCUUAAAAAAAAUUGGUCUAAGAAGGUAUAGUAUGGGUCUCUACAAUGUGCAAUGGCAGUAGAAAAUGGUCAAAUCUCUCUGUGUAGUGACACUAUUACAGGUAGCUCUAUAGUGUGUAGUAUUUCAGUGACAACACAGAGUAAAAUAUAUAUAUAUAUAUAAAAGUGGCCCUUGUGAGUCUUCACAUCACAAGCAAAGACAAGUUUUUGGUUUGCAGAGAAUAAAAUGAAAAAAACAAUAGUCAAUAGCUAUAAAGUGUGUAAAAGAAGGCAGUCUUCAUUCUUCAAAACACAAGCAAAGAUAAUAUUUUUCUUUGCAAAGAAUAAAAUAAAAUAAAAAUGAGUCAGUUCAAAGGUGCAUCAAUCAAAACAUACUUUUUUUCUUUUAAAAAAAGUUGGCUUCAUUGUUCAAAACUUCAAAUCGUGAAGAACAUAAAACAAAGGUCAUAAGAAGAGUUAUAGUGAAAAGAAAGAUGAGAAAACAUUGCCAAAGUGAACCAUAAAGCUGCUGAAAUCUUCAUCCCUUCAUCUUGUCUUUUUAUUGCUAAAAAGUAACAAAAAACUUUCUUUUCUUCUUCCCUCCGCCUUAUCUUUUUUCUUAAGCCUAAAUCUUGUUAUUUUCUUUUUUUGCCCUUUUAUUAAGGCUUUGUUAUAAACCUUUUAGCUUCUCCAUACCUCAACUUUCCAAAUUUUAUUUUAUUUUAUUUUAUUUUCCAAGUUUUCAGCCUUAUGAAUAAAGGCAAUCACUAUUACACCUUAAACUUUAUCCUAAGGUGACCACCUAGGGGUUGCCUCUUUGAAGUUGCCUCACUUAGGUCUUUAAGAGGCGUUUUUUAUUUUUCUCACUUCGCCUGGUGGCCUAAGCAAACCAAGCGAUCUCCCUUGACAACAUUGCCAGUAACCAAUUUGCUCAUAAGGAGCUACUAUGCUAACUACCAUGUUACCGAAGAGUCGUUUAUGUAAAGCUUUAAUAUCUUCUUUCAAAGCUUUCAGCUAGUUCAAAUAAACAAAACUCGAUGGUCCAGUCAUAUUGUAGCUUUUCCACUAGUUCUUCACAAAGCCCUAAAACCAUCCACCUUUAGCCACAUAUUUUUAGACCUAAACAUAAUCUUACCGAUUGUAACCCCAUUACUAUCCAAUGAAAUCAAUGUAUUAGCAUAGAUUGGCCUCGACAACACGCUUUAGACCAAAUUAAAGAAAUGAUCCUCUUGAUCUGUAAUCACAAGAAAGAGAUCAAGAGAAUGGGAAUCCCUUCUUGCCUCCCCACUCCAUGGAAACUCUCCUCUUGAAAAUGUCAUAUCUAUUAUACUAAAAUACCUUAAAAACUUCAUGAAGUGCCUCAUCAUUGCUAAAAUAUGGAUGCAAUGUCCUUUUUCUUAAGGAAAUCCCACUAUAUAAAAGUCUCUCCUAAUACACCAAAGAUCCUCCCACAACCCCAUAAUAUCCCCUAGUUGUUUUCGAGAAAUCCUCCUUGUCCCAUUUCGAAUCCAGGUGCCCCUAAAAGCCCACACAAAUUAUCCUCAAAACUGGUAAAAUAGUAGGAAAAUAAAAAUGCUCCAUUUCUCCUACUCCCACCUCAACCAUCUCAAAAGCUCUCUCAUAAAAAUAAAAAUAAAAAUAAAAAAACUAUUGGGGCAUGAAAUACAAUAUGGGUUCAAAUCCUACUAGCUUAAGCUUUUAGGAAAAUUAGUUGUUCAACAUGAUACCAAAGCUUCAAUUAAUUGGAGGUCAAGAGUUUGAAUCCUCUCUCCAUAUAUUUAUCUGUCUUAUUUUUUGUGAUCUGAAAUUUGUGAUUUGUCAACAUCUACUAUUGUUUGUGACUCCCACAAUGGGUAUAGGCCACAAAGGAGGGGAGAUGGUGGAGCAUGAAUUACAUUGUGGCUUAAAUCCUACUAACUUAAGUGUUUAGGAAAAUUACUUCUUCAACAAAAAAUACCCACUUCCCCAAACCUCCCAUUGCCCUUAAAGCUUCCAAAACUAAAAAUACCUGCACCCAAACUUCUCAGCAAAUAUAUCAUCUGCUUUGCUAUCUUGCAAGCAUACCAAAUCCAACUUCCAAGACAGGAUGAUAAUCUUAACAAUUUUCAUCUUCUACCGAUUAUUUAGGCCUCCUACAUUCCAUGACAACAUCAUUAUUUUCAUUGUGUUGAAGAUCCAUCUCUAUCUCCUUUUGAUCUACUUUCCAUGUAUUGGCCUUAUAAUUCCCAAAGCGCUAAUUUUUUCAAUUCCCUCUGUUUCCACCUAAAGCCUCUUGCUUUUCACUUUCUAGCUUAUACUAAGAAUGACUUUCUAUGUUUUGCCCCUAUUUUUAUAAUCAAGGUCAGAAUUUCUUCCUCAAAACUAUCAAAGGAUGUGCCCACAAAUCUAUUGAAUCCCACAAAUUUACUAUUAGACUAUAGCAAGGAACCUUUUUAACCAUUUCCAACCAAACUUCUUAAUAACUACUACUCCUAGAAGAAUCUAGGGGUAACUCAGACAAGAGAGAAAUAAAUGGUGAUGAAAUGAGGAGAACGCUUCUCAUUAGGGACCAACUUCCAUGAAUUACAUGGCCCUGAACUAGAACUAGAUUCUCAGGAAAAUCCAUUGAUCUGUCAUCUUGCAAGAUCAUUCUCAAGGGACCUCAUCCGCCAUAGCAAACUCUAGAGCUUAUCUCCCUCACCUUCUAGAAAUCCUUUUGCACUAACCUCAUAGGAGAAGCAAUCUAAGAAGAAAAUGUAGGAGUAGAAGACUCAUCCCCAAGCACCAAAACCUAGUAAUAGACUAAGAACCUAGGGUUCAAGAUACUAGUACCAAGAAAAGCUUAAAAGCAUGGUGUUUUCUUAAGAAAUCAAUUAUUUGAUGUGCAAGAUGUCCUCAUCAUCUAGCUACUAGAACCAAAUAAUUUUCUGUACUUCACAUGCCUAUUUAUAUGGAUGUCAGUGAGAUCACCUUCACCUAGGCAUUACAGACAUUUUUACAAAGAAUAUGAAUUGAUGAUGAAUUUUUAUAAAAUUUGUGUCACCCAUUUUCAUUAAUAAUCUACCUAACUUAGAAGUUGAAUCUAGAAAAGUGAAACAAAUUCACCAUUUCACACUCAGAUGAUGACUUAAAUUAAGGGCAAUUCAAACUAUAUAACACAAGCAUUUGUAGUAAAGAUAUAGCGAGCACAAAGUAAUAAAGAUAUACCAAGUACAAAUUUAACUUUCCUCUAUUGUUUUCAGUAUCUUAUAUUUCAAAAUUAUUCCUAAUGUGCAAAAAUGAAGGGAGUCCUGCUAGGUAGAAAUCCAGCCUUAAAACCCUUAAAACCUUAUGAACAAGUCAAGUUCAAAUCUAAAUAGAAUCUUUCAAUAAAUUUUCAAAAUAUAGUCAGAACAAGUAAUUUACCUUGGCAAUACCUAUAGUCUGUUACUCCAUUGCUUCAUGUAUGGUUGCCCUAUCAUGUUCCCUCAUACUGUCAAAUAGAACAUGAUUUAGAUUAAGAAUUAAGAAAGGGGAAGACAAAAUGGGGGGAGAGAGGAUAACAUGAAAACAAGAUGAGAGAUGAUAGGAGAAAUAAUAAUAAAAAAAUUAUAUAAAAGAUAGAGGUUUUAUAUAUAUAUAACCUAACACCAGGUUGUUAAAAUAUAAUAUUAGGGAUAUUUAUGUCUUAUGUAUGUUAGAAGGGUAAUAGGUAGUUGCCUCAUGUUUUUUUACUCUCAUUGUUUCCUUCUAUUCCGUUUUUUUUUUUUUUUUUUUUUUCAAACCAGGGAAUUCACCAUAAUACUAGCAAAUAUAAUUAACCAUCUCAUUCAAAUAACUAGCAACCUAAUAAUAGAUCAUUUUGGGGGAAGCAAGUCAAAUUCAUAGUGGAUAACUAUGACUUUAUCACAAACCUCCAUGCUAGAAAAUUUCAAUUGCCUAAUUAUGUCAACCACAGUUAUUAGUAGAGUUAUUUCUUUAAGGGGGUAAAAAAAAAGGGAAAAGAGAACAACACAACUACCAAAAUGAUAAGAAUAACAAGACCUAAAGAGAGAACCAUAGCUGGUUGAUAUUUUUUUCCUUCUCCUUCUCAAAAUAAGGUUCAGAAAACAAAAUAGAUUAUGCAUGUCGAGUUUGAUACACGAUUUACAAAAGCAAAGAGAAAGGUUGCCCUAUUUAAAGUUAAUGAUGUACAAAAAUAGAUUUUUCAUUCAAUCAAAAUGGCAAUACCUAUCAAAUUCGUCUAUACAACAAAGCCCACCAUCUACCAAAACAAGAGCCCUAGCUUCCAACAUCCAUUCCCCUAAAAAUUCCUUAAAAGUGGUUAGUCUUUUUAGUUGAAUUGAAUUUCACAUAUGUGGUUAUAUUAUGUAAUAGAGAAAAUUUCAAGGAUGCCCAAUGAAAUUUCUAAAAAUAAAUGGUGUACAUACUUAUAUGAUGACCUACAAAGGGCUUAAAAAAGCAAUAGAUAAAAUUUCAAUAAAGUAUGGGAUUGCUUGAUAUUCUGCAAAAUGGGGAUUGCUUCGUCUAUUUAAGUUCUCGAUGUAAACCAAAAUUUUUCAAUAAAGUAUCAUUUAGUUUCUCUUUCAAAUUCAAUAUGGUAUCAAAGCCCAAGAUCUGAACAUCAACAUGGUGAAAAUUGCAAUGAUAACAUCUAGCAAGGUCUUCGAAUGUCAUUUUCAAUUCUUUUUUUGUCAAUUCCGAUGGUAAUGGUGGUUUUGAAAAUUCCGUUCACCACAUUACUAUCCACAAAUUCAAUGGCAAGAAUUAUCUCCGAUGGUCUCAAUUAAUAAUGAUGUAUAUAUGUGGGAGAGGUAAAGACGAUGAUGACUAUAUCACAGGCGCGAAUAUGAAGAAUGAUGCAUCUUAUAAAACCUGGUUUUCUGAGAACAAUAUGAUUAUGUCUUGGCUUACUAAUUCCAUGGCGCAGGCCAGACGUUCCUCUUCUACAAGACAACAAAAGAAAUCUAGGAUGCAGUCAAAGAGACGUUUUCAGACAACGAAAAAUGCAAUAGAGGUGUUUGAAAUCAAAAGUCAAUUUCUAGAAUUACGGCAAGGGGACCUCAAUGUGACCCAAUACUUUAGCAUUCUCUCUUGAUAUUGAAAGAAACUGGACAUGUGCGAAGAAUUGGAAUGGGAUUGCACUAGUGACAACAUCAAAUAUCAGAAAAUUGUGGAAAAAGAAAAUAUCUUCACAUUCUUGGCGGGACUCAACAAAAAUCUUGAUGAAGUCCAAGGAAGGAUUCUUAGCACUAAGCCACUCCCAUUACUUUGAGAGACAUGUUCUAAAGUCCUGACAAAAAGAGAGUCGAAAGAAAGUCAUGAUGAAGGAUCAUAACUCAUCACAGUCUUUUUCGAGCAACGACGGAUUAGCUUUGGCCACCAAGUGACCAAAUUCUCAACACUUUGAUUCAAAAAGGAGAUCUAACAGGCCAUGGUGUGAUCAUUGUAAUCAAGUUGGUCACACUCAAGAAACUUGUUGAAAAAUUUAUGGGAAGCCAUCUAAUUGGAAAAGUAACAGAACUUAGGAAAAUAAACCUCAAGGUUAUUGUGCCACCAAUGAUGAACCACCACAAUCCAAUAACUUAGCUAACAAAACACCUUUCAACUAAGAACAGAUGGAGCUACUUCAGAAACUCCUCACAUGUGAUCCUUCGAGUAUCUCCACUAUAAGAUCAAGUUCCAUUGCCUAGAAAAGGAAUAUGUUCCAAAGCCUUGAAAGCUUUUUCAAAGUCAAACUCAUAGAUUAUCAACUCUAGCGCAUCUGAUCACAUGACCGGUGAUAUAACUUUUUUUCACUCUUAUUAGCCUUGUUCUGAGAAUUAUAAAAUUAAAAUAGCUGAUGGUUCUUACUCACCAGUGGCCAAUAAAGAGUGUCGUUCUUCCAAAUAGCUUUAGAUUGCUCUCUAUUCUUCAUGUUCCCAAGCUUACGUGUAACUUGCUCUCUAUAAGCAAAGUCACUAAAGAUCUGAACCGUGUUAGUAAAUUCUUUCCUAAUCAUUGUGAAUUUCAGGAAAUGGAAACGAGGAAGAUGAUUGGUUGUGCCUAGGAGCAUGAGGGUUUAUAUGUCUUUGGAAAUAAAGCUUCAAAAGGACACACUUAUAAGGCAAGCUGCAAUGUUCUUUCAUCUUUUACAAAUUCCAGUGACCAUGAAAUAAUGGUUUGCCUUUUUAGGCUAGGCCACCCAAGCUUUCCAUAUUUGAAAAUAUUGCUUCUAUCGUUAUUCAAAAAUAAAAACUUAAGAGUCAUUUCAUUGUGAGUUCUAUCAAUUGUCUAAACAUUGUUGAAAUUCUUAUGUUUCACAACCUUAUAAAAAAUCUCAUCAUUUUUCACUCAUACAUAGUGAUUUAUGGGGACUUUCCAAUAUUAGAAACAUAACAUGCUCUAAGUGGUUGAUUUCAUUUAUUGACAAUCACACACAAAUAUGUUGGGUGUAUUUGUUAAAAGAAAAUUUUGAAGCAAAAGAGAUUUUCAAAAAUUUUAAUAAUAUGAUUACACUCAAUUCCAAACCAAAAUCCAAUUUUUUCGCACUAACAAUGGUACUGAAUACUUAAUUCAAUUCUUGGACCAUAUCUUCGUGAACAUGACAUUAUUCAUCAAAGCUCAUGCAUUGCUACACCACAACAAAAUGGAAUUUCAAAAAGAAAAAACCGUCAUCUAUUGGAAGUUGCUUGAUCCCUUAUGUUCAUGACAAAUGUUCCUAAAUAUUUUUACGAGGAAACCGUUCUCACUGCAUCAUACUUGAUAAAAAAAAUGCCCAUUAGAGUAUUACAAUACCAAACUCACAUCGAAGUCCUAAAAAAUUGCUACCCUAACAUCGGCUAGUGUCAUCCCUUCGACCAAAAAAUUUUGGUUGCAGCGUUUUUGUCAACACUCAUGCCAAAAAAAAAAUGAAACUAGAUCUAAGAGCCCUCAAAUGCCUUUUCUUAGGAUAUUCUUCAACCCAAAAAGGUUAUAAAUGUUACUCUUCAAUCACAAAAAGGUUCUAUGUUUCCAUGGAUGUAACAUUCCUUGAGAAUCAAGCCUAUUUUCCCAAAACUCAGCUUCAGGGGGAGAUUUCAGGGAAUUCCAGAUCAGAUCAAUUUUGGGAUAUUGCUAUUCCAACUAAUAUUGCUCUUUCAGCCCUAAUUUUUGAAUCUGCCACCUCAACUGCCCCUGUAACAACAAGUAAGUCUAGCCCUGAAACCACUGUUGUUCCAUUCAAACCAAAUUUUGUACCCAAUCUUCUAGUAAAUUUGACCUCAAAGCUUUAGGUUUAUUCCUGAAGAAAAGUUGCCAGGGAUAUACAGACUCCCAUGCCCUCAACUCAUGGCCAGUUAACUAAACCUAAUCCGGAUCCUCAUGACCAGAAUUCAGGUAACACGGUAACUGAUACUAAUCCAGCUGUAUUAAAUGAUUUGGAUGUUCCUAUUUCAUUUUGCAAAGGGGUUAGAUCGUGUAUUGCACAUCCCAUUGUUGAUUUUGUUUCUUAUGAAAGAUUAUCUCCACAGUUUCGAGCAUUUACUACUAAUCUCUCUAAAGUUGAUAUACCCAGGGACAUUCAUGAGGCAUUACAACAUCCAAAUUAGAAAGUAGUUGUGCAUGAGGAGAUUAAAGCUCUUGAAAAAAAUGGAACCUAGGAAUUAACUAAAUUGCCUUUUGGAAAAUCGAUUGUGGGAUGCAAGUGGAUUUUCAAUAUGAAACAUAAAGCUAAUGGGAACAUUGACAUAUAUAAGGCAAGAUUGAUGGCUAAGGGAUUUACGUAAACGUAUGGAGUAGAUUAUCAGGAAAAUUUUGCUCUAGUUGCAAAACUUAACACUGUUCAAGUUCUACUCUCCAUUGCAGUCAACAAUGAUUGGCCUCUUUAUCAACUAGACGUAAAAAAAAUGCAUUUCUAAAUGGUGAUCUCAAUGAAGAAGCCUAAAUGGAUAUUCCACUAGGAUUCAAAGACAGAAAAAAGAGAAUCAAGUGUGUAGGUUAAAGAAAUCUUUGUAUGGCUUAAAGUAAUCACCUAGGGCCUGGUUUGACCGGUUCACUUUAGCUAUUAAGAAAAUUAGGUAUAGUCAAGGACAAUCAGAUCAUACGAUGUUUUUCAAACAUUCAUUGGAUGGGAAAAUAGCUAUUCUUAUUGUCUAUGUGGACGACAUAAUUCUUAUAGGUGAUGAUGAAGCAGAAAUGAUAAAUAUGAAAAACACCCUCUCUCAGGAAUUCGAAAUCAAGGACUUGGGAGCUCUUAGGUACUUCCUUGGUAUGGAGGUGGCUCAAACUUCAAAGGGAAUAUCAGUCUCUCAACGAAAAUAUGUCCUUGAUCUUCUAGAGGAAACUGGUAUGCUUGGAUGUAGACCAACAGACAUACCUAUGGAGCAAAAUGGCAAGCUUAGUGAUGAUGAAGAAAGCCCUUCGAUUGACAAAGGUCAAUACCAAAGACUUGUUGGGAAGUUGAUCUAUUUAUCCCAUACUAGGCCAAACAUAGCCUUUCUUGUUAGUGUGGUUAGUCAAUUCAUGCAAGCCCCCAUUAAAGAACAUCUUAGUGUAGUUCACAUAAUUCUCCGAUACUUGAAAAUGACACCUAGAAAGGGGUUAUUUUUUUGGUAAAAGUACCAAACGAAUAAUCAAAGUAUAUUCUAACGCAGAUUGGGCAGGUUCCGUGAAGGAUAGAAGGUCCACUUUAGGCUACUGUACCUACAUGUGGAGUAAUUUGGUUACUUGGAGAAGUAAGAAGUAGUCUGUAGUGGCUCAGAGUAGUGUGGAAGCUAAGUUUCAGGCUAUUGUACUUGGUGUAUGUCAAAGACUAUGGCUAAAACAUGUGAUGGAGGAGUUGAAGAUUUCAACCGAGUUUCCAAUGAAAAUGUUUUGUGAUACCAAGCAACCAUCAACAUCUCCCAUAAUUUGGUUCAUUAUGACAAAACCAAACAUGUGGAAAUACACCGACAUUUCAUUAAGGAGAAAGUUGAGAAUGAGGAGUUUUUAGUGCAGUACACACCUACCAAACUUCAAACUGCAGACAUUCUUACAAAAGCUCUACCAAUAUAGCAUUUUAAUUCUCUUAUAAGCAAACUAGGAAUGAUCAAUCUCUAUUCCUCAGUUUCAGGGAGAGUGUUGAAACUGUAGGUUUGAUUUUUAGGAGUUUGAAUUUAAAAAUAAAACCAGAAGAUAAGACUUGACCGAGUCCUAUUAUUUUGGACUGUUUAGUUUGGAUAAGUCCUAGAUUUUUAGGAGUUUGAAUUUAAAAUAAAACUAGAAGAUAAGGCUUGAUUGAAUCUCAUUAUUCUAAACUGUUUAGUUUAGAUAAGUCCUAGUGUGUUUAAAUUUGUUUUUAUCUCUAGUUUAAAUUAGAGAGAAUAUCGGAUGAUAUUUUGCAGUGCUACAUUCUCUUAACUCACAUGCAUGGCUUGAAAAUCUAAUUCACCUGACAAGACAUGCAAAAUACAUGUACUAAUGCAUUGCCAUCAUUUUCUAUUUUACUAGUGAUAGGAAUAAGAAUAAGAUAUCUAAGAGUUUGAGAUACACAUGUCUACUAGCAUGUAUCAAGAAAUGGUUGUGAGCUUCUUUCAUUGGAAAGAGAGUUAUAUAUAUAAAAGGACACAAAACAGGAUGGCCUAUGGCAAGCAUGCAGAAGGAAUACAAGCAACACCCUAAAAAAAAGAUGGAAAAGAAAAAAAAUGGAGACUUCAAGCAUUUCCAACCUAGCAAUGAAAUUCAAAAAACACACGCUCCCCAACAAGUCCACUGGCCAAACAAACAAUGACUUGAGAAUAAUUUCUUUCAGUUUCAACCCCGAAAACCCACUUGGUUAAAAAACUUGGUGAUUCCUCUUCCCCAAAGACACUAGGCUAGGUACAAUGAAGUUGUGAUCUACAUUUUCAUUUUCUUCAUCGAUCAACAAAGCCAACUAGAAAGAUAUUCCUUCAGUCUAGACAAGAUGCAAGCCACCUCAAAAGGAAUCAGCCAUAGACCAGAGGUUACAUAACUGUUGUAUCAAGAGAUGUUUGGUGGACUUCAACCAAAAUAGAGUUCCAAAUUUUUACAAUGCGCCUAUUGAAAUAAAAUAUUAAAAGUAGCAAAGCAGAAUUUUAUGACAAAAAAAAAACAAUUUUAAAAAAAACGCAUAACACUUUCCUUGCAUCAAAGAAUACACUGUUUAGAUGUUCCUUUAUAAUAGUAUCAAAGUUCACUACCCUAAAGAGGCCCGAUAGCAAGGGUUGGCAAUAGCAAUACACUGUCUAGAUGUUCCUAGGAAUUUUAGCAUUUAUGUGGUCUUAUAUAAAAAAGAAGCAUGUCCUUAUUUUAAAACACAGAUUUGAUCAACUCAAUUGCACAAACGUAUUGUUGGAAGGGAUCCAAAAUUAAAACUUAAAAUCAUGAGGAUCUAUUGGAUUGGCAUAGCUUAGACAUCCAAUGUCAUGUGAAUCUUGGGAAAUAAUAAGUCUUGCAAAGUGCCUUAAAACCCAGAAUUCUUGAUGGAUUGAGAUUCUCUUAAAUUUCUCAAGUUAGGAUCUCAGUUUGAACUUCCACAAUUCAACAAGAGAAAGUUUUCCAAUCAAAUUCAAGCUUGAAUUAAAGUGUUUCUGAUUCAAGCCUUAAUGUAUUUAUCCAUUAAAAAUUAUUUUAACAAAAAUAUACAACUUAACCUAAAUUUGAAAAGGCUAAUACUAAGAAUAACAAAGCCUGAUGGUAUCAGUCAGGAAAACCAGAGAAGAAAUUACCAGGAUCACCAACUAGAAGCAAAUGAGAUUUUCCUCGAACCUUAGUCCUAGAAGCAUCAACAUGUUGCACACCUCCAAUAAGUGUUAAUGCAACUAGAUUAAAAUAAGAAAAGUUAGAUGUGGUAAGUGAAGUAUGAAGCAAUAAAGAUUAUAUAAUUUUAAAGAAAGAAAAAAAUAUUAUCUCAAAAUUUGGACCACAUUAGCAUGUCCUCUGUAAAUAGGAGUUUAAAGGUGAAACAGUACAAUGGGAAGUUAAUCUUCAAAAUCCGUGACAAUGGAACUUGACAUUGGAAAGGAAUAUACUUGCAAGUUUCACAAUGAAGAGUCCAAAAACUUGUGGGCAAAUACCCCUAAGAAUGGCAUUUCUCCUUGGUACAAUUAAGCUACUUUAAAUUAAAAGUAGAAGAUGCCAAAAUUCACAGAGCAACUCUAAAUAAAGGAUGCUAAAAGAAUAAAAAUGAAUAGAGAACACACUUUUUUAACAAGACAUUCCUUAAAUAGCCUAAAUCUUCAUAUGCUGAUAUAGAAAAAUUAUGAAAUUUAUGUGAAUAACUAAUUUUCACCUUUUAAUGGGGUAUCUUUGAAGUCUAACCAGAACUGCUUGAAUUUCAUAAUGACCUAAUCAAGGAUAUCCAUGUCUAAUCUAAGCUCAUUAGUUCUCCUAAAAACAAAAAACAAAGAAAAUAAUAAACAAGAGCAAGUUAAAAAAUACCAUGCUCACUAAUAUAUGUGUGGACCCGCAUUUUUCACGUGCGUCCCUACUCGAUCGGCGAGACUCGCUUUUUAUUUGUGAAAAAUUAAUUUUAAAAAAAGUUGGAGUCGCCACCUAUUUUAUUUUUAUUUUAAAGGGAAAAUAAAACAAGAAAGAAAAACCCUAAAAAGUGACUCCAUAGUUUUGGAAAAAGCAUGUCUUUGAGAAACCUGAGUCUAAGUUCGGGAAUCAGGUUACUUAUUGGGAAGGUACCUCUAAGAGGUAGCACCCCUCUAAGCCCUAAAGAGGUCUCUACUGACUAAGUUAAGGGGAAUAUGGCAAUUAAUCGGUUAAUUAUGGAUACCUAAGUAGGCUAGGUGAUUUCAAAAAAAUUUGCAUGCUAAACAAGAUCAAAUCACAAUAAAGGAGAGUUAGGGUGUGUACCUGGACUGCCUCUCAAGCGCUAUCAUAAAACAUCAGAGUUAGUAUAGAAGUGUAACACACAACAUGUAUUUAAUCAUAGUGAAUCAAACAUACAUCUAAACACCUAAGGAUUAUCAAACAUAUGCAUACUUCACAGUGACAUGAUUGUUUACAAAAUUUAGAAAAGUAGGUGAUAGGGGGGGCGUACCUGGAUAGCAUAGAUAACUUACAAUGCGCUUCCAUAAGACAUGAGGGAUUAGAUAAUAAUAAAAUAAAGAAACCCUAGCAUGCUUGUUAUCUAAUUAGCAUAACAAAAAUUAUCAAAGUAUAUGAAAACAUUAAUUAUCACACACAUCUUGUAUACAAUUCCUAAAAAAGAUAGACAUAAUUUCAACAAGUGACAAAAAUGGCAACAAAAAUAAUUUUUGAAAAGAUUUUCUUAUGUAGGGGUUUCACCAAUUCCCCAAUUGAUAUACACGAAUUUAGCUCAGAGUUAUCCCAUUUAUUUGGGACUACAAGCUUUGAUUCGUGCCUUUGUUCAAAACCAAAAUUUUUGUUGAAAACCGAGAAGGAUGCCAAACUGAACAAGAUAUGGUUGCAUAUUAUUUUUAAAUAAUAAAAAAAAGGAAAUUUUGAUCCUGAGGACUCUAAUGAGUUUUUGAAAUAGAUUUUUAAAAUGAUUUUUUUUUUUAUAAAAGUAUUUUAUUUUAAAAUAAAAGGGAUUAAUUUGGAAAAAAUAAAAAAUAAAAUACCAAACAAAACAAAAAUGAAACCUCAAAGUAAAAUUUUUUUAGUAAUUAACAAAAAUGAUAAUGGUGAUGGUAGAGGCCAAUCUUCAUGAUUUUCCAAUGGCCUCUAAAAAUCAAAUUUAAUAAAUAUUCACCAAAGCAACAAACCAAACAACUUUAGAUCAAAUAAAACUAACGAAAUAUUAAUCGGGAUUUACAAGGAUCAAUCAAACACAUAAAUUGAAAUAAACAAUCAAGAACUAAUUUAAAAUCAACCAAACACCUAAACAUGUAAUUAUAAUAAGGUGAAUAUAGUAACACAAGCACAUAGAAUUCUAAAACAUAUUAACUAAUCAAAAACUAGAAUCAUCAAUUUUAGAACGUGAGCAAAAUAACAUAAGAUUAGUUAAACUAAUUAACCUAUUAGAAAAAAAGCAUGAACUAAAUAUUGAUAAACCAAGAACGAAGAUUAGUAUACUCAAAACAUGAAUAAUACGACUUAGGGUUAAUUAAAUUAGUUAUCUAAAACUUUGGAAAACAUACAAACUAAAAGUGGAUCAACCAAGAAUUAACCAAAUAUUUCUUAAACUAAUCAACUUAAAUCCUAAAAAGGAUGAAUCAGAAAAAAUGAUUUACAAUUUUUUUUUAAAAAACAUAAAUUUAAUUAGAUGGGAUCAAAUAGACUAAUGAGCUAAAAUUCUAAAAUACCUAAACUAAAUAAGAUGAACCAAAACAUGAUCAAAAUAAACUUAAAAACAUAAACUUUAUUACAUGUGAUCAAUUAGAAUAAUAGACUAAAAAUUAUAAAACACUUGAACUAAAUAAAAAGCUGACUCAUAAAAAAAACUGACUUUUAAAAUUAAAUCUAUUAAAACCGAUCUAAGCAAAAUUCUAACUUUUCGAACUAAGCAAGGAAUCAAAUCCAAACUACACAAAGAUUCUAAUUUUUCAAUGUAAUAUAAUGAAUCAAAAUUAAAAUAAAACAAAAAAUUCUCACCUUUUAAACCAAAGUAAUGAAUCAAAACUAAGCAAACAAAAAUUUACUUUUCAAUUUAAUAUAAAAAAAAUCAAAACUAGAUUAAACAAAAUUCAAACAUUUCAAAAUAACGCAAGGAAUAAAAAAUAAAUUAAAUAAAAUUUUAACCUUUCAAUCUAGUUCAAUGAAUAAAAAAAUUGAAUCAAACAAAAAUUCUAAUUUUUCAAGACAAACAUAAUGAAUUAAAAUUAAACUAAACAAAACCUAACUUUUGAAACCAAGACAAUGAAUCAAAAUCAAACUAACUACAUUCCAACUUUUUCAUCCGAUUAAAAAAAAAAUUAAAAUUAAUACAUAAAAACUCUAACUUUCAAUCCAAUAUAAAAUUAAAACUAAAAUCCUUAGAAAUUCUAACUUACCUUCUCUAGAAUUCCUCUAUGGUGGUGCGGCUGCUAGUGCUCAAUGGUGAAUGCGUGGUGGCUGCCUCCUUCCUCUUCCUUCAGACCUCUCUUUGUUCCCAGCAAAAUAAUAUCUCUUUCACCUUCUCAAAAAGCCAAAAAUCUCUCCUUUGCUUCCCAAAAAUAAUCUCUCUCCAUGUGCCUCUCUAAAAAAAAAUUCCGUGUGUUGAUCUCUCCUCGUCCACACCAAAAAAUAUAUUGUCUUCUCUUAUUUAUAUGGCAGCCUCACCCUCAUGGGAAAUUUUUAUUUCCUCUUUUAAUGCACAUGGAUGGCCUCUUCAGUAUGGAAAGUAUGACUGCUGAUAUGGAAUGCACCACCAUUCGUGUACGAGGUUUCUUAUUUUGUCCUCCCAAAGGAUCUCUUAUUCAGCCACAAUAUUUCCUUAUACGCUGCAUCUUUCCGGAUUUGAAAAUUAUUUAAUAUAAGGUGGAAGAUUCUUACUUUCUCAAUUCUAUAGUGCUGAAAGAUGACUAGUUUAUUGGCUCUCCCCUUCUCUUCGAUGUGAUGACUGCUCAUUUUUAAAGAAAGAAAAGGAAAGAAGCUACAGGCCAUGUUGUGGAGCCCUCCAUUCCCCGGAACUGAUCAUGCGUGUUGUACGCUAAUGGUAGACUACAUGUCCACUUCUUCUCAUGCGUGGACUGCGUAUCAUCCUUGGCGGCGUCAAUCCCAUGGUUUUAUUCCCAAUACGCUUCUACAAUCCCAAGAGCAUCAUGGUGCAUGUCCACUGCAGUAGCACCAAGCCUUCGCACACCUCUUAUCCUCAUAUGGAUAUGCUACAUUGCUGUCACCUUCAGAUUCAUCAAAAUCCAUGUCAGAUGACGAGCCUCCUUCAGAGUCAACGUCAGCUGUGACAUCUUCAUGAACUGGACGCCUCAUUACUGAUUCCAUGUCCUUAAUAAAACGGUCCACAUCAAGCUCCACUGCUUUUAGGUCUCUUGAUUGCUACAGUAGGUAAGCUCUUAAAAAUUUCAUGAAGUUUAAAUAGCUUUUUCUUGGAAGGAUCUAGGGCAUUGCAAUGCAGCUUGCAUCUAAGAACGUGACAAUCAGAGAGAUUCCCCCAGGCUCCUGUUGUCCCCAAUAUUGUAUUUAUAAUACUCUUCAUGUUUAACAAGCAUUGGAGUUCUCUUAUUGGUGCUGAAUUCAAGAAAACGCCCCUUCCUCACGUGAUAGCCCUCACUAAUUUCAUAUUUCUCCCUUCACAAGAGCCACUCAUCCCAGAUUAUGUAAUUCCACCUCCUCAUGCAAAACAAAAUAAAUAAAUAACUAAAAAAAAACUAAUGAAAAUUAUGAGAUUGGUAAUAAAAUAAAAUAUGAUUUAAAAGAAGAGAAAGGGAACAAUGAGAGACCAUAUUAUAUAAUUCCAUCAUUCAAUAAGGGGUCGUAUGCAUAUUUAAUGUCUAAACAAUUCUAACAAUUCUCUAUCAAGUAGGUAAAUAAAUAAAAUAAAGAAAAAUAAAAGAAGAAAAAAAAACGUAAUAGAAAUUUAAAAAAAUGACUAAAUAAAUAGAUGAAUAAAUAAACAAAUAAACAAAGUAAAUAUAAUCAUCAAAUGCAUGCAAUAAUGAUCAAGAGAUUAUAAAAAAAAAAGUUGAGCCUCAAUGAAGUGUUUAAGCGGGCCUAAGGUGAACCUAAGUGUCCUAAAGUGAUCGGGAUAUUGUCUAAGUGACCUAAACAUGCUUAAGAACCAUCCUAAAAAGGAAUGGAAAGCUUAAGUCUAAAUCAAAACUGCCAAGGGUCACAAUAAAGGGGCGGAUAAUCCCUCAACCAAAAUCUCCGAGGUGACUCAAAAAAGGGUAAGUGGUAUGAGUAGCUAUGGGCCACCAAGGAAUUAUUGUGGAGCAUUGAAAAUGAAUUUUAAAGACAUGUGCUAAAGGGACAAAAUUGAGGGUCUACAAUAUGAUAUGAUAGCAUUAGGUUCCAAAAACAUCAAGCAUUGUUCAAGUUCUAUAAGCCAAAAAAAAAAAAAAUACAAAUCUGAAGGAUUUUAUUUUUCCUUCUUUUUCACUUGGGUAAAAAAUGAUAAGAUUCUGAAUUUGUUAUCGCUUGCUGAAUUUCAAACUGGUAAGAAAGGCAAGAAGACAUAACUUAAACUGAAAAAUGACACCAAAAUAUACACCUUCUAGGAUACCAAGAGCCUAUACAAGACCAUUCAAUUUGGGAUUGCAAAGGGGUAGGUUCAGGUUGGAGUGCAGCCCCACCAACCCCAUUCCUAUUGAUAUAAAUCAUCAACCCUCAUCCAAGCUCAAAACCAAUGCAAGGCAGAACCAUGAAUCCCAUUCUAGGAUUGGCCAGGUCGGUUUAUAUUGGUUGAAAAACAACUCUGAUAUUUGAUUAAAGAAUAGUAGUACACAUAUAUAGUAGUGUCUAAGAUGCAAACACCCAAUUUACAGUUGUUCUAAUCACUAAUUUACAGUUAUCCUAGUCAAUAGUUGACUGUUACAAUUAUCCUAAUUUGUACAUUAAUUGACUAAUUCUACAAGCUUAUAUUAACAGCUAAUAUAUACCACAUAUAGGUCCUUUAAAGCUGAUCGAACCCUAAAAUGAAGAGAUUCUAUUGAUUUUCCACACUCCCCCUCAAGCUGGUUUGAAGAUAUUCUUCAUUCCUAGCUUGCAUGUCAUUGAGUUGAAGCUUGGAUUAGACACUCCUUUAGUGAAUAUAUCAGCCAACUGCAUUUUAGAUGAAACAAAAGGAGUGCAAAUAAGACUAUUAUCAAUCUUUUCUUUGAUGAACUGUCUAUCCACUUCAAUAUGUUUAGUGCAAUCGUGUUAAAAUGGGUUAUGUGUGAUGCUUAUGGAUGCCUUAUUGUCGCAAUAUAGUCUCAUAGGUUCUUCAAUGUCAAAUUGCAAUUCUUUUAGUAGAGUUUUGAUCCACAUGAGUUUACAAAUACUUAGGAUCAUAGCUCGGUAUUUAGCCUCAACACUUGAUCUAACAACUAUUGGUUGCUUUUUACUCCUCCAAGUCACCAAGUUGCCCCUUAGCAAGGGGCAAUACCCUGAAUUAGAUCUCUUGUUGGUUAUUUAUUGAUUUUUUUUUAUCAAAAACAAAUAUAUGUAUUAAUAGAGAAAAGGGACAUGAGAAGGAUGAGAAAUCCUCCCUAUGAAAUACAAACCUGAUCAAAAGAACUAGGUAAACCUCCACUAACCAAGGAAGGCUAUACAAGAGGUAAAAAAGGUCGCAUGAUCGAAAGAACUAAGUAAACCUCUUCUAACCCAAGGAGGGCUAUACAAAAGGAACAAAAUGGCUAUACAAGUAAAAGAAUCUUGACCCUCUAAACCCAACCCUACGGUGUACAUAGUGGAAGCGAACUAAGUUGGAUUACACUCAAAGGAUAGGGUUUAAAAAUGUCUAUACAGUAAGCCUGAAAAUAAACAUAAAAAUGUAAGGGAAUUUUAAGAUAUGUUUUUUAGUUGCAUUAAAGAUCGAAAAAAUGCAAGGGAAUUUUCUUUGGUCAAGUGCUAGGGAGCACCAAAGAGACCAUCUCAUUAGUUGGGACCUAAUGUGCAAGUCUAAAGUGGAAAGGGGUUUACGAAGAUUUCUCUAAGAAAUUAUGCUCUUUUAGGGAAAUGGCUAUAGAGGUCUCCUAAGGGAAGUUAUACUUUUUGAUAUCAUGUUAUUUGGAGCCUCUAUAGAACACAUUCUAAUAGGUAGGAUGUCGAGAUUAUAGUUAGGUGGUCACAUCAUUGUGCCUAGAAGGUCAUUGCACUUGUUUUUCAGGAUUUUUCUAAACAUACUCAUUUUAUAGUGGGUGAUGGGGUGAGAAUUUGUUUUUAAGAAGAUUUGUGAUGGGGGUAUGAACCUUUGCGCUCACAUUUCCUAAGUCUAUUAAGAAUUUUCAUGGUUAAAAACCUUCCUAUCUCAUCAAUUCUUAGUUUCACUUACCCUUGUUCUUUAAACUUUAAUUUCCAUUGCAACCUUUCUAACUCGAAGGCUGAAGAUCAUGAAAGACUCAUGUCCUCUCUCACUUGUUUAUAUUUAUCUCCAUCCAUCCUAAAUGCAAAAGGCUAAUUGUUAUCUUCAUGAGGAUUAUUUAUAGUGAAGUCAUUCUUUUUAGUCUUGUGUAACCAAUUUAAUCUAAUUUCGUUCUAUCCAUUUAAAUUUGUAUGGAAAUCUAAAUUCCCAGCUAAGCUCAAGACCUUUUCUUGGCUAAUGGCACACAAGAAAGUGUACACAAAUGGCAUGCUACAAUUGAGAAAAUUCUACAAAGCCCUUACUUCUUAUGUUGGCUUAUUGUGUAUGGAGAAUGGAGAAAUGAUGAAUAAUUUUUUCUUACUUUCUUUGUUGACUUUGGGCCUAUGACAUAUAGACUUUCCAAAUCUACUAACUUGGACUAGGUUCCUCCUAGGAGUAUUUGUGACAUGAUGAUCAUCUCAUAUAAGGGAUUGAGAAGCUCCAUUAGAGGCAACAUUGCUUGGUAAACCACUUGUCUCGCGUUUAUUUGGGUUGUUUGGUGGGAAAAAAAUGGGAGGAUUUUUUAAGGCAAGGUGAGGACUUCAAAGGCUCUUUGGGAUAUCAUUCAUUUCUUUUCCUCCUUUUGGCCCUCUUUCUAAAUCCCCUUCCAUUUUGGGCUUGCACACUAUGUCUCAACUAAUGAGAUGAUCUAUUUUCCUCCCCUAUCCAUGACCAUAGAAAAUCCCUUUGCAUUUUUUUAAUCUUUGUCACUACUACUAUAUAAUGAAAUGAAAUAAUUAGGAAUGUGAGUCAAGCAAGACAAGAUUACGGUAAUUCUUCCACUUAAAUACCAAAAAACCUUUUCCCAACCAUUUAAUCUUCGCUAAAUUCUGUCUUCUUAAUCUUAAAAGACACUAGCCUUUGGAUAGAUUCAAAUAGGUUAUUUAGCCAUUCAUAAACCUUACAUUCGAGCAUCGAAGCUAGCCUAGAAAUUUGAUCCUAACUCUUGUUGGAAAUUAUGUUUCUUAUAGACUUAAUCCACUUCAUUUGCACUUAUGCCAAUCAUUGAUGUGUUUAUAAAUCUGUGUUUGCGAUGGAUGUUUUUGUAAGUCUUUGGUGAUUUGGGAGAAAACCAGAACAAUUAAGUUAGUUGUUUUGAGAAUUCAUAAAUCUCCUCUCUCAAAAGAAAAAGAAAGACGUUCUUAGAGUUGUGGAAAUGACUAAUCUAGGGAGGAAGUUAGUGAUGAUAAAAAAAAAAAGUGUAGUUAUUGUUAUUGUACUAGAAGUGUAUAAAGCUAUCACUUCUCAUAGAAAGACUAACACGAGAACAAGGAAAAAGAAGAAAAAUAAAAAGAAAAGACUUAAUAUAUUUUGUUUUACGAUACUGUGUUUUAUUUACACAAGGAAAAUGCACCUAGGUCUAAUAGAUUCACCAUUACAAUGUUUCAAGAGUAUUGGGAUGUGAUUAAGGAUGAUUUUUUUCUAUGUACUUCCUCGAAAGUUUUUAUGAUUGUGUUGUUGUGAAUUCUACAAUUUGGUUUGAUACUUUUUUUUUCUCUAGGAUUCAUUGAUAUUACUUAUGUUGAACAUAUUAUUUAGAUUACUUGACCUUUUUCUCAAAACAUCUUAGAUUGGGAAUAUUCCUCAUCCAUUUGAAAUUUCUGUAUAGGUUUAGUGCAGAGGAUGAUGAAGAAGGUUCGUGAUUUGGUUCAGAGAAAAACAAUUGGAAAUGGUUGUCUUUGAUUUCCUUUAUUUCUUUAUUCAUAACUGGUUCGAUAUAAUUCUUGUUUGAGUCUCGUCAUCUUCCUUUAACUAGCAGGUUUUCCAGACUCAGUGUUUAACUGGACUCAAGAAAUGGAUUCAAAAUUGUCAAAUCAAGAUAUCAACAAUCAAGCCUUUUCCUCUAAUAAAAUGACAAUAAUAAUAAUAAUCAAGUCUUUCCCAAAAAGCAUUGGCGUCUUCUCUAAUGCCAAAAUGGUAAAUCGUUUUUGCGGCAUUUGCAUUAUUUUUUCUGUUUAAUACAAAGAUGAUAAUCAAGGAAUCAAUAUAACCUAUCUAGGGAGGGAAGUCAGACAAUUGAGUAACUGGUUAUCCCAUAAUUAAAUCCAUGAAUUAUUAAUUACAAUUCGUCUAGAUAAUUGUAGAACUUCGAAUUUUUGAAGAGCUUCUUGAAGUUGAUUACCUUGUAAGGCAUUGUUUAUUUAUUUCAUUCUACAGGCAUCUCAUGAUUUUGCUUUUGCAGUAGGCUAUUUCUCAUCAACGUAACAUGUACCUUUCUUUUUGCAACCAAGGAGCUAUAGUAGGGCAAUGAAAGCUGUAGGGGUUUGUGAAGGCAACCUGUGAAAAAAUAUUUGAGCUUGUAAUGAGCAUGGAUGGAACACGGUUUGAGUAAGUUCUUUCUAUUUUAAGUAAAGAUUAUUAUGAAUUAAUUCCAAAUGGUCAUUAUUAUGGUUUUUUGAAGAAUUUAUUUUGUAUAUAUCAUCCGACAGGUCUACUUCAAAGCUCAUUUAAGUUAUUUUCUUUUAGAAACUUUUCUUAUGUUCUUUCUUUAUAGCAUACAUAAAAGUGGUCAUGCUCCCAUGCAAGUCAAAGUUAUAGUGAUGGGAAUUACUUCUCUUGAAAUUUGCCUCAUCUUUUACUAAUUUUUUAGACCAUUUAUUAAUUUUUUUGAUAGGAUUUUCUUGACACCUUAUGAAAAGCAUAUACUCACUGACAUGAUUCUUAGUUUAAAGUUCAUAAUAUGAGCAUUCAUACAUGACAUAUAACAUGUCAAACCGAAUAUAUUUACUACUUUACGUGCAUUAGUUAUGUUUUAUGGUUAAAAUAUUCAAAACUAAUGAAAAUAAAUUAAAUAGUUUUUAGGGUUUAUUACACUUUACCCCUCUAACUUAUAGCAUGUUUUGCACAUUGCCCAUUCGAGUUUAAAAUCGAGCAAUAUACCUUCUAUGUUUUAUAAUUGCAUGCAAUGUGCAUUUGUUGUACGACGGCGUUAGCUAUAAUGAACAAAAGACACAUGUGCUAAACACAUGACAUGUUUAAAUGAGGGAAAAAUUGACAUUUCAUUUUCAAAUCUUCAAAUCCCCAAAACCCUAGCAUGUCCUCUUCUUUCCUCCAAUCGUUUGGUGGAUUCCUAAAUCCCCAAAUUGAAGUUGAAACCCUAGAAUGGCCACUGUCGAAGGAAUUCAAGAUUCUAAUGGAUCUCAAAACGCACUUGAGAUCGAAAACCUUGUCUGAUUCACCAUCGAUGAGCACAACAAGAAACGUGUUUUUUUUUUCUAUUUUUUAAUCUCAUUUUUCCUUUCUUUGUUUCUGCUCGUUUCUUGAAAAAAAUCUCCCAUUUUGUAUUUUUUUAUUUUUUUUUGUGAGGAAGAUAGAGAUUUGUCCGAUUCGCCAUCGACGAGCACAAUAGGAGACAAGUUUUGUUUUUUGUUUUUAAUCCCAUUUUUCUCUUUUUUUUGUUUCUACUUAUUUCCUAAGAAAUUCUCUCAUUCUUUUUCUUCUUUUUUUCUUUUUUUUGGAGGAAGGUAGAGUUUGGCUUAUGAACGUUUGCUUUUUUCUGAGGAACCAAACAAGGAUUUUUAUUUUUAAAAUUCGUUCCAUAAGUACAAUAAAAUAUUAUUUUUAGGGCAAAAGAAUAUGAUCAUUUGGUUGAUGGAAUUGAAGUUUUCAUUUCUUUUUUAUUUUGUGAAAUAAAUCAUUGCAAGGAGUUAGAUCCACAAUUUAAUUUUUGUUUCCCUUCCUAGGGUUUUUAAGUAGCCAAAGAAGGUGUUUUAUUUGUUUUUUUUUCCUCUUUAAAUCAUUCCUUGAAAAAUGAUUUUUUUAGAUGAGUUUCUAAUUAAGGAUUCUGCUUCUCCAAUAGUAAGAGCCUCCUUUAUAUCCAUUUCCAAUUUUCUCUUUUAUUUUUGGUUGAUUUGUUGGAUUAUGUAAUUUGAAUUGAUUUUUUUAAUUUAGUUUUGAUACAUUGGAAAAGGCUACUGCAAUUUGGGGAGACAAUCUCGGCCCCAAUUUAGGGAGACAAUCGGAGGUAGGAGGAAGGCUGGGUUAGGGUUUUAAAAUGAAAUAACGAUUUUGCCCUCAUUUAAACAUGUCACAUGUUUAGCACAUGUAUUUUCUGUGCAUUAUAGUUAACGUCGUCAUACAACAAAUGCACAUUGCAUGCAAUUAUAAAGCAUAGAGAGUACAUUACUUGAUUUUAAACUGAAGGGGGCAAUGUGCAAAACACGUUGCAGGUUAGGGAGGUAAAGUGUAAUAAACCCUAAUUUUUAUUUAUGGAAAUCUUUAACAUGAACUUAAUUCCCUCUUUUAAUGUAAUGAAAUCAAUAUGAAGAUUUUUU
rnacentral:lncRNA from 1 species